AUCAAAGUACGCUAUGUUACUAGCUAAGUUACUCUCAUUAUGACUAGCCUAAUAAUGUAGCUCCCCACUCUUGGCGCACUAAUAAUGGUCUAGCGCCAUUUAAGCUUCGUCCACAACCAUUGGAAGCGCAACAACCGCUUUACACAAAGUUGCAUCAUUAUGAGCACUAAUACCAUCCGUAGCAUGAGACAGGCGGUUUGGUGUGGUACCACGGCAGCGGUACGGACCAUUUUAUUACCAUAUCAAUUGAUGAUUACACGAGGACCAGAGCACCCAAACGGCAAGGGAAAACAAUCAAUAGUAGCCUUGUGUGUUUGACACGCCUCUUGCCACCCACCACCCAGAGACGAGAGAAGAGCGACCAGACACCCUGAUGCAUGACGACGACGACGAUGAUGCGACCUACCUAAGCGGACUACGCGUAGUAUGCAACCAAACGGAAAAUCAAAUAUGUUGGAAGAAUUUCGUCCAAAUCCUCCAGUGGCCACCCACCAAAUCCAACCCAACCCAUCACUGAUCAUCGCACGGCGAUCGGCGCCGAUCGGCUUCAGGGCUUCCACAGGAUGGUGGUCUCGGCGAUCAUCGAGGUGACCACGUAUGGGUCCAUGUUGGACGCCGGCCGGCGGUCCUCGAAGUAGCCCUUGCCGUUCUGCUCCGUCUCCCGGCCCACGCGCACCGACGCGCCACGGUUUGCGACGCCCUGCAGUCAUUCAGAUGAUUCAGAACCACUGUCGGAGUAACGAGAUGUGGAAAGAUUCAGAUGAUCCAGAACUAGAAGGCGAGGGGCGCGGCGUACCCAGCUGAAGGUGUUGAUGUCGGCGGUCUCGUGCUUGCCGGUGAGGCGGCGCUCGUUGCCCUCGCCGUAGGCGGCGAUGUGCUCCUUGUGCUUGAGCUUGAGCUUCUCCACGGCAUCCACGAUGACCUUGAACCCGCCGUCCUUCCUCAUCGACUCGGUACUGAAUGCAGCAGAGUCGUUCGUGAUCAGCAAAACAGCACGGUAAGAUGAAUGACACUUAUCGAUCUGUUCGAGCAUCUCAUCUCAAUUACCUGUAGUUUGUGUGAGCACCAGCACCGUUCCAGUCGCCUGGGAUGGGCUUGGGGUCAAAUGUGACGACAACUCCGGCGAUCUCAGUGAUCCUCUGAAGAAAGGGAGAGUAACAUUUAAUCGCAAUAAUUUUAACCGAACACGAUGUCAUUCCAUCACAAAAGCCUCCCUCAUCAGAAUAAGAUCACAUGACUAUUAUCAUUACCUCAAGAAGGUAGCGAGCGACCCACACUUGGUCGCCAGCAGAAAUGCCAACAGUCGGGCCGACUUGGAACUCCCACUGAAAACCAAACAUAGUAAUUCUACCAUGGUCAGAGAGACAGUAAUUCUCAAGAUAGAGAAAAUAGGAAUGUCCUGUGUUGUAGCGGUGUUUCACCUGUCCGGGCAUGACCUCGCCAUUGAUGCCACUGAUGUUGACACCGGCAAAGAGGCAGGCCUUGUAGUGAGCGUCAACUAUGUCACGCCCAAACGACUUGUCAGCACCAAUACUACAGUAGUAAGGACCCUACACACAUGAAGAAGAGAUUGGUAAGUGUACACUUCACCAAAAUUAGGGCCAAACGUCCAAAUUCAGUCGGUCAAGCCGAAAGAGACGUACCUGAGGACCAGGGAAUCCACCAACAGGCCAGCCGAGAGGCCAGUUGAUGUCCUUCUGUAGGAGGGUGUACUCCUGCUCAAUACCAUACCUAUCGUCGCAAAAACAACGCGAUCAGUCAAUCAAUUAUCAUAAAACAGUCACUACUUCCUCCGUUUCUAAAUACUUGUCUUUCUAAGCAUUUCAACAAGUGACUACAUACGGAGCAAAAUGAGUGAAUCUACACUCUAAAAUAUGUCUACAUACAUCCGUAUGUAGUAGUCAUUUGAAAUGUCUAGAAAGACAAAUAUUUAGGAACGGAGGGAGUAGAUCAUUAUUUUCUAGUGUUCGUAAUCAUCGAUCGAGUUUGUGUAUUGUAUUUAUAUAUACCAUGGCUCCUCCUUGGCAACAUCAGGGUUGCUAAAGAUCUUGGCAGCGUUGUAUCUCUUGUUGGUGGGGAUUGGCACUCCAGCUGGGGUGUAGCAAUCGCACAUGACCUGCAAGUGGUUCGAAUUUAGUAAGGGGGAUCUUGAUUACUAAGGAUGUUGACAAGAUGAUGGCCAUUGGAUUCCCUCACUACUGCACUGUACUAGUUAGGUAGACCAGACACGCACGCCUAAUAACCAAAAAUAUCCAUAAUUCACAACCCUGAGUGGUCCUUGACUGGGAUAUAAUUUGCGUCAGAAAUAGGAGUAGGAGUAGCUAAGAAUACUGGACCAAAAUCAUUCAAAAUCUGCAUCAGAAGAUGCUUAAGUUGAUCUCCCCUCUUAAUGAUGCUCGUUAGUCCGUCGUAGUUGAGCAGAAGAGCUAGAUCGAUCAACUACAGUGACAAAUACUACUGCACUAGAGCCUACAGGUGCAGAUCACUUGCACGGUAGUAGUGCUACAGUCUAUUACAUGAGUGGGGUGGUCACUUACAAGGAUGUUGUUGCCCUUCCUGAACGGGUCCUUGAAGAUGGCCUGUGGGCUGCAGCACGGCACAUGCCCCAAGGGAAACAAAAAUUACUCCUUGGGUCCAAGGUAAAAAAAGAUAGAACUGCACUUCACAGAGGUAAAUUGUUCUGGAGUGGCAUGGCAAAUGGCACUUACUACAGGAUGACCUCGCUGUCCUCGCCGGGGGCCUGGCCGGUGCUGGAGCCGUCGUAGUUCCACUUGGGCAGCUUGCUGGGAUCCGUGACCGGGCCGGGGAGGGUCUGCACCAACCAGAGCAACAACAACAGUAAAUCCACACAGUUAGCCAAAAGGAAUCUCGCAACCUCUGAUAUAUAAGCACAAGAACAGCUCAGUGGAUAACUAGGUAGCACGGCAGAAAAGUGAUAGGACACGGCAAGGAGGUCAUGGGAUCCAUGCCGGCCGGGGAUGGGAAUCUUUAUCUGCAUCUGUAUCUUACCCUGGCCUUGCUCCUGAGAUCCAUGCCAGAUCCGCCGAUCCUGCAAUAAAUCCAAAAUAAAUUGACGGUGAAUAUACCAGCAGAAACAGCCCACAUAAACGAAACCCAUGACCGGCGUAUCAUUUACUGUUCACCACGGUUUUUUGCCGGGCACAGUGAAAAUAUGGGUAUUGGCCUCGGUUCCGACAUGGUGAAGAUCGAAAGCUCGCGCGUGGGAAAUUCAUGGAGGAGGAGCAGAGCAUCUGACCGCGCGCGGGCCGGGGCCAUGCUGCGCAGGGGAGGGACCGAGGGGGCAGAGGAUGCCGCCGCAGAGAUCCUCUCCCCAACAGGACAAAACGUACUGCCGGUACGAAUAUGGCAGUGGCGCAUCCAUCCCUGCGUUGCGCAUAUCCGGAAGGGGAGUGAUAAAUCACCACCAACAAACCAAAAACCUCUUCUCGUCGCGCUGCCAUGCCUAAAACCUACUGUAUUUCCCAACUCUCUCUGAACGGAACCGAACCGAACGGAACGGAACCGAACUGAACUGAACUGAACGGAAGAAGAGAAAAAGGUGGCGUUUACCACCCGCACGAGCGAGCACCGCCGGUCGCUGCACCCACGGAGCGGAUCGCGGGGGCGAAAAGUAUUUGGGUUUUUUAUUAAAGAAAAAAAACACCACGACGAAUCCGCGCUAACAGCGCAAACUACGACGACGGCCCCAUGAAUUUAGCAUCGAGGAAAAACCCAGUCCCCCGAGCGAUCCCGCCGCCUGCUCUCCACGAACCAGGCGGCGGCGGCGGCAUGAUGAGCCCGCGCGGUUCCGGGCGGCGGCCGACGCGGACGCAGCGGAGAAACGGCCGAGGUCCGUUCGUCCGGGGGAAGGAAGGAGGACGUACCAUAUGUACUCGGCGAUGAUCUUCUCCGUGGAGUCGGUGAGGUCGAGGUUGAGGAGAUCGGUGAGGAGCGCCAUGGCGGGAGGAGCAAUCCGGCUCCGGCUGACUGAGGGCAGGAAGGCAGGAAGGAAGGCGGGUGGGGGUGGUGCGAGGCCAAGGGGAGAUCGGGAGGGCGGCUAUAUAAUGGCGACGACCCAGCACGCACCCGGCAGGAGCAGCUGCUACAGGGAAAGUCGUUGCGCGCGGUGCGUAUCCGUGUACCGCCGCUAUACGUGCGGCGCUUUCUCUCUCUCACAAAGAUAUCUUUAUCUCUCUGCGGACUCCGCCGUGGCGACGUCUCCUUCGCGGGAUAAAAAUAAAAUAUUUUAUUUCCGGCAGUCUGUUCGACCGGGGGUAGGUGCGCGAUGUUACCUAUCCCGCACCCGCUGCCGGCGCUCCCACGACGAUGACCUGCGGGACCGACGCGGCGCAUGGGCCCGGCUGUCAGCCGUACGGUACGGAAUACGGAGUCUGGGAAAACGCGCGUUUUGUUGCUGAAAAAAAUAAGUAAAAUGUUUUUUUUAGUGCGUUGCGGGCGGCAGCUUUGUCGAUGGUGUGGUGCUGCUGGGAGAUUUGAUUAUCAGUUCCGAGCAUAGGGGUAAAGUAAAGUAAAGUAGUAGUUUUUUUUUCUUUUUUUUAUUUUUCAACGUUUUGCUUUGGAGUGGGAGAGGAGUCCAAAGCUGGAAUAGAUUGAUUGAGUAUUUGCUGGAAUUUAAUCAUGCUNNNNNNNNNNNNNNNNNNNNNNNNNNNNNNNNNNNNNNNNNNNNNNNNNNNNNNNNNNNNNNNNNNNNNNNNNNNNNNNNNNNNNNNNNNNNNNNNNNNNNNNNNNNNNNNNNNNNNNNNNNNNNNNNNNNNNNNNNNNNNNNNNNNNNNNNNNNNNNNNNNNNNNNNNNNNNNNNNNNNNNNNNNNNNNNNNNNNNNNNNNNNNNNNNNNNNNNNNNNNNNNNNNNNNNNNNNNNNNNNNNNNNNNGCGUGCACACAUAAAUUCUUGCAGAUUUAUUAGGCGCAAAAAUGAAGCGACUCCGUGUCUUUUUUUUAGUACUACCUCCGUCCCGGUGUAUAAGUCAUUCGCGUAGUUCUAGGUCAAUAAUUUAACUAUCUAAAUAUGUAUUAUAUGUGACAAAAAAUAUAUAUUUAGAAACUACAUCCGUGUGAAAAUCUAGUGGUAUACUUUUCAUGACAUAUAACACAUAUUUAAUUUCUCAAAUCGAUGACCUAGAACUACGCGAAUGACUUAUACACCCGGACGGAGGGAGUACUUAUUACUCCGGAGAGCCACGUUUGAAGCACCGGGGGAAUCUUUCUCCAGCGGUGUGCUUUUUGAUAAGUUCAAAAUUACCACAAAAUCGGGGUUUGUAACCGCAGGAGUCACGAGGAGGGAAAUGACGAGGUGGAGCGCACGUGAGGUGAGCGAAAAGGAAAGCUGCGGUGAAUCGAUCGCCGGUUCAGGAAAAAAAAAGCUGGGGUAUGAACUGGUGCGACGGCAGCGCCACCACACACGUGACCCAUUUGCGCAUUCCGUGCGGGAUCUUAUCUUUCCACGUUUGAUUGAUGUGAAUCUUGGUUGGCAUGCCGGCUGCUGAUCCGGUGCGGGUAUCUGCCCGAAUCGGUUACUCCUGGUAGAUUUUAUCCCAAGCGAUAUAUAUGAAAGUUUGCAUUUGAUAUUACUAUUCAGCUUUUUUUUGCAGGGGGUAUUAUUAUUCAGCUGAUUGCCUUUUUUUCUUUGUUGUGGUUGAAAAAAAAUUGGAUUCCAUCGGUGUCGGUUAGGGUUGCGGGAGCGUAAAUUUGCCGAUGAUGCUAUGAGAGGAAACCACGUGCGAGUGCUUUAGUCCCAAAGAGGAGACCCUGUCGAAGUUAGGGGUCAGGGUUUAGAGCGGCUAUGGUUGGAGCGUCCAUCGGAGCCAAAGGCCCAUAUAUAACAAGCCUGAGAAGGCAGUGCCUAGCUAUGAUGCAAGGUUGGACUGAGGAUGAGGCGGUGAUGAUGAAAUGAAGAAGAUGGCUGAGAAGGAAGAAGGAUUGGCCCCUAUACGGCGAGCCUAAGAAUGCGGUGAUGACACUAGGAAGAAGAUGUCGAGAAGGAGGGAGAAGGAUUGACCAUGAAAUCUUGGUCGCGUUUUAUAUUUUAUUCGUUUCUCUCAGUUCCAUUGUCGUCAUCGAUCAGUCGGUGGCUCAACGUCAUGAUCCUAAUCGCUAAAUGGAGGUCUUCUACCUCGGUGGUGCCUAUACUUCCGCCUUUUUGUCCACUAGUACCUUCAACUACGCCUCCGUUAUAAGUAAAAAACAUCAUAGUAAUAUGAAAAUGUGAGGGCCAAUAUAACCAAUGAAAUAAUUUUCAAACCGAUACAAACAUAUAUGAAAAUUAUAUAUCUUGAAGAAAGAGAAAGAAGAAGAAAGAAAAAGAAGAAGGUCGAGAAGGAAGAAGAAGGAUUUGCCAUGACUCUGAUUUUAGGAGGAGGAAAACCAAAAAAUACAUAUAUCUAUAUUACUCAACUUUUCAUUUUAAUAUUUUGCUUGUUCCUCUUGACCCCGCCACCGUUAACACUCAUAUCUAGACGGUGGCCCCAUCGUGUGAUCCUAACCGCUCUGUCGAGUUCUCAUAUUUCGGUGGAGUCAACACUUCCACCUUGUAAUCCACUCCCAAGUGAGUUAGAGCGGAGGGAAUAAUGCAUCCAAAAUAAUACCCUCUCCGUCCCAAAACAUUGUAAUCUUUGACCGAGUUUAUAGAGAAACUAAUUAGCAUCCAAAAUACCAGAAUCAACAUCAUUGGAUUCAGCAUGAAAUAUAUCAAUUCACAUGGUAUAUAUUUGAUAUUAUAAAUAUGGAUGGCUUUUGCAAUAAUCUUGGUGAGAGUUUAUGAGUCUCUGUUGGAUACACAUUACAUUAUGGGACGGAAGGAGUAUCAGACAUGAAAAUGUAUCUCUAUUUUCAUUGGGAACAUUUCUAGUGCACGUUUACUUCAGCUUUGUCUCUGAACACUUCGCAAAAAGGAUUGCUCUUAGAGCAACUCCAACGCGUCGACCUAAACGGACGGUGCUUUUGUCCGUUUGGGUCGACCGCCCGUUCGGCGUCCACUCGAUUUGAAAUUUGAGUCGGCGGUGCGCCUAAGGCGCCGAGUUACAUUUGUCGGCGUGGACGUUUGGCCGCUCUUUUUCAACAAAUAUGCACAAAUUUUCACAAGCAAACAUAUAGUUUCAAACCAAAUAAACAACAUAGUUUAACAAGCCGAAUAAAAAUAAAAUAGUGUCACAUAGGGGCUGUUUGGUUUCCAGGCACAUAUUGACACACUUUGCCACACCUCACCUUAGUCAAGUUUGAUCAAGUUAGGUGAGUGUUUGGUUCUAGCCACAUCCAAGGCAAGAAUUUUUUUAUGAGCAGUGAACCCCACAUGUCAUAGACACAAGAAGUGUGGCAAGAUUCCCUUAGGCAAGCCAAAGUGUGGCUAACAAUUUGAGCAACUCAAGUUAGGCAAGUGUGGCAAGUGUGGCAAAAAAUAAUGUGACAACAUAAGGCAAACAUAGCCACAAUCCAAACAGACCCAUAGUUUUGCAAGCCGAAUAAAAAAGAUACAUCUAUUGGUUGCUAACAUGAGCUCACAUAUGCUCAACCAAAUCAUUUUGCAAUUGCAUGUGAGUUUUCCAAUCACACAUGUCAUGACGAGAAUUGGGUGAACUGUUCAAACGUCGCCGCUCCUCCAUGCUCAGGCACAACAUUCUCACCCUGGAACUGAAAGCCUUGAUCGUAGAUAUGUUCCGGGCGCUCAUCUUCUACGAUCAUAUUAUGCAUGAUCACACAAGCAGUCACCACCUCCCACAACUUCUCCGUGCUCCAAGUCCUAACAGGAUAUCGAACGAUGCCCCAUUGAGAUUGCAAAACACCAAAGGCACGCUCGACGUUCUUUCUAGCACUCUCUUGCUCUUGGGCAAAUCUUUUGCUUUUCUCUCCGACGGCGUUGGGGUUUGUCUUCACAGUAGUGGUCUACUGAGAAUAGAUACCAUCACCUAGGUAGUAUCCUGUAACAUUCACCGGUGGGUUGUUGUCUUCAACAAGCCUAGCAAACACAUGCGAGCACUGAAGCACAUUGAUAUUAUUGUGUGAUCCGGCCAUGCCAAAGAAAAAGUGCCAAAUCCAGAGAUCUUGUGAGGCCACGGCCUCAAGUAUGACAGUGCAAACCCUGACAUGGCCCUUAUAUUGCUAUUGCCAAGCAGAAGGGUCGUUCUUCCACUCCGAGUGCAUGCAGUCUAUGCUGCCAAGCAUCCCUGGGAAUCCUCUGCCGGCAUUCAUCGCCAACAAGCGGGCUGUAUCUUCAGCAGUCGUCUCGCUCAAGUACUCGGGGGCCAAACACAGCAAUCACAGCCCUGCAGAACUUGUACAUGGAGUCUAGACAUGUAGACUCGCUCAUACGGACGUACUCAUUAAUGAGAUCACCGGGCACUCCGUAUGCAAGCAUCCAGACGGCUGUAGUACAUUUCUGAUAAGAUGAGAAGCCAUUCUUUCCAAUGGCAUCCUCUUUGCACUUGAAAUAGUCAUCAUAUCCGACUACCCCCUCUCUAAUACGGGUGAAAAGAUGCCUACUCAUACGAAAAACGCCGCCGGAAUUUCUGAUGUUUGAACAGCGGGUUGGUUGUGUCAAAGUAAUCCUUCUAAAGAAGAAAAUGGUCGCUCUCUCGGUUGCGAUUCAACGCCGGAAGAUGCCCCGGAAUUGAGCCAUGAAACAACGGCCGUUGGCUAUUAAGAUGGUGAUGGACCAACAUGGCAGCCAAGAUCUCCUCCUCCUCAUCGGAUGACGAAUGGUCUGAGUCUCAAAGGAAAUUAUGAAAAAAGAACUCGUCGGCGAACUCCAUUUUAUACCUUAGCAAACUGUGGAACAACUUGAGGGCGUUGACGAAGGAGCCGGCCGACGAGGAGAUGUGCGCCUCCCUUGGACUAGGUGGUUUCCCUGGAGGCAUCUGACGAGCGUGCCGGCAUCAGGCCGGAGGAGCUGGCCAGGGCGGCGAGGCUGCUUCCUGCUCGCGUCGGCGUCGGGUGGUGGGGGUGGGAAGCUUCGGUGCCCCGGCGGCGAGACGGUGGUGGGGGCGACGUGGGAGGUGGCGGCGGCGGCAUUGGAGGAGGUGUAUCGGCACCGGCUGCUGGCAGAGGCGCCGCAAAUGGGUAGCGGCGACGACGCGGCGAAGGUGGGCGAGGGUUCACUGUCGAUCUCGGGGUGGAAGAGGAUGGCCAAUGUGCCACCGACUAGCGGGCAGGGGGGGGGGGAGGGGAGGAGAAGGGCGCCGCACGCGUUCGUUUCGUGUCCGCGCCGAUGCAAAUGAGGCUCAAAAAUGGACCGGGAGGCGGACGAAAAGUGAACGUGCGUCCGUUUGGGUCGGCAUGUUAGACCGACUUUUCUGCCCACGUUAACCCAACGGACGCGCGCGGAUCAAAUGGAUCGGCGCGUUGGAGUUGCUCUUAUACUCUAAAUAAACUUGUUAUGCUAAGCCCGGAAUACCCAUUUUGAAUCAAACACAGGAACAUCUGUAUAGCGAGAUGGAACUCGCAAGGUGUGAAAAUCGUGCUUUUGUGGUCCUCCAUCGGCCCACGCUCACGGAAUCAACUCAUGACGCUGGCGCCCCAACGACUCGCACGCGCGCUGCCCAUCGUUGAAAGAUUGGACACUCGGUGUGCGUCCGUACAAUAGAAAAUCCUGACUUUCGUCGCUACAAAUUUUGCGUAUUUGACACGGCGUUUUUCCAGCGACGGACGAAAUUACUCGGCCAAUGGCAAUUCUUGUUCUUUGGAGAACAAAUUUUAUUCACCUAAAUCUCGACAGGAUUUCCCCAGAUAUUCCUGCUGGCAUUUGAUUUGAGAAGAAUCGUGCGAGGUGCAUCUGCAUGUUCUUCUAAUUCCCUGGCUUUGCCGCCGUCGAGAGCAUAACGGAACCACGAAUGGGCGGCAGUAUCUCAUGCUGGUACGUCAGCUGCUUUCCAUCGUCCAUGGGAGAUGAGUGUACCACAACUCGUUGGCAAUUGCAUCAGAAUCACCUGCUACUACUUCCCCCGGUGCUGGACCUAUUCGCGCCCCAAUACCGCGGCAAUGCGGCCUGACUAGAUCGAGCCUCCCGUCCAAUUCCAAGUUCCAACGUGCGCGGGAUUUGUUAGGCCGUGACGAUCGAGCGAUGAUGUUCCUGAAUCCUUUAUUCCCCCUUCUAAAGCAUCCAAAGUUUCUUCUGGAAACAUGACAUAGACUACUAAAGAGAAUCUACAACCCGUCGUCCCAAACCGGCCUCAAACGUUCGGGUGGCCCGCUCGGUCACUGACCCGUCAUUAUUUUUCGACUCAAACGGGCCUCUUAAAUGGGCCUCAAACAUACGGUUAACCAGCAUCCCUCAUAUCUAGCCCAAAUAUGAGGCGAAUAUAGGUGCGCCCGCCACGUCGGUCAGGCGGCGGGUCCCACGUGAAAACGCACGCCCGGGAACCCAAAUCCGGCUAUUUAAGCGGGCCGGCGUCCCGUAACCCUGACCCAUCCACCUCCUUCCUAUCUCCGCGCCGCCAGUCCGAGUCCAUCCAAGUCCUCCCCAUCUCUGCGCCGCCAGUCCAAGUCCAUCCACCUUCUCCCUCUCCCGCUCCGGCGCUCUGCGCACGCUUCGACGCUCUGCCAUGGUCCGAAUGAAGAUCACAUACUAUGCACUGCUUACGCCGGAGCACCGAUACGAGAUCCGGGCGAGACAGGCCGCACGCAUCGGUUGCAUCACUGUCGGGCUGCCUUCGGACUCGUCGGAGCCGGAGGAGGAGGAGCCCGGGGAAGAGGAGGGAGAGGAGCUGGCUCCGAUGGAGGUGGAGGAGGCGGAGCAGUAGGAGCCGGAACUGCCGGGCUUCAACAUGGAGCAGGCGGAGGCGGAUUUCGCCGUUGCCCAACCGGAGGAGAUGACGGAGCAGCAGGCCAUCCUGGAAUCCAUCCAGGAUAAGGCCUAUGUGGAGGCCAAUCGGGCGUUCCUCCGGCAGGAGCAGUCGGCGUCCUACGAGCUCUUCGUCGAACUCGGCCCGAAGAUACACUACUAGGGAAAAGCCUAUACACAAAAUCUUAUCAGCAGCGCUCUUUAAAAUAAGGCGCUGCUGCUAAUUAGCAGUAGCGAGCUCAAGAAUAACUCGCUGCUGAAAUAAAUAUAGCGGUAGCGCGCCAGCUCAAAGACGCGCUACUGCUAUAAUUCCCACAAGGCCGCCAUGAGGCUGGCUAUAGCAGCAACGCGUUAUAACGACGGGCACUACUGCUACAUAGCAUAGUAGCAGCGCAUUUCGCCAAUAAGCGCUACUGCUAAGUUUACUACAAAAAAUUAAUCCCACCUCGCUCCGUGAAGAGAGUUUCUACCACCUUAAAUAUGUUACUUCUCAAACUUUGACAAGCACUUGGUCUUUAUUGAACUCUAUGUGUAGAAUUUGUGGCUGCAAUAUGAGUCUUCACCUGUUCUAAAACCGGUGAGGACUCAUAUUUACAAAUUAGAUUAUACACAAAAAGAUCGUUGAUGAUCAAUGUAUUUUUGAUACAUUGAACUAAGUCUAUUUUUACAUGCUGACACAUAGCAGUAGCGCUUCUUUGUGAAAGGCGAUGCUGCUAGGUAGUUUAGCAGUAGCGUCUUUCUCUAUAGCGCGCUACUGCUAAGCCAUUCCAUCUCCCACCCCCAUCUCCUCUAUCGAUCCACUCACAGUCACACACUCACUGGAUCCCUCUCAAUCCCCCGCACCGGUCCUCCCCCGUCGCCCCUCCUCCCUCUGCGCCGCCGUCACCUCCUCCUCCUUGCUGGACUCGGUACUUGCCUCCUCCUCCGUCCUCCCUCUCCACUCGCCACUGGCCGGCCCCUCCUCGCUUCGCCUUCCUCCUCCGUCCUCCCUCCACUGGCCGCCGGCCGGCCCCUCCUCGCUCUUCCUUCCUCCUCCGUCCUACUCUCUUCUGCCUCCUCGAGUCGCCCCUCCUUCUCCCUCCUGCCUGCUACAUUUUUAUUUAGUAGGCUAGUUCAUAUGCAACAUUUUGAUUUAGUUGAUUUAGUAGGCUAGUUGAUUUAGUUGAUUUAGAACAUUUUGAUUUAGUUGAUAUAGUAGGCUAGUUGAUUUAAUUGAUUUAGAACAUUUUGAUUUACUUGAUUUAGUAGGCUAGUUCAUUUAGUUGAUUUAGAACAUUUUGAUUUAGUUGAUUUAGUAGGCUAGUUCAUUUACUUGAUUUAGUAUGCACCAUUUUCAUUUAGUUGAUUUAGCACAUUUUCAUUUAGUUGAUUUAGUUACUUUUUGGCAGAAUGUAGGUGGUACCUUGUCAUCUACUCCUUCCGUCCGGAAAUACUUGUCGCGGAAAUGGGUAUAAAUGGAUGCAUCUAAAACUAAAAUGCAUCUAGAUACAUUCAUUCCUCCGACAUGUAUUUGCGGACGGAGGGAGUAAUAUGUUACUAGAUCUUAGGAUUAUAAUUGUCCAUCAAAUUGCUUCUCACGGAAGAACCAAAAAUAUCUCAUGCUACUGUUUUUCUUUCCUGUGAAGUGGAUCAUUAAUUCUUUGCUCAUAUUGCUUUAGGAAAAAUGGCGCCACCACCACCACCACUAUGUCGACUGUGCAAGUCAAGGUGCGCCAGCAGCCUUGCAACUGGCAAGCUGUUCGGCAUCUACUUCCAGCCGGGUUUUCGGUAUGCGGUGGUAAGAAAUUAGAUGAAAUGUAAUAACUAUUUUAUUUUUAGUGCUGGCAUUAUUGCAUUGUGUCAUUUUGCUUAUUUUACACAGAUCGUCCCAUGCAAUGUGAGGUUGAAAUUCAAAAAGCUGACAGAAGACACUAUGACAUUUGAGGCUCCUGGGGGGCCGUACACUAUGGAGGUCGAGAAAGAACGCAAUAUGUCGCAGAUUGGAGGAGAUGGAUGGGCCCGUUUUGUCGCUCGCAUGCGUCUUACUGGUGGUGAGUUGAUCAGCUUCUCCUUCAGAGCAGAAAGACCCAAGCUGGCUGUCAUUUAUCUCAACCUGGUGGAAGAUGAUGAAGAUGACGAAGAUGAUGAAGAUAAUGAGGACCCACUCGAUGAAGAUGAUGAGGACCCACUUCAUGAAGCCAUCGUAGCUCAAAGAACAAGGCUGAGCAAGGAGGAGGUGUCCAACCAGUGGGACAUAAUUCCGCCACGUGCUGACUUUGUCGGGUUGCCAUUCGUGACCCGCCUGACAAAUACCAUGGUUGAUCGACAUGAUAUGGUAUGUUAUACUUACAAAUGCAAAUUAUCCGAUGAAAUACUUAGUGUACAGUCCAAUGAUAUGGUAUGUUGUGUGGAAUCUAGUCGAUGAUAUGUUUUAGUGUAGAGUUUAUUCACAUGCUUAUUACUGUAGAAUCUAAGGAAACUAUUAAUAGUGUAGAUAAUCCAUAUGUACUUAUUUGCGAGGCUAUUUGUUAAUUGAAAUAUUUUUCUUAUUCAAAAAUUGGUAAAGAGCAUAUCUGUGAGUUAUGGUAUUGAGCCUGAUGAAGAAGGCUCAGCUGGACUACGCCUUACGGCAAGGGGCUCCGUCACAACCUGUACUUACCGCGUGGACACGGACGGUCGCACACACUUAAACUCGGUUGGGUGGAAAAAAUUCCUCGAUGGGAAUAAUCUUCGUAUUGGACAGGCCAUCCUAAUUACUAUCAGGAACACCAAUCGCCUAGGCUUGAGGAUAAUGAGUGUCUUCGAUAUCAUCUAGAACUACAUAUGUGUGUGUGGCUAUAUCAUCUAAAACUACAUAUGUGUGUGUGGCUAUAUCAUCUAGAACUACAUAUGAUGAUCGUCGUCGAUAUGAUCUAGAACUACAUAUGAUGAUCGUCGUUGAUAUGACCUUGUACUGCUUGAGGAUGCAUGUUGACUAUGCAUGAAAUUGUUAUCUAGUACUCCCUUCGUUCCAAUUACUCGUCGUGGUUUGAACUAAAACCACGACGAGUAAUUUGGAACGAAGGGAGUACUAUCCAGUAAUAGUUUAUGAAUUUGAUAUCUACUAGCAGUACCUAGUAACUAGUAUCUGAAAGGGAAACUGAAAAGGAAAGGGGUACGGGAGAAAAUGAUGAAAGAUAUAGCAGUAACGAGGGACUGCGAAAUCGCUACAGCUAAGUAAUAGUAGCGCGUUCAUAAAAAGCGCUGCUGAUAUCGUCAACAGUAGUAGCGCGGGUAAGGACCGCGCUACUACUAUAAGUUAGCUGUAGCGCCUUAUUAGUAGCGCGGCUACCCGCGCUGCUGUUAGCCUCAAAACCCGCGCUACUACUAGGGUUUUCCCUAGUAGUGAUAGAGGAGAAGGAGGCCGGAGCGGAGGCGCCGAAGGAGCCGGAGCUGCAACUGCCGCCCAUGAUGCUGGAGCCGGGCACAGAGAUCGUCGACAUCUCCGACGGCGAGUAGCUAGGUGAUCGACAUAGUACAUGUUUUUAUUUAGUUUGCAUGUCCUUGCAUGGAUUUAAGAAUCUAGUAUGAGAUGUCUGGAUGCAACUCUUGAAAUUUGAGGUGCGCAAGGUCACUGCCCGCGGACGCGUCCGCAGACGUUUGAGGGGUCAUAUUUGACAUAUCCGGCUGUGGAUGCUCUAAGAUGGUGUUUGUUUCUCUAGUCCUAGGACUUUUUCUAGUCCCUGGGACUUUUUAAAAAAGACUCUUAAGGAGGUGCUUCUAAGGACUUUUAGCAAAAAGUCCCAAAAAAGUCCCACCAUGUUUGGUUUGGUAGGGACUUUUUUAGUCCCUGCACCAAAAAGUCCCUGAAAACAAACACCACCUAACUGGGUAUUUUUUCCUCUUCUUCUACAACGAAUCGACGACAUGCCAAUCGGAUUGAGAUAGGCUCCAAGUCCUUGGUUACAUCAGAGUUGGGUCUGCCGGCCAAUGCGGGCCUAGCUUCGUGCUUGCCGGGUCCGGGAACAAGAAAAGGAGGGCGUUGCUUUCUUGGCUGUUGACAAAUUCAGGAAAAUUAUAAAAGUUGCAGAAAAAGACAGUGAAAAAAACAUAUACUGAACGUAGCGCACGACAAGAGAAUUAGCCCCGCCGAUUCGUGGAGCACUUCAACAAAGCGGAUUGCGCGCAUUGCUGUCCACGUCAGGCUUUGAAAGGCCCAGGAGGCAUUUCAUCAGUAAUAUAAAUCUGCAAAGCUUCGUCGCUGUCAGCCACCGUCUGCUCCUAGGUGAAAUGCGUGGGAGCUUCAGAUAACCCAAGGAUGAGCAGGGAUCUCACUAGGACAGAGCUUGAAAAGCUUGUGGCCUCGCUUUGCCGGGCUGAGCCAAUGGAGGCGCCCGCACGGGCUGCGCGUACGGCAGACAGUACAGUACAUAAUAAGCGUCCGGUCGCACGCACGCGUAACGUGGAGCACGCCCGGAGCGACUGAUUCGCCCGCGAAAUCGACUGGUUGAUCUGGAUCUUCAGUUGCCUGUAUGUACUACUGGUCCUCCCGGGAGACACGAAGCAUCUGGGGUUCUGAGUCGUUGCACCACCGUCAUUCGAGUCACAUGGACAGUUGGACACAUGGGUUUUAGUUGGCCAUGAAUCGUGCAUGCAACGUUACCUCUGGAUCUGAAUGGCCAUGAUGUGCAAAAACUAUUGGGCACUGUGUUUAGUUAACGAAACCUAGAGAUCGCCGGAUCCAGAUAUCUCUUAAACUAGAACUGGGGCAGUGGACUGGAAUAUAGUUGCACAUUCAUUCGCACUGCCAUCUCUCUUCUGUCUCGCCGCGUAUGGCCCUUGUGCUUGCCAGUUGUUUUCUUCUGCAUUUUCCUAUCUCAAUGCUUGUUAAUAUUAUUAUCGUUUACAGAGACGCGUUAUGUCUUUCUUUGCUAAUCGUGGCUAGCGCCUUGGAGCCAACGGCCAAAAUUAUCUCGGGAAGGCAUCGUAGUUUCAGGGAUUUUCUUCGGCUCUGUCGAUCGCCGCGUUGAUCUCUUCUAGUCCGAAACGGACCUGUCUAAAAUCCGGACAGAAAAGGAGUACGAAUGCAAUUCUGGAUGCUGAGAAAGCGAGGUGGAUGGACGUUGCUUUCGCAGUUCUUCGCUUGUCGCGGCGUUCCAUGCAACGGGAGAAGAUCCGAGGAGUAAUGCAAGUGGCUGCGUCUGCAUAGGCAGAUCCAAGGUGCGAUGCAGGAGUACAGCUGAAUGCGUAGGCUAUGCAAAAACUAUUGAGCUCUGACCUUAAACAGAACCUAGAGAUUACCAGGUCCAGAUUUGUCUUGAACUACUGCUGGACCAAAAUAUAAUGCCCAAUGGCGGGUACAAUAAUCAGCAGGAGGAGGAGAGCGUGUCGCUGGAAGGGAAUGCGAAUUCGUCUAAUGACUCGUACGCAUGCCAGCUAUGUUUAUCUGCAUUUUGUUUCCUAUUUCAACGCUUGUUAAUCUUAUCAUCUCGAGAUGCCAUGUACAAGAUAUGCUUAGUUUCCUUUGCUAAUCUCACAGACACCUUGGAGGUUGGAGCCAACGGCCAAACGCAUCCUCGGGACCAAGGAGACACCGAAGUUCCAGUGAUUUUCAUCAGCUCCGUCGGUCGCCACAAAGACGCCUUCUGGUCCGGGGUGGACCUGAGUGAAAAUCGGCUAGCAUCCACCCUAGAAAGAAACCACCAGCCGGCGUUCAGACCUGCGUGCUCACAUAUACACUUCCUACGUCACAAAAUAAGUGUCUCGAUUUUGUACUGACUUAAGGUACCUCCCGAAUCCUGAGACGGCGAGGCAGACGGGCGUUGCUUUCGCAGCCUUCUCUUGUCGCGGGGGAGAAGAUUCAUCCAAGGAGGAGUAACGCAAGUGGCUGCUGCGUACGCAGAUUCCAAAUAGAUUCCAAAUCUCUGCAUCGCUUUCGCCAACCCUACCGAUUGGUUGGCAGUGUCGCCGUCUCGCCUCUCGCGCGGUGGUCGACGCGGGCACGCAUCGCCUACGCCGUACGCGGCCACCUCGUUGUACAGUGCAGUGGAUCUGGGGAUCACGAGGCCCGGGCCGCCAUUGGUUGGGGGCUGGGACUUGGACUUGGAGCACCAGUAGAGCAGAACAGGAGUAGUCCCGGUUCAUGAAGGCCUUUAGUCCCGGUUCUGGAAUCGGGACUAAAGGGUCGGUAUUAAAGCCUUUCCUUUAGUUCCGGUUAUAAUUGGAACCGGGACUAAAGGCUCUUCACGUGGCCACUGCCUAGAGGUUCACCUUUAGUCCCGGUUGGUAACACCAACAGGUACUAAAAAAAUUUUAUGAUUUUUUUUGAAUUUUUUUUUUGAUUUUUUUUGAAUUUUGAAAUUUUGAAUUAUUUUAACCUCUAAUCUCUAAUCACCCCUCAUCAUUGCUCAAUUUAACCAUUAAUCUCUAAUCACCCUUCAUCAUUUCAAAUCAUCUAACUUUCUGAACGGUCACCCAUCCUCUCAAUACUCCAGCCUGAGCACGUUUAACUUUUGGGUUCUAUUCUCCCUCGUUUUUAAGUCUGCACUUGUUGUUUUCCUGACAAUAGUAAGAUGUCAAUCCUAUUAACCCUCAGGAAUUUAGCUUGAGCAUAAAGUCACACAUUUCACUAUUUGAGUUUGAAACUAUUGUUCUAAAAAUCAAUAAUUAUUUAGUAACACUAAUAUUUCUUGAAUAAGUAGUUUGACCACAGUUUGACCACAGUUGACCAAAAUUUAAAAAAACUGAAAUAAUUAUUUAGUAACACUAAUAUUCUUGAAUAAUUAUUUAGUAACACUAAUACUUCUUGAAUAAGUAGUUUGACCAUAGUUUGACCAGAUUUAACAAAAAUUCAAUAAAAAACUGAAAUUUGAGCAUAAUUUUUUUUCCUUUUAAAAUUUUAGAAUUCUAAAAAUUUGCAAACAGGCCGUAGGCCGUGUCCAUCCCGGUGAAGAGUUAUUUUCUAACCCACGAACCGGUACUAAUGGGGUUGAGACCUUUAGUACCGGUUCGUGCCACAAACCGGUACUAAUGGGCAUCGCACCCUUUAGUACCGGUUCAUGCCACGAACCGGGACUAAAGGUCCCAUUUCAACCGGGAGUGAUGCCUGUAUGAUUCGUAAUGCAACCGAGAUUAAUACUCUUUUCUGGCUGGACCAAAGCCUCUUUUUCUACUAGUGAUGGGAGAAGCAUCGUUGAUUGUUUGAUAUCCAUAGUCCUGUUACAGUUUGCUGUCAAAGUCUCGAGUCGUCGGUCUUGCAUCUUGCUCUUGCCAGCAACGAAGCAAGCGCUUUCUUUCAUUCAUGUAAACUUACGCUGGCCGAUCGCUACCACUGCGCUUGACUUGCGUGCAGUCUUGUUUAAUCACACUGUCGUUUCAAUAGCCCUGUUUGGAUCAUGGGGUUAGAGCUAGUUUGGGUUAGUUGGAGGCUCAAAUAACCCAAAAAUAUUCAAAGAGGAAGGGUUAGAGUGGGUUAGUUUUAUCUAAUCCAACUAUCCCGAUGGAGAUGUGCUUAUUUGGGUUAGAGUGGGUUAGAAAAUAACUUUAACUCUAACUGUGUUAGAGUAUCCAAACAGGGUCAAUGUGUGACGUUUUCUCCUCUUGCGAUUUGUCAAGGGGACGAGGUUUCCCUUUGGAACCAUCUCUGAACUUUGGGCCCUUCGGGAGCCUUGGGACUCGCUGGUACCCAACGUUGAUGCGAGUGCGACCAAGGGUGGUGGUGAGGGAAAAUCGGACCACGGACAGCCGGUCAGCUAGCCACCUACUCCGAGGUUCAUUUACGCGGUGCAACUACUACACGAGGAUACAGAAAAGAAGCAAAUCUUGAUCCAUGCAUCCGGUUGGAUACAAAACACUGCACGUUCUGCGUAGCACGGCCAUCGUACGACUGGUUUAUUGGACUGAACCCGACAGUUGCCGAGGCCGACUUGCCUGAUGGCGCCGGGGCCCUCGGACGUACCAUGGCCGGGUUCAGAUUCACCGGAUUGCGGCGCGGUACCGCCCACCGCUUUCUCUACAGUACAGCUCUCCUUCGCCCCGGUCGUGCGCGUGGCCUGUAGAGCAUCUACAGCCGGACUCAUCAAAUCCGGCUCCUCAAUUGCGCGUGGACAUGCCCGGCAUUUUUUAUAUCCGCGUCUCCACACCUACGUAUCUCAUAUUCCGUCUCUUAGGUCAACUUCACUGCGCAACCCCAAAUAGACGUUCGUUUUGUCCGGAUUCUGUUCGUUUGGGUAGGAAUUUGGGGUCGUGUCCAAGCGUGUCCUGGGAUGCGGUGACCGUGCACCCAGCGCGCGGCCGCAUCCGUUUGCCCCAUCCUGUCCGCGUCUAUUUAAAAAAAAGAGCAACAUUUCAAAUGCCAAGCCCUAGUUCAUGGCCCUAGUUCAUCACGCCGGCAACAAAGCCAGUGGCCUACACGUCCAUCGCCAGCGGCCGGCAACACAGUCAGCCUCCAAAAUGAAUAGUUGUCCUCGCUGGCAACACAGCCAUCGGCCGGCAACAUAGCCGGCCUUCAAAAUGAAUGUUUUCUCGUCGGCACACAGCCAGCGGCCCAGCGGGCAGGCGACACCCAUGCCAGCCUCCAAAAAGAACGGCCACGCCAAUCAGACGACCUACUUCAGGCCUUCGGCGUCGAGCAUCUCCUUCUGCCUGGCCUCGAACCAGGCCCUCGUCUUGUCGCUCAUCUUCGACAAGUUCACGCUCAUGAUCGCAAGGGCCACCUCCUUCGCUUUGGUGGCGGCAUUGAUGGCCUCGAUGUUGAGCUGCCUCUGCCUGGCCUUGACGUUGUCGGCCUUGAUGUCGAGCUGCCUUUGCUGGGCGGCCUCUUCCAUGUCGAGCUGCCUUUGCCGGACCGCCUCCUCCAUGUCGAUCUUCCUCUUCUUGGCCGCCUCCUCUUUGAGGCUUCAUUUGCUCGUCCUUGCUUUGCCGCUUCUUCUUGUCCCUCACAUCCUUUUGAGACAUCAUGCCAUGCAAAGUGUCAUGCAAUGCCAUGGAUGAGGCAUCACGUAUGUCAUCAACCUUGGAGUUGGUCUUACCCCUCGGCCUCUUCAACGCCGCGCCAUCUCCACCUCCGGCGAACUUGGCCGUCUUCAGUCCUCUCUUCCUUUGUAGUUCACGGUAUUGGUCCCUGAACUUAGAGCAAUUGUUGAUGAGCAUCCAACAAUGCGUAAGAGUGAAUGACUUGCCAUUGUGCCGGGCCUUAUAUGCCUCCAAAGAUUGAAAUGCCUACAACAGAUGAUCAACAAGAAGUGAACAUGCAAACAUAUACAAGGUCGAAGUCUCAUGGCCGUAGUAAGGAAAGGGCUAGGAAGAGGAGAGCAUGCCGUGUCCCCAACGCCAAGGCCACUCACGGGCCGUACUUCAACACUCUCAAAUGCGGCUUGAUACUUGUUGCACUCUUGUUGGAUGAACAACCAUCUCUUUUGAAUCGAGCCGAUGCCACGGUUUCUUGUAAUUUGGUAGGGCUCGAACAUCUUCCUUUCAUGGAAUGUUUUGUGGACUCUCGUCCAAAAAACAAUGCCCUUUUGUUGCGCGCCGGUUCUCGGAUCUUGGCUAAUCUCCAUCCAAGCUUGGCAAAUCAACUUGUCCUCAUCUUGUGUGUAUGAACCCGUGCGAAUGCUCUUGCUCUUCUUUUGUGCUUCCGCUCUUUGGGUGAGCUCGCCGAUGAACAAUGGCUCGCCACUAAUAUCAACGUCAUUGCCUUCUUCUUCAUCACCAUCACCUUCGACAUAGAUGUCAUCGUCUUCAUGCCACGAGUCACCAUGGUCGUAGUCAGCACGAUCGUCGGCCUCUUCAUCGGGCACGUACUGGGCACGGCCAUCCUGACUUUGGGUCUCCUCGGGGUCGUAGGCACGGUCAUGCCCACCCUCGAAGAUCACGUCCUCCAUGUAGUGGUUGUAGAAGGGGUCGUCGACCGUUGGCGUUGGGGUUGGCAUUCUGUCAAACAAGACGCGGGGGGCCGGCAUGGUGCCCGUGAACGGUGCCCGUGCCUGCUUUCUUUGCAUCUCGACGGUCGGCCGGCCGCCGCUGCUGGUUUCGCCGUGUGUUUCAUUUGUGCCUGCCCUUUUAUUUUUGCAUUGCAUCAUGUCAUCAUGCCAUCAUCUCAUAAAUCUUUUGCAACUCAACUAAAUAAAUUGCAUGGAUCUUUGGUCCAUUUAAAUCGAGGGAAUUCACAUGGUGAGUUCUCUUUAUAACAUAUCCUCCCAAUAUUAUUAGGGAGCUAUAUAAAAUAUUCCAUUAGUUUGGAAUUUACCGCAACACAGAUGCAUGUUAAAUCCCUUCCUUUCCUUUUUCAAGUUUUGACUGUCUAACUUUGCCUAAUUCUUUUCCCAUCUUCGGGGCUCUCUCUUUAAUCUCAACAUUUUUUUGAGCACUUCUAAAACCUAGCCCCAAGUCAAAUCCAUUUGAAUGAUAUUCAAAUGAGUUUAAAUUUAAAUCUUGCAUUCGUGCCACUUCGAUUUUUUUCCUUGGAUAAAACUCAUUUGUAUGAGUCCGGGAAAAUAGCCCCCUUGCACAAAUCCUUUUCUUAACCCUCCUUUUCUUUUCUUCUCUCUAUUUCUUUUCUCUUAAAAGAAGAAGAGAGAGAGGGAGAGAGAAGCCCAGCCCAGGCCGGCCUCUCUAGGCCCAUCCUUCCCCGCAGGCCCACCUAACCUAAACGUAACCCCUGGCCCGAUCCCCUCUUCCCUCGUACCCUUCCACCCAGCGCCGCCAGGGAGAGCGCUGCCCGAUCCCAUCCCCGUGCGCCCGAACCUCCCUCUCCUCUCGAUCUCGCUUCCUUCCCCUGCUCCUCUCUCGCGCCGAUCCCCAUGGCGCGCCCCACUGCCUAUGCCGCCGACCUGCCCACGCCCCUGCCGGCCCUCCUCCGACCUCAUCCUCACGAGCACGGCCGCCGGGGCGCCACUUCGCCGGUCCCCAUCACUCCGCCGCUCCAGGAGCCAGCAGGCGCGCCGCCGCCGUCCAGGAUCUCCAUGGUGCCGCAUUGCUGCUUCCUCCAGCGCCCAAGCCUACCUCCCCUGCUUUGACAUCUACAGCCACCUCACCGUGGCCUCUCCGAGCUCCGCAUGCAUCGACGCCUCAAGCCGCCAUCGUCCCUUUGUGCGUGAGCAAAGGACUCCGACGCCUCCAGCUUCUCCUCAAGCCCCGUCCGACCCUGCCUCGUUGGGGUCCACCUCGUCGGAGCUUCGGUCCUGCACCGUUCGACCGUUCCUGCCCUCCUCGCGCUGGGUCCGGGAAGAUCCGGCGAGCCCUCGCGCCGCUGACGCAAGCCCCUGGCUGCUCCACGGCUACCACACCGCCUAUGACUCGUGCUUCUUCGUGGCUUCGUGUUGGACUGCUAAGACCGCCCGCAUGACUACAAGGUUUUACCCCAACUACCUCGACGCCCGACGCCUAAAACAACCAUCGAACCGGAGAUAAGGCCAAGUACUAGUUCUACAAGGACCGCCAAGUUCGUCCUCCUCCGUCUACGAAAUCGCCAAGUACCACGAUGAUACAAGAACAACUACCGUCAACGUGCAUUUUGCCAAGUACCACUACCGUCAACCCUUGAAGACUCCGUGGAUGUCAAGUUUCUCGCCGUGAACCUGAACAUCUACGAAAACGGUGUACGACUACGACCGUGGCCGAAGAACCAUGUACAACUACCGUCGCCAUGUACCCUUGCUUCCACUUUCGUCGUCGAGGAUCGAUAGUACCACUACUACCCACUGCGCCCGUGUAUGACUUCUUCCACUACGAACGUCCCGAGAACGUCUACUCUCCCUACACCGCAUCGAACUUGAACCGCUCCGAUAAUGCACGCUACAAAGGUAUAACCUCGAGACGACCGCCCGUGAACGAAUGCUUGUGUUGUAUGAGAUGCACCCUUUGUCUGCACCGUGUCCGUUUUGUCACUCGUUUCCAUGCCACUAACCCGUGGGAACCCGGUUACUGCGAGCACCCCACCGUUCAUCACAUGACACGCUCCCGUCACUUUCUUUUGCACCGACGUCUCAAUGAGUUGUCGGAACCGGAACGUUGAUGUGGCACCGUUUCGUUAUCGUCGCCGUGGCACCGUUUCGUUAUCGUUGCCGUGGCACCCCUUUCAUUUCCGCCAUGAUGACAAAUGCUUCUUAAUAUGCUCUUAUCUACAUUUUUCAUAAAUAUUGCAUAACACUUGAACAUGUCAUCCGCGUCAUGAUAAUAACAUUUAAAUGUUUAAAAUUGUUGUUUGCACUAAUUUGCUAAAUGCAUAUGGGGGUUUACCGGAUUUGUUGUUUAUUAUAUCCGGCCCCAUUUAAAUUGUUUAGAUAGUAUAGUUUUCUUAUGCUUCAACCUCUUGCCAUGUUAAUCAACAUUUAAUUUUGUUGAGUACUUAAACGAGAUCGAACUAAAUAAUGGAAUGUGGUGUUUUGUCAAUAUGCAUCCCGAUGCAUAUUGAGCUCCACUUAACUUGUAGUGUUGUUUGUGCACUUUGCCAUGCCAUGCCUCAUUAAAUCAGACAUGCAUCAUACUUGGUUGUGCAUCAUGCCAUGCUUAUGUGAUGGUUGAUUACUAUGUUAUUUGUUUUUUUCCGGUGUUGCUUCUUCGGGUUAGUUUCGAUAACGUCGCGUUUGUGAGGAUUCGUUCGACUUUGUCCGUUUGUCUUCUUCAUGGACUCGUUCUUCUUCCUUGCGGGAUAUCAGGCAAGAUGACCAUAUCCUCGAAAUCACUUCUAUCUUUUCUUGCUAGCUGCUCGCUCUAUUGCUAUGCCUAUGCUGCGAUACCUACCACUUGCUAUAUCAUGCCUCCCAUAUUGCCAUGUCAAACAUCUAACCCACCUUGUCCUAGCAAACCGUUGUUUGGCUAUGUUACCGCUUUGCUCAACCCCUCUUAUAGCAUUGCUAGUUGCAGGUGAAGAUGGAGUUUGUUCCAUGUUUGGAACAUGUGUAUGUUGGGAUAUCACAAUAUUUCUUAUUUAAUUAAUGCAUCUAUAUACUUGGUAAAGGGUGGAAGGCUCGGCCUUAUGCCUGGUGUUUUGUUCCACUCUUGCCGCCCUAGUUUCCAUCAUACCGGUGUUAUGUUCCUUGAUUUUGCGUUCCUUGCGCGGUUGGGUUAUAAUGGGAACCCCUUGACAGUUCGCCUUGAAUAAAACUUCUCCAGCAAGGCCCAAUCUUGGUUUUACAUUUGCACUAACAACCUAGCCUUUUUCCCUUAGGUUUCCGGAGCCCGAGGCUCAUCUUUAUUUUAACCCCCCCGGGCCAGUGCUCCUCUGAGUGUUGGUCCAAACUAGAGUCCUUUACAACGCCCCCUCGGGGAAACUCGAGGUUUGGUUUUAGCUGUACGGAGCGCUCAUCCGGUGUGCCCUGAGAAUGAGAUAUGUGCAGCUCCUAUUGGGAUUUGUCGGCACAUCUGGGUGGCUUUGCUGGUCUUGUUUUACCAUUGUCGAAAUGUCUUGUAACCGGGAUUCCGAGUCUGAUCGGGUCUUCCUGGGAGAAGGAAUAUCCUUCAUUGACCGUGAGAGCUUGUGAUGGGCUAAGUUGGGACACCCCUGCAGGGUUUUGAACUUUCGAAAGCCGUGCUCGCGGUUAUGGGCAGAUGGGAAUUUGUUAAUGUCCGGUUGUAGAGAACUUGAAACGUAACUUAUAAAAUGCAUCAACCGCGUGUGUAGCCGUGAUGGUCUCUUCUCGGCGGAGUCCGGGAAGUGAACACGGUUCUUGUGUUAUGCUUGAACGUAAGUAGUUUCAGGAUCACUUCUUGAUCACUUCUAGUUCCCGACCGUGCUUUGCUUCUCUUCUCGCUCUCUUUUGCGUAAGUUAGCCACCAUAUAUGCUAGUGCUUGCUGCAGCUCCACCUCACUACCCUUUUCCUUCCCAUAAGCUUAAAUAGUCUUGAUCGCGAGGGUGUGAGAUUGUUGAGUCCCCGUGACUCACAGGUUACUUCCAAAACCAGUUGCAAGUGCCGAUGAUAACUGUGCAGGCGACGCAACCGAGCUCAAGGAGGAGCUCGAUGAAGAUCAUGUUCGUUGUGUUUUUUCGUUUCCAGUUGAUCAGUAGUGGAGCCCAGUUGGGGCGAUCGGGGAUCGCAUUAGGGGUGGUCUUCUUUUAUUCUAGUUCUGUAGUCGGAGCUUGAUUAUAUUCUGGAUGAUGUAAUGCUUUAUUCAUGUAUUGUGUGAAGUGGCGAUUGUAAGCCAACUCUGUAUCUCUUUCUUAUUCAGUACAUGGGAUGUGUAAAGAUUACCCCUCUUGCGACAUGCCUACAAUGUGGUUAUGCCUCUAAGUCGUGCUCCGACACGUGGGAGAUAUAGCCGCAUCGUGGGUGUUACAGCUAGACCCAGGCGUGACGUUGAGGUCGAUGACGGCCACGGGGCGCGGUGUCGACGGCGCGAACAAGCCCACGUCAGGCGACCCCGAGAAACGGGUCUGGCCGUUGUGCCUUGGCAAAAGAGAGCCGGGCGACAUGGGCGCGGUGCGCGAGGUCGGCGACUGGCAGUGCGUAGGCCGGGCGACCGACAAGCCUUUGCUCGCCGGGCCGACGACUGCUGCAGGGAACCCGGCCGGACGGCCCAUGCCAAGCAUGAGGAUGGCGUGCGCUUUGUUGACGAGGUCCUCCUUCUCGUCGGCCGCGGCCUUGCGCCGCGCGGCCUCCAGCUCAUCGCGUUGGGCGGCGAACUUGGCUGUGGCGGCACUGACCUUGACGACCGCUCUUCGUUCCCUCCUCUUCGCCGAUUCCGCGUCCAACUUGGCGAUCUCCUCUGGCGUGCACUCUGACCGCGGCUUCCUUGGCGCCUUCUUCUUCACCUUUGCGGGCGGGUCGACGGCCAGGCCGCCGGAACUCGGCAGGGCGUCGGCCAUGGAUGGGGGAGAGAGGGGGCGGCGGGAGGGACGUGGGAGGGUUUGGGGAAAAUGGCGCCAAAUGGGCGUGGGGGGAGUUGGUUUCUCCCACCGACAGGCGGGCCAGGGGAGGACAAGCGUGCACGUCCUGCCCGUCCGCGCGCUAUCCGUUUCACCCCAAAACCGGCGCAAACUUGGGUCGGGGAUGGGUCGAAAGCGGACACAAAGCGGACAAAAGUCCGUUUGCGCCCGCGCGCUGGGCCGUCUCGUUUGUCCCUUUUACCCCAAACGGACGGGGGCGGACAGGAUAGGGUCGCACGGUGGAGUUGGCCUUAUUUUCAUACUAAACCAUGCAACAUUCAUAAAAACUACGCAGAUCAUGAGCGGACAUACAAAUGCAUAAUCGGUUCAUUAAAAUCACAGUUGGAUCAUCGAAAGAUAGUCAAAGUUCACAUAAUACACAUAGUACGGCGGACAAGUUCAAACUACAACUAAAAACUUGAAAUAAAGACAGAUCUUCACCACUUCCUCGCCGGCCCUUUGCCCUUCCGGUCGUCGGCGCAGCUGUAGGAGUCCGUGACAAGAGGUGGGUCCACGUCGGACCCGUCGGAGGAGGCGGAAUUGGAGAUGACGAUGAAGCCUUGCAAGCAUCGGACGACGUGGUCUUGCCGGCGCUUGAGCUUGGCCACCCUCACCGCCUCCAUCGCUGCCUCCGCCGCCUCCUGCUCGGAUUGCUCAAUGGCGAGCCGGGGCUGCUUAGCGUUGAGCCUCCGGAGCCGUCGGGCCUUCGUCUCCGCCUCAGUUAGUGACCGGCGACACGCCCACUCAAAGAGACGGUCCUCCUCGUCGGGCACCCGGCGUUGGUAGGCGAACUGCGCAGACCCAUCGGACUCGCCAGCCAUUUCCCUAGCCCUCUGCCUCUCGCGGCAGGCAGCUCGUGCCUCCAACUCCGAAGUUCGCAUUCGCGGCAUCGGCUGAGCGGCCGGAGGUGGAGGAGGCCGUCGGGUAGGAGGAGCAGAUGUGGCAGGCCUCGCAGAUCCGCACACAGGGCGGGAAGGGCCGGCGCUAGCAUCGGCGCUGGCGUGAUGGGCCACAAGGGGCAUCGCACCAAACCCGGAGCUGCCGCCCGUAUCGACCCGCGAGCGCUCGAGCGCGAUACGGAGCGCCAACUCCUCAUGGCCUCCGGAUCUGCCGUUGGAGAGGCUGCCAGUGCUGGACAUGCUCGCCGACGCUAGGGAUUUGGCAGAUCGUGGAAAUAGCAGCGGCGGGAAGGGGAGGGGGAGCGGAGUGAGCUAGGGUUUCUGUCGGGCGAGUUUUAUUGUGGGAUUGGGGUGGGCUAGCUGUGGGUCGGGCUGAUGUGGUGGGCGUGCCCGGGUGUGCCCGGACCGCCUCAUAUCUGCCCUACAUUUGGGACGGAUAUGACGGGUGCCGGUCAGCCCGAGCAUUUGAGCCCCGUUUGAGAGUUUCGAUUGGGCCGGUAUUUCGUUAGCGGACAGUGAACGGACGGCCUGCCCGGGCAUAUGAGACAGAUAUAGGUCACCCGGUUGUAGAUGCUCUAACGCCCUAUAACAUUUGGGAUUAAGACUAUCCCCAUAGAUUAAUGAUACAUCUCCGUCGUAUCUACUUUUCCAAACACUUUUGCCCUUGUUUUAGACUCUAACUUGCAUGAUUUGAAUGGAACUAACCCGGACUAACACUGUUUUCGGCAGAAUUGCUAUGGUGUUAUUUAUGUGCAGAAACAAAAUUUCUCGGAAUGACCUGAAACUUCACGGAACAUCUAUCCUGAAAUAAUAAAAAAUCCUUGCAAAAGAUGAAGACCAGGGGGGCCACCACCUAUGUGACGCCCCCGAUUCAAUCGUACACUAAUCAUGCACGCAAAUGUGUACGAUCAAGAUCAGGGACUCACGGGAAGAUAUCACAACACAACUCUAAAACAUAAAAUAAGUCAUACAAGCAUCAUAAUACAAGCCAGGGGCCUCGAGGGCUCGAAUACAAGUGCUCGAUCAUAGACGAGUCAGCGGAAGCAACAAUAUCUGAGUACAGACAUAAGUUAAACAAGUUUGCCUUAAGAAGGCUAGCACAAACUGGGAUACAGAUCGAAAGAGGCGCAGGCCUCCUGCCUGGGAUCCUCCUAAACUACUUCCGGUCGUCUUCCGCGGGCAGCACGUAGUAGUAGGCACCUCCAGUGUAGUAGGGGUCGUCGUCGACGGUGGCGUCUGGCUCCUGGACUCCAGCCUCUGGUUGCGACAACCAGAAAGAAAGGAAAGGGGAAAAGGGGGAAAGAAAGCAACCGUGAGUACUCAUCCAAAGUACUCGCAAGCAAGGAACUACACUACAUAUGCAUGGGUAUAUGUGUAAGGAGGCCAUAUCAGUGGGCUGAACUGCAGAAUGCCAGGAUAAAAGGGGGAUAGCUAAUCCUGUCGAAGACUACGCUUCUCGCAGCCACCGUCUUGCAUCAAGUAGAAGAGAGUAGAUUGAAGUCCUCCAAGUAGCAUCUCCAAGUAGCAUCUCCAAAUAGCACCUCAUAGCAUAAUCCUACCCGGCGAUCCCCUCCUCAUAUCCCUGAGGUAGAGCGACCACCGGUUAUAUCUGGCACUUGGAAGGGUGUGUUUUAUUAAGUAUCCGGUUCUAGUUGUCAUAAGGUCAAGGUACAACUCCAAGUCGUCCUGUUACCGAAGAUCACGGCUAUUCGAAUAGAUUAACUUCCCUGCAGGGGUGCACCACAUAACCCAACACGCUUGAUCCCAUUUGGCCGGACACACUUUCCCGGGUCAUGCCCGGCCUCGGAAGAUCAACACGUCGCAGCCCCACCUAGGCAAAACAGAGAGGCCAGCACGCCGGUCUAAACCUAAGCGCACAGGGGUCUGGGCCCAUCGCCCAUAGCACACCUGCACGUUGCGUGGGCGGCCGGAAGCAGAACUAGCCCCCUUAAUACAAGAGCAGGCUUACGUUCCAAUCCGGCGCGCGCCGCUCCGUCGCUGACGUCUGAAGUGCUUCGGCUGAUAUCACGACGCCGGGAUACCCAUAACUACUCCCGCGUAGAUGGUUAGUGCGUAUAGGCUCGUAGCCGACUCAGAUCAAAUACCAAGAUCUCGUUAAGCGUGUUAAGUAUCCGCGAACGCCGAACAGGGCCAGGCCCACCUCUCUCCUAGGCGGUCUCAACCUGCCCUGUCGCUCCGCCUCAAAGAUCCACACAGAGGGCCGUCGGGACAAAGGUCCUUUCAGCCCCCAAUCAGUGAAUCACUCGCGGGUACUCUUCGAGCUGACCCGACUUUAGUCACCAUCUGUAUAGUAUGUAUGUAUGUAUAGUAUAUACCCGUGAUCACCUCCCGAGUGAUCACGGCCCAAUAUUAUAGCAAGGCAGACUGACACGAAUGUAGGGCCAACAAUGAUAAUCUAGCAUCCUAUACUAAGUAUUUAGGAUUGCAGGUAAGGUAUCAACAGAUGUAGCAACAAUGUCAGGCUAUGCAUCAGAAUAGGAUUAACGGAAAGCAGUAACAUGCUACACUACUCUAAUGCAAGCAGUAUAGAGUAGAAUAGGCGAUAUCUGGUGAUCAAGGGGGGGGGGCUUGCCUGGUUGCUCUGGCAAGAGAGAGGGGUCGUCAACUCCGUAGUCGAACUGGGCAGCAGCAGCGUCGGUCUCGUAGUCUACCGGAGAGAAGAGGGGGAAGAAACAAUGAAUACAAUGCAAACAAAUGCAUAUCGAUGCAUGACUUGACAAGUAACGAUGCUAGGUGUGCCCAAUCGCGGUAGUAGGUGAUACCGACGAAGGGGGGAAACAUCUGGGAAAGUAUUCCCGGUGUUUCGCGUUUUCGGACAGAUGAACCGGAGGGGGAAAGUUGCGUGUUUGGUAUGUUAGAGGUGUGUGGUGGACGAACGGGCUGCGUAUCCGGGUUCGUCUCGUCGUUCUGAGCAACUUUCAUGUAGAAAGUAUUUUCAUCCGAGUUACGGAUUAAAAGAUAUGAUUUUCUAAAGAUUUAAAUCAUUUUCUGAUUUUAUUUAUUCAUUUAAAUCCAACCUUAUCCAGAACAGUGCCUGAUGACGUAGGCAUGACAUCAGAGUGAUGUCAGCAGGUCAACUGGUCGGUUGACCAGUCAAACCAGACAGGUGGGUCCAGUGGGACCCACAUGUCAUUGUCAGGGACAAUAACAGAGUUCUAAAAUUAACUGAAAGGGUUAAUUAAGGUGUGGGUCCUAGCAGUCAGUGAGAGGUUAAAGUUUUAAUUAACUAAUUUAAUUAAUUAGCAGUUUAUCUAGUUGUUUUCUUUUUUUUAUAGCAUGGGGCCCGCAUGUCAGUGCCAUUGGGCUGCCCAGUCAGCACGUUGACCCAGUCAACAGGUCAACAGGGGCCCCGGGCCCACCAGUCAGUGGCCCGAGACGGUGCCUCGUGGGUGCCAGCUUGGCACCCGCCGGAGACGCGCCGGGGCUAACUCCGGCGACCAAAACAACGGCGGCCCCUCGCCGGAGUUGGCCGGAACCGUGCUACGGGGCUCGGUUUCGGGCGUGCGUGGGUGCGCUCGAACGGUCACUCGACCGCGCGUCGAGUGGUGGUGGUGGCAUCGCCGGACCUGGCCGGAAACGUCACCGGCGACGAGGUCCGCGGCGUUGCGUUCGGGCGCUCAUCAGGGAUGGCGCAAAGAGGCACGGGAGGGGGCGUGCGCGUGUGCGUUGAGUCGGGUGUUCGACGCCGCGUCCAUCUAUGGUGGCGGCGUGGCCCGUAACGGGCUAGGACGACGACGGCGAGAGGCCGAGCGGACGCCGGUGUUCGGGCGCUGUCGGAAACGAGGCUAGAGGGCACGGGAAGGCACGGGUCCGAGCUCGUUGGGCUCAUGGGAGCAAGAGGAGCUCGAGGCCGUGCCCAGGUGAGUGCGACAGGGGCCGUGGCCACGGCGGCGAGGUACACCACGGCGAUCGGAGCCCGGGCACGACGACGAGCUAGUUACCGCGCGAGCUAGGAGAGCUAGAGGGCGGAGGAGGGAGGCAGCUCACCUAGCGGCACGCACGAAGGCCGGUGGUAGUUUAGUAGCAGUAGGGGGGGUGUCCCCGGAGUUGGUGAAGAACGCGGCCGCUGGAGAUGAGGGCGAAGGGGAUCCGGUGAUUCGGGGUUCCUCCGCUCCAGCUGAGGCCUCCGGUGGACGAGGAAGAUGACGGAGGCGUCGACGGACACGCUGGCGCGGCGAGGCGGCGACUGUGGCCGUGCGAUUCACGGCGGCGAGGCCAUGGCGGCGCUCGGUUGCGGUGGGGAAGGAGGGGGAGAUGGAUCUGGAGGGGAGAGGGAGAGGCGCAAGGACCAAGGGGAGAGUGGGGCGAGUGGGAGGGGAGACCGAGGGGGCGCGGCGUCGGCGUCCUUAUCCCCUCGCCUCGUCGCCGGCGAGGGGGGUUCGGUUGGGACGCGCCCUGUUCCGACCCGGGUCGGGGGAACAGGGGAAGGGGACGCGGUGCGGGGGCUGGGCCGGCCAGUCUGGCUGCGGGCCAGGGGGAUUGGCGGUGGCCGUGCGGGUGGGUUGGGCUGGCUGGUCCAGGGGGCUUCCCCCCCCCCCUUUUUUUGGUUUUCUUUUUUUUAUUUAUUUUCCCUUUCUGUUUUAUUUAGUUUUAGGGCAUCUAGGCAUUUUAUAAAAUAGUGUUUGCUUCACCAUAAUUACCAGUGCAAUAUUUGGCAACCCCCGAACAUUUUCGCUUUGACUUUUGAAAACUUAGGGUGUUUGACACUAAUUCAUAUUUUGAAUUAGCAAUGAUUUUGAACUACCACUUGGUUAGCAACAGUAACACUGGUGACAUGGCAUCAUUAUAAGAGUUUUACUGUAGCCUAAUUAUCCGGGCGUUACAAAUCUCCUCCACUACAAGAAAUCUCGUCCCGAGAUUUAGGAGGUAGAAGGAAACAGUGCGGGGUAUUCAUCACGCAGGCGAUCCUCACGUUCCCAAGUGGCUUCAUCUUCAGAAUGGUGCGACCACUGGACUUUGAGGAACUUGAUCGCCUUCUGGCGUGUGCGGCGUUCAGCUUGGUCAAGAAUGCGGACCGGAUGCUCUUUAUAGGAGAGGUCCUGUUGCAAUUCGAGCACUUCAUGAUCCACUGCUCGGAUUGGGUCCUUGAAGCAGCGACGGAGCUGCGAUACAUGGAACACAUCGUGAACCUGAGAAAGGUUCGGCGGAAGCUCCAGUUGAUAUGCCACCUUUCCACGCCUUUCCAGAAUAGUAAAUGGGCCAAUAUAGCGAGGAGCUAGCUUGCCCUUGAUCCCGAAGCGGUGAGCACCCUUCAUUGGUGUAACUCGAAGAUAGGCCUUUUCGCCAGGUUGAUAGACCAUGUCUUUAUGAUGACGGUCGUAAUUACUCUUCUGGCGUGACUGAGCAGUCUUGAGAUUCUCGCGAAUAAUGCGGACUUGCUCUUCGGCAUGUUGGAUAAUAUCCGGACCAAAGAGUGGACGUUCCCCCGUUUCUGACCAGUUCAGAGGGGUUCGGCACUUUCGUCCAUAUAACACUUCGAAGGGGGCCAUCUUCAGACUAGCUUGAUAGCUAUUAUUAUAAGAGAACUCAGCAUACGGGAGAGAUUCCUCCCAUUUCUUGCCGAAGGAUAUAACACAAGCUCGAAGCAUGUCUUCGAGAACUUGGUUGACACGUUCAACUUGCCCUUGUGACUGAGGAUGAAAAGCAGUGCUGAAAGACAGAUGAGUGCCCAUAGCUUCUUGGAAACUUGCCCAGAAUCUUGAAGUGAAUAAGCUGCCACGGUCUGAACUGAUUACCAAUGGAAUACCGUGAAGCGAGACAAUUCUGGUCAUGUAGAGGUUUGCCAGCUGACUAGCAGUGAUCGUUUCCUUGACAGCCAGAAAAUGUGCAACUUUAGAAAGUCGGUCAAUGACGACAAGAAUAGCAUCAUUACCCUUUUGCGAUUUGGGAAAUCCAGUAACGAAGUCCAUCUCGACAUGGUCCCAUUUCCAUUCAGGAAUAGAUAUAGGUUGCAGAGUUCCAGCAGGCCUUUGAUGUUCUGUUUUGAUACGACGGCAAACGUCACAUUCAACAACAUAACGAGCAAUGUCUUGCUUCAUGUUAGACCACCAGAAUCUCUGGCGGAUGUCUUGGUACAUCUUUGUACUACCAGGGUGGAUACAUAGAGGUGUAUCAUGAGCUUCUUUCAUAACCUCCUGAGUCAUAUUCAGGUUUUCCUUCUUACAUGGCACCACUAGGCGGCCUUUGAAGUACAAGGCGCCAUCAUCAGCAAUAGUGAAGGAUGAGGGACUUCCUUCUUUGAGGUCUUGCUUAAUCUUGUAGACUUCAGAGUCAAAUCCCUGCAUUGUCUUUAUGGUGCCCACGAGAUCGGGUUCAACAGCCAGGGUAUAGAGGGAACCCUGGGAAACAACACGGAGAUUCAUCUUGCGGAACUCCGGAGGAGGGGGAGCGAGUGUACCCGGAGGCACAAUAUGGAGGUUUAGCUUUCUGAAUUCUUCAACAAGUGAGGGCUGAACUUUGUGAACCUGGAGGUGGUUGCAGUAAGACUUGCGGCUCAAGGCAUCAGCCAUUACAUUAGCCUUGCCUGGUGUAUAGGAAAUACCCAAAUCAAAGUCUGCAACAGUCUCCAUCCAUCUCUGCUGACGGAGGUUCAGGUCUGGCUGAGUAAACAGAUACUUCAGACUUUGGUGGUCAGUGAAGAUCUCACAACGAUUACCGAGUAGGUAAUGUCGCCACUGUUUUAGCGCAUGAAUGACAGCAGCAAGUUCGAGGUCGUGAACUGGGUAGUUCUCUUCGUGAGGGCGCAAUUGACGAGAGGCAUAAGCAACCACUUUGCGCUCUUGCAUUAGGACACAGCCUAAUCCUUGACGGGAAGCGUCGCAGUAAAUGACGAAGUCCUUCUUAGUAUCAGGAGGAGCUAGUACUGGGGCAGAAGUCAACUUGUCCUUGAGUGCCUGGAAACUUUCCUGACAUUUAUCUGUCCAUUGGAACUUGACGCCCUUAUGCAAUAGGUUAGUCAGAGGCCUGGCAAUCUUGGAGAAGUUCUCGACGAAUCGACGGCAGUAGCUGGCGAGACCGAGAAAACUUCUGACUUGCUUAACGUUCUUCGGAGGAGUCCAAUCGAGAAUAGCCUGAACUCGUUCAGGGUUGACGGCAAUACCAUCCUUAGAGAUGACAUGCCCGAGAUAGGUUACUUCGGGCAGCCAGAAUUCACACUUGGAGAACUUGGCAUAUAGCUGAUGCUCUCGUAGCUUUUCCAGCACAAGACGAAGAUGUUCAGCAUGUUCUUCUUCACUCUUGGAAAAUAUCAGGAUAUCAUCCAGAUAAACCACGACGAACUUGUCGAGGUAAUCCAUGAAUAUAUAGUUCAUCAGGCGAGAGAAGGUGGCUGGAGCAUUGGUCAAGCCGAAAGACAUGACGGUGUACUCGUAUGAACCAUAACGAGUCACAAAGGCGGUCUUGGGGAUAUCCUCCUCACGAACACGGAUUUGGUGGUAUCCCAACCUCAAGUCGAGUUUAGAGAACACUGAUGAACCAGCCAGUUGAUCAUAAAGAUCAUUGAUCCGAGGAAGAGGAUACUUAUUCUGAAUGGUAGCUUGAUUUAUAGGACGGUAGUCUUGGACCAAUCGGUUUGUCCCAUCUUUCUUCUUGACAAAGAGAGAAGGUGCUCCCCAAGGAGAGCAACUUGGGCGAAUGAAACCGCUUCGAAGAGAUUUAUCGAUUUCCUCCUUAAGCUCAAGGAGUUCAUGCGGCGGCAUCUUGUAGGGUCGCUCGGCUAUAGGAGUAGUGCCUGGUUUCAAGUCGAUGACGAAUUCGACAGCUCUAGCGGGGGGAAUCCCUGGGAGUUCUUCUGGAAAGACGUCGAGGAAGUCACGCACGACGGGGAUGUUUUCAAUGCCCUCGAGUGGUGCGGCGUUCAAUGCAUUCAAUGCAUAGAGCCUUACUUCGGCAUUCUUAACCAGAUGGGCAUUGUAGCUUAUUAUCUCAUCAGAAGGGUGUAGCAGAUGGACGGUCUUGGUGGCGCAAACGAUAGAAGCAGUAUGCGCCUUUAACCAAUUCAUUCCCAGAAUGAGGUCAAUGCUACAGGACUUCAGUACGAUGGGAGAGACAAGGAAUUCCAGUCCUUCGAUUUCUACAGGGACGUCGUUGCAAAUCAUGGAGGUUCGACAUUAGCCCGCAGGAGUGUGUACUAAUAGUGAAGCAUUCAUGUCCUCACAUUUAAUGUCGUGCAAGCAUGCAAAAUCUUCUGACAUGAAUGAAUGCGAUGCACCUGUAUCGAAUAAAACAGAUGCAGGUACUGAAUUUACGAGGAGUGUACCCAUCACAGUAGCAGGCUGAUCUUGAGCUUCAUUCAGAUCAACGUGGUUGGCAUGAACACGGCCAUAAGACUUGGCAUUGUUAUUGCGGGUCUGGUUGUUUCCACGGCCAGCGGCUGGAAGGGCCAGUUGAUUCUGAUUCUGAAUGCAAUCCCUAGCACGGUGACCUGGUUGACCACACUUCUAGCACAGGCCAUUAUUGGGAGUGGGAACAGGAGCUUGGGGUGGCGGAGCUGGAAGCCUCGGCUGCCUAGUUGGAGCAGCUAGCAGACGAGGUGCAGCAUAAGACUGCCUUGGGGCAGGUGCAUUUGGACGGUACAUGCUGUUCGAGAUCCAUAUCUUACGCUUCUGCGAGGGCGGGCCCGAAGAUGAGCCCGUGUCACGGUUGCGCCUUUGAGAGCUCUGGUGUUCUUGCAGACCCGUCUCGACAUUGAUGGCCUUGUUCACCAAGGUGGCGAAAUCGGCAAAGUCAUGCACUAGAAGUGCGAGCUUGAUGUCAGCUUGAAGGCCUUCACGGAACUUCUCCUGCCUGCGAGCAUCAGUUGAAAUGUCUUCUUCAGCAUAGCGGGAUAAGUCCAGAAACUCCCGCUGAUAAGCUUCAACAGUCUUGUUGCCUUGGGUGAGGUUGCAAAACUCACGCUUCUUCCGGUCCAUGACUCCCUGAGGAAUGAAGCGGGCACGGAAGGCAGCCUGAAAGUCUGGCCAGGAGAUAAUUGUCCCAACUGGCAGAGUACGCCUGUGGCUGUCCCACCAUUGCGCUGCGGGUCCCUUUAGAAAGAAUGAAGCAAAAGUGACAAAGCUGGCAGGGGCUACAUCAGCAGACUCCAUCUCAUAGGUGAUGUCACGGAGCCAGUCAUCAGCAUCAAGCGGCUGGGUUGAGCUGCGGUACACACUUGGGUUGAGGCGUAUGAAAUCCUGCAGAGUGGUUGUAUUUGGAUGCUGGUUCAUAUUGGGGCGAGGAAACUGAGGCAUCAUGUUUUCCAUGAACUGGCGAUUCAUCUCAAGCUGUUGGAUCAUACCAGCCAUGUACUCAGGCGGUGGUGGGAAGUUGCCACCACGACCACGACCAGCUGGUCUAACCAUCCUGUUAAUAUAUAACAGGGGUAGUUCAGUAUUGAGAAAUUUGCAUAGACAAGAGUCAUUCAUGAUGAAACAUGCAUAAUGAAAGGAGCACGACAGCUACCACAUAGAUAGUCGGCAUAACUUACAAAAGGGGUCGGACAUCGAGUUCAGUACACAGAGUUCAGUACAUAGAUUAAGUCAUCAUAGGCGGCACGCUGGCUCGCGAAUGCAUCUAAUACUAAUGAGCAAGGCUACAUCAGUCCCAGGAGGUACUGUGAAGGUAGCUGUAACCUGACAGCUGGUAGUGGGGCAAUGGAUAGUCCUCCACGUUAGUGGCCUGGGGGCCGCGGAUACUCUGGUGUAGAACCCGACGCUCAGGUGGCAGAAGAGGACCAAGUGCGGGAGAGUAGCCUCCCACCUCUGGCCAUCCGACACCGUGGGGCAUCACGGUCCUGGCUGGGUAGAGCGCAGAACGCGGCAGCUGUCCAGACCGGACAAAGGGGUGCAACCGCGUCAGAGCCCUGUAAAGGUGCUGACGAGUGGUGUACAACUCGUGGCGAAGAGCUCUGUUAGCUCGGUCCAGCCCAUCAGCAUGCAUAACCAGGCGCUGAUGGUGGAAAGGCUCUCGGGUGACGGUGGAGUAGGCGGCAGUGUAGUAUCCCUCCGCACCAACGUCAGAUGCGAUAGGAAUGUGCCUGAAAGGGGAAGUGUGCAAUGCCUGAUACUCUCCACGAAGACGUGUCAGAGCAGCAUGAGCCGCAUCGUGGACUGCCAUCUCGAUGGUCACUCCAACACCAUGAGCGGUGUGCAGCACGGUAGUGGACUCAUACUCCCGAGAGUAGAGGUGGACGAUGGCACGGUACUGCUCCUGGUUAAAGUCCUGGUACUCCUCGUAGACGGUGUACUCAGGGUGCCAGCGAUAACCCAGAUAGGUCAUCAUAUCAGCUAGCACAGCAGGUGAUCCUGAGGCACCAAUGGCCGCAGUGUGGCGCACGACCUGCCUCGCGGGUUCCAUCUGAAAACAAAGAUGUUUCAAUGGAGUCAAAUGACAACAUGGGCACUAUUCAAAAUGCUAUCCUACAGAAUAACUAUGGCUUAUCCAACUUUGGGGUGAACGUGGUAACGGGAUCCUAAUGUCAGAGUUAGUAAAUUCGUUUAACCCGAGUAGAAAAGAGUUCAAAGUCCCAGAGUAAAGGUCGAGGAGUAAAAGAUCCUAGUACCACCCAAAUGGCGACGUGGGCCCGUAAGGCUCACAGCCAUGUUAGUAAAAGUUUUGUAGUGACUGGACUCGACUUCGGCCAAGGAGUGUGGAAGGGGGAUUCCUACAGGCAGUCGGCUCUGAUACCAACUUGUGACGCCCCCGAUUCAAUCGUACACUAAUCAUGCACGCAAAUGUGUACGAUCAAGAUCAGGGACUCACGGGAAGAUAUCACAACACAACUCUAAAACAUAAAAUAAGUCAUACAAGCAUCAUAAUACAAGCCAGGGGCCUCGAGGGCUCGAAUACAAGUGCUCGAUCAUAGACGAGUCAGCGGAAGCAACAAUAUCUGAGUACAGACAUAAGUUAAACAAGUUUGCCUUAAGAAGGCUAGCACAAACUAGGAUACAGAUCGAAAGAGGCGCAGGCCUCCUGCCUGGGAUCCUCCUAAACUACUCCCGGUCGUCUUCCGCGGGCAGCACGUAGUAGUAGGCACCUCCAGUGUAGUAGGGGUCGUCGUCGAUGGUGGCGUCUGGGUCCUGGACUCCAGCCUCUGGUUGCGACAACCAGAAAGAAAGGAAAGGGGAAAAGGGGGAAAGAAAGCAACCGUGAGUACUCAUCCAAAGUACUCGCAAGCAAGGAACUACACUACAUAUGCAUGGGUAUAUGUGUAAGGAGGCCAUAUCAGUGGGCUGAACUGCAGAAUGCCAGGAUAAAAGGGGGAUAGCUAAUCCUGUCGAAGACUACGCUUCUCGCAGCCACCGUCUUGCAUCAAGUAGAAGAGAGUAGAUUGAAGUCCUCCAAGUAGCAUCUCCAAGUAGCAUCUCCAAAUAGCACCUCAUAGCAUAAUCCUACCCGGCGAUCCCCUCCUCAUAUCCCUGAGGUAGAGCGACCACCGGUUAUAUCUGGCACUUGGAAGGGUGUGUUUUAUUAAGUAUCCGGUUCUAGUUGUCAUAAGGUCAAGGUACAACUCCAAGUCGUCCUGUUACCGAAGAUCACGGCUAUUCGAAUAGAUUAACUUCCCUGCAGGGGUGCACCACAUAACCCAACACGCUUGAUCCCAUUUGGCCGGACACACUUUCCUGGGUCAUGCCCGGCCUCGGAAGAUCAACACGUCGCAGCCCCACCUUGGCAAAACAGAGAGGCCAGCACGCCGGUCUAAACCUAAGCGCACAGGGGUCUGGGCCCAUCGCCCAUAGCACACCUGCACGCUGCGUGGGCGGCCGGAAGCAGAACUAGCCCCCUUAAUACAAGAGCAGGCUUACGUUCCAAUCCGGCGCGCGCCGCUCCGUCGCUGACGUCUGAAGUGCUUCGGCUGAUACCACGACGCCGGGAUACCCAUAACUACUCCCGCGUAGAUGGUUAGUGCGUAUAGGCUCGUAGCCGACUCAGAUCAAAUACCAAGAUCUCGUUAAGCGUGUUAAGUAUCCGCGAACGCCGAACAGGGCCAGGCCCACCUCUCUCCUAGGCGGUCUCAACCUGCCCUGUCGCUCCGCCUCAAAGAUCCACACAGAGGGCCGUCGGGACAAAGGUCCUUUCAGCCCCCAAUCAGUGAAUCACUCGCGGGUACUCUUCGAGCUGACCCGACUUUAGUCACCAUCUGUAUAGUAUGUAUGUAUGUAUAGUAUAUACCCGUGAUCACCUCCCGAGUGAUCACGGCCCAAUAUUAUAGCAAGGCAGACUAACACGAAUGUAGGGCCAACAAUGAUAAUCUAGCAUCCUAUACUAAGUAUUUAGGAUUGCAGGUAAGGUAUCAACAGAUGUAGCAACAAUGUCAGGCUAUGCAUCAGAAUAGGAUUAACGGAAAGCAGUAACAUGCUACACUACUCUAAUGCAAGCAGUAUAGAGUAGAAUAGGCGAUAUCUGGUGAUCAAGGGGGGGGGCUUGCCUGGUUGCUCUGGCAAGAGAGUGGGGUCGUCAACUCCGUAGUCGAACUGGGCAGCAGCAGCGUCGGUCUCGUAGUCUACCGGAGAGAAGAGGGGGAAGAAACAAUGAAUACAAUGCAAACAAAUGCAUAUCGAUGCAUGACUUGACAAGUAACGAUGCUAGGUGUGUCCAAUCGCGGUAGUAGGUGAUACCGACGAAGGGGGGAAACAUCUGGGAAAGUAUUCCCGGUGUUUCGCGUUUUCGGACAGAUGAACCGGAGGGGGAAAGUUGCGUGUUUGGUAUGUUAGAGGUGUGUGGUGGACGAACGGGCUGCGUAUCCGGGUUCGUCUCGUCGUUCUGAGCAACUUUCAUGUAGAAAGUAUUUUCAUCCGAGUUACGGAUUAAAAGAUAUGAUUUUCUAAAGAUUUAAAUCAUUUUCUGAUUUUAUUUAUUCAUUUAAAUCCAACCUUAUCCAGAACAGUGCCUGAUGACGCAGGCAUGACAUCAGAGUGAUGUCAGCAGGUCAACUGGUCGGUUGACUAGUCAAACCAGACAGGUGGGUCCAGUGGGACCCACGUGUCAUUGUCAGGGACAAUAACAGAGUUCUAAAAUUAACUGAAAGGGUUAAUUAAGGUGUGGGUCCUAGCAGUCAGUGAGAGGUUAAAGUUUUAAUUAACUAAUUUAAUUAAUUAGCAGUUUAUCUAGUUGUUUUCUUUUUUUUAUAGCAUGGGGCCCGCAUGUCAGUGCCACUGGGCUGCCCAGUCAGCACGUUGACCCAGUCAACAGGUCAACAGGGGCCCCGGGCCCACCAGUCAGUGGCCCGAGACGGUGCCUCGUGGGUGCCAGCUUGGCACCCGCCGGAGACGCGCCGGGGCUAACUCCGGCGACCAAAACAACGGCGGCCCCUCGCCGGAGUUGGCUGGAACCGUGCUACGGGGCUCGGUUUCGGGCGUGCGUGGGUGCGCUCGAACGGUCACUCGACCGCGCGUCGAGUGGUGGUGGUGGCAUCGCCGGACCUGGCCGGAAACGUCACCGGCGACGAGGUCCGCGGCAUUGCGUUCGGGCGCUCAUCAGGGAUGGCGCAAAGAGGCACGGGAGGGGGCGUGCGCGUGUGCGUUGAGUCGGGUGUUCGACGCCGCGUCCAUCUAUGGUGGCGGCGCGGCCCGUAACGGGCUAGGACGACGACGGCGAGAGGCCGAGCGGACGCCGGUGUUCGGGCGCUGUCGGAAACGAGGCUAGAGGGCACGGGAAGGCACGGGUCCGAGCUCGUUGGGCUCAUGGGAGCAAGAGGAGCUCGAGGCCGUGCCCAGGUGAGUGCGACAGGGGCCGUGGCCACGACGGUGAGGUACACCGCGGCGAUCGGAGCCCGGGCACGACGACGAGCUAGUUACCGCGCGAGCUAGGAGAGCUAGAGGGCGGAGGAGGGAGGCAGCUCACCUGGCGGCACGCACGAAGGCCGGUGGUAGUUUAGUAGCAGCAGGGGGGGUGUCGCCGGAGUUGGUGAAGAACGCGGCCGCCGGAGAUGAGGGCGAAGGGGAUCCGGUGAUUCGGGGUUCCUCCGCUCCAGCUGAGGCCUUCGGUGGACGAGGAAGAUGACGGAGGCGUCGACGGACACGCAGGCGCGGCGAGGCGGCGACUGUGGCCGUGCGAUUCACGGCGGCGAGGCCAUGGCGGCGCUCGGUUGCGGUGGGGAAGGAGGGGGAGAUGGAUCUGGAGGGGAGAGGGAGAGGCGCAAGGACCAAGGGGAGAGUGGGGCGAGUGGGAGGGGAGACCGAGGGGGCGCGGCGUCGGCGUCCUUAUCCCCUCGCCUCGUCGCCGGCGAGGGGGGUUCGGUUGGGACGCGCCCUGUUCCGACCCGGGUCGGGGGAACAGGGGAAGGGGACGCGGUGCGGGGGCUGGGCUGGCUGGGCCGGCCAGUCUGGCUGCGGGCCAGGGGGAUUGGCGGUGGCCGUGCGGGUGGGUUGGGCUGGCUGGUCCAGGGGGCUUCCCCCCCUUUUUUUGGUUUUCUUUUUUUUAUUUAUUUUCCCUUUCUGUUUUAUUUAGUUUUAGGGCAUCUAGGCAUUUUAUAAAAUAGUGUUUGCUUCACCAUAAUUACCAGUGCAAUAUUUGGCAACCCCCGAACAUUUUCGCUUUGACUUUUGAAAACUUAGGGUGUUUGACACUAAUUCAUAUUUUGAAUUAGCAAUGAUUUUGAACUACCACUUGGUUAGCAACAGUAACACUGGUGACAUGGCAUCAUUAUAAGAGUUUUACUGUAGCCUAAUUAUCCGGGCGUUACAACCUAUCCACGAGGGUGGGGGCGCGCCUGCCCCCCUAGGGCGCGCCCCCUACCUCGUGGGCCCCCUGGAGCUCCCCCGACCUCAACUCCAACUCUAUAUAUUUUGUUUCGGAGAGAAAAAAAAUCAGAAAGAAGGAUUCAUCGCGUUUUACGAUAUGGAGCCGCCGCCAAGCCCUAAAACCUCUCGGGGGGGCUGAUCUGGAGUCUGUUCGGGGCUUCGGAGAGUGAAAUCCGUCGCCAUUGUCAUCAUCAACCAUCCUCCAUCACCAAUUUCAUGAUGCUCACCGCCGUGCAUGAGUAAUUCCAUCGUAGGCUUGCUGGACGGUGAUGGGUUGGAUGAGAUCUAUCAUGUAAUCGAGUUAGGUUUGUUAGGGUUUGAUCCCUAGUAUCCACUAUGUUCUGAGAUUGAUGUUGCUAUGACUUUGCUAUGCUUAAUGCUUGUCACUAGGGCCUGAGUGCCAUGAUUUCAGAUCUGAACCNNNNNNNNNNNNNNNNNNNNNNNNNNNNNNNNNNNNNNNNNNNNNNNNNNNNNNNNNNNUAGUUUUGUUAGGGUUUGAUCCCUAGUAUCCACUAUGUUCUGAGAUUGAUGUUGCUAUGACUUUGCUAUGCUUAAUGCUUGUCACUAGGGCCUGAGUGCCAUGAUUUCAGAUCUGAACCUAUUAUGUUUUCAUCAAUAUAUGAGAGUUCUUGAUCCUAUCUUGCAAGUCUAUAGUCACCUACUAUGUGUUAUGAUCUGGCAACCCCGAAGUGACAAUAAUCGGGACCACUCCCGGUGAUGACCGUAAUUUGAGGAGUUCAUGUAUUCACUAUGUGUUAAUGCUUUAGUCCGGUACUCUAUUAAAAGGAGGCCUUAAUAUCCCUUAGUUUUCAUUAGGACCCCGCUGCCAUGGGAGGGUAGGACAAAAGAUGUCAUGCAAGUUCUUUUCCAUAAGCACGUAUGACUAUAUUCGUAAUACAUGCCUACAUUACAUUGAUGAAUUGGAGCUAGUUCUGUGUCACCCUAUGUUAUGAUUGUUACAUGAUGAACCGCAUCCGGCAUAAUUCUCCAUCACCGAUCCAUUGCCUACGAGCUUUCCAUAUAUUGUUCUUCGCUUAUUUACUUUUCCGUUGCUAUUGCUAUCAUCACUACAAAAUACCAAAAAACAUUACUUUUGUCAUCAUUACCUUUUGCUACCGUUACCACUACUAUCAUAUUACUUUGGUACUAAAUACUUUGAUGCAGAUAUUAAGUUUCUAGGUGUGGUUGAAUUAACAACUCAGCUGCUAAUACUUGAGAAUAUUCUUUGGCUCCCCUUGUGCCGAAUCAAUAAAUUUGAGUUGAAUACUCUACCCUCGAAAACUGUUGCGAUCCCCUAUACUUGUGGGUUAUCAAGACUAUUUUCUGGCGCCGUUGCCGGGGAGCAUAGCUCUAUUCUUUGAGUCACUUGGGAUUUAUAUCUGAUUAUCAUUAUGAAAAACUUGAGAGAUCCAAAAACCAAGAUUUAUCCCUCAACUACGAGGGGAGUUAAGGAACUGCCAUCUAGCUCCGCACUUGAUUCACCUUCUGUUUUGAGUAAACUUGCGACACCUAAACAUGUUUCUGCUAUUCGUUCUGAUAUGUCACAUGUUAUUGAUGAUGCCACUUCUGCUAUGCAUGAUACUUAUGAUAAAACUACUUCUACGCUUGAUACUACUGUGCCACUUGGUGAAUUUCUUGAUGAACAACUUGCUAGGGUUAGAGAGAAUGAAAAUAUUGAAUCUGAUAAUAUUGAUGAAAGUGAUGAUGAAGACUCUCCCUCUAAUGAAUAUGAAUCACCUGUUAUUCCUGAGGGUUAUGUUUUUGAAAAAGAAGCUGCUUUAGCUAUUUUAGCUUGCAAAGAUAGAUACGAACUCAAGAGGUUAUUAGCUAAAUGGAAGCAGCAAUCUCUUAAUGCUAGAAUGAAACCUGACCCUGCUUUUGCUACUUCACCUAUCUUUGUUACUGAUAAGGAUUAUGAAUUCUCUGUUGAUCCUGAUAUAAUUACUUUGGUUGAAUCUGAUCCUUUUCAUGGCUAUGAAUCUAAAACUAUUAUGGCACAUCUUACUAAAUUAAAUGAUAUAGCCACCCUGUUCACUAAUGAUAAGAGAACUCGUUACUUUUAUAUCGUUAAAAUAUUUCUGUUCUCAUUAAAGGGUGAUGCUAAGAUAUGGUUUAAUUCUCUUGAUCCUGGUUGUGUGCGUAGUCCCCAGGAUAUGAUUUAUUACUUCUCUGCUAAAUAUUUCCCUGCUCAUAAGAAACAAGCUUGGGGGGGGGGGCUUCUCAAGUUACUUAAUGCUUUGCCUGAUCACCCUCUCAAGAAAAAUGAAAUACUUGAUAUCUUUUAUAAUGGACUAACUGAUGCUUCCAGAAAUUACCUGGAUAGUUGUGUUGGUUCUGUUUUCAGGGAAAGAACACCGGAUGAAGCUGAAAUUCUAUUGAAUAAUAUGUUGGCAAAUGAAAAUAAUUGGACACUUCCUGAGCCAAUUCCCGAGCCUAUUCCUAAACCAACUCCAAAGAAAAGGGGUAUUCUAUUUCUCAGUCCUGAAGAUAUGCAAGAGGGAAAGAAAUGUAUGAAAGAAAAAGGUAUUAAAGCUGAAGAUGUUAAGAAUUUACCACCUAUUGAAGAAAUACACGGUCUUAAUUUACAGCCUGUUAAAGAAACAUAUGAUCUUAAUUCAUUACCUAUUGAAGAAACUCAUGGUCUUGAUAACCCGACACAGGUAGUAAAGGUAAAUUCUCUCUAUAGAUAUGAUAAAGCUGCAAUCCCUCUUACUAAGUUUGCUAGCCCAUGCUUAGAUGAGUUUGAUAAAUUUAUGGUUAAUCAAAAAGACUUCAAUGCUUAUUUUGGUAGACAAUUGAAAUACAAUUCAAAUAUGCUUGAACACUUGGGUGAUUAUAUGGCUAAUUGCAAAGGUGAACUUAAACUUAUUAGUAAACAUGCUUCUAUGGUUACCACUCAAGUAGAACAAGUACUUAAAGCUCAAAAUGAUUUGCUCAAUGAAUUGUAUAGUAAGAACAAUGAUAAUGCUGUUAGAGUUAUGACUAGAGGUGGUAAAAUGACUCAGGAACCUUUGUAUCCUGAAGGCCACCCUAAGAGAAUUGAGCAAGAUUCUCAGAGAAAUGAUGUGGAUGCACCUAGUCCUUCUAAUAGGAAGAAAAAGAAAAAUGAUAGGACUUUGCAUGCUUCUAGUGAACCUAUUACUGAAACACCUGAGAAUCCAAAUGAUAUUUCUAUCUCAGAUGCUAAAACACAAUCUGGUAAUGAACCUGAAACUAGUGAUAACGUUAAUGAAAUUGUUCAUGAUGAUACUCAACCUAGUAAUGAUAAUGAUAUAGAAAUUGAACCUGCUGUUGAUCUUGAUAACCCACAAUCAAAGAAUCAACGUUAUGAUAAGAAAGACUUUGUUGCUAGAAAACACGGUAAGGAAAGAGAGCCUUGGGUUCAGAAACCCAUGCCUUUUCCUCCCAAACCAUCCAAGAAAAAGGAUGAUGAGGAUUUUGAGCGCUUUGCUGAAAUGAUUAGACCUAUCUUUUUGCGUAUGCGAUUAACUGAUAUGCUCAAAAUGAAUCCUUGUGCUAAGUAUAUGAAAGAUAUUGUUACAAAUAAAAGAAAGAUACCGGAAGCUGAAAUUUCCACCAUGCUUGCUAAUUAUACUUUUAAGGGUGGAAUACCAAAGAACCUUGGAGAUCCGGGAGUACCCACUAUACCAUGCUCCAUUAAAAGAAACUAUAUUAAAACUGCUUUAUGUGAUCUUGGAGCUGGUGUUAGUGUUAUGCCUCUCUCUUUAUAUCGUAGACUUGAUUUGAAUAAGUUGACACCUACUGAAAUAUAUUUGCAAAUGAAUGAUAAAUCAACUGCUAUACCUGUCGGUAUUUGUGAGGAUGUGCCUGUUGUGGUUGCAAACGUUACUAUUUUAACGGACUUUGUUAUUCUUGAUAUUUCCGAGGACGAUAGUAUGUCUAUUAUUCUUGGAAGACCCGUUUUCAAUAUUGUAGGGGCUGUUAUUGAUUGUACUAAAGGCAAUGUCACUUUUCAUGUUAAUGGUAAUGAGCAUACGGUACACUUUCCGAGGAAACAAUCUCAAGUUCAUAGUAUCAACUCUAUUGGAAAAAUUCCAUCAAUUAUAUUUGGAGGUUUUGAAUUUCCUCUUCCUAGUGUCAAGAAGAAAUAUGAUAUUCUUAUUAUUGGGGAUGUGCAUAUCCCUGAUGAGGUAACAUAGUGUUAUUCGAAAUUUCUCCGGUUCCAUGUUAUUCGGAAUGAGUUCGUUAACAAGACUUGAUCAACCUUGUUAGUGGAUUCCUUUUGAUGAUCAUGAGAUGGAUGAAACUAGAAGGCACAACCUUCUGUACCCUCCUCUUACUUUCUGUUAUUUAUACUAAAUAAAAUAAAAAUAGUAUUUUUCUGUCAGUUAUCUGAUUUAUCCGUGCAAUAUAAAAAUACCCCGAAAAUAAAAGUUCUCCAAAUGCCCUAAAAUUUAAAUAUGAUUUUUUCUGAAAUAUUUGAGAAUAUUUGGCACUGAGAACACAGCAGGAGGAGCUGGCACCUGGCCACGAGGGUCAGGGGCGCGCCCUACCCCCCUUGGCGCACCCCCUGCCUCGUUGGCCCAUGGUGGCCCCCCUCCACUUAUUCCUGCACCCACACACUUCUUCUUCCUCCCAAAAACACCAAUAUCCAGCUCAAGCAUGAGUUCUAGCUCAUUUUGCUGCGAUUUUUGAUCUCCUUGCUCAAAGCACCUCUCACAAAACUGCUUGGGAAGAUUGUUCCUUGAAAAUAAUGAAGAGAUUCUUGAGGGGCUCAUCAAGCCGAAGCUAGAAAGAAAAGCAAAAUGAAAAGGCAGAGAGGCCCAAAUAUAAUCUGCCUCGCACCACGGAGGUUCGGCCAUGUGAAUGGCCUUCCGAUGAUUUCUUGAGAGCAGCCGGGAUUUAUGAUGAUUUUUAUGAAUUGGCUGAGAAUGCAGGCCUCACCGCCUUCCUCCACGACCAACGCGCACAAUAUCUCAUACUCACUAAUAUCUUUGUGCAAAACUUUCAUUUCCAUGCUAGGAGCUCACCACCUACGGUGGAGUUUUAUUUAUAUGAUGAGCAUAAGGAGAUGUCACUUUAUGAUUUUUGUCGGGUUUGUUUGAUCCCUUUCGAGGGCACGAUAGAGGAACCACAUCGCGGCGAUGUGGAUGGUUUUAUUGAUACCAUCACUAAAGGGGAAACGAGGAAGGUUUCUGAUGCAUGAAUCACUAGCAUAUAUUUUCCUGUUUUACACUACUUUGCAAUAUUUGCUAGUAAUUGCUUAAUUGGUCGCAGAAACUGUGGAAACCUUAGUGUUUCUGAUAUUAUUAUUUUGUUCCACGGUUUAUUCUGUGAUAACUCUGUUAGUAUGGGCGGUAUUAUUGCUAAACGGUUAAGUCCGAACCGUACAAAGGGCCCCAUCUUUGGAGGCAUCUAUACUUCACGCCUAGCUGCACAUUUUAACAUACCUAUUAGGCAUUAUGAGAAGGAAGAAAAAGUGUUGCCUCGUGUUUAUUUAGAUUAUAAGAGUAUGGUGGCACACGAUUUUAUUGUUAAGAAUAGGGAAGGGGAGCUUAAAUACAAAUUGUUCUUUCAUAAACAUCAUCCUGAGACUAUUACCCUGCCUGCUCCUUCCUUGUAUGAUUUAUCUUCAGCAGUACCUUGUUUCGUUAGAGGCUAUUCACGCCUACCGGAACCCUACAUCAGCCACAGAGCCAGAGUCGGAACCACAAGUUGAUCCUCCACGACAGUCUAAUUACCAUUGGGAUCGGGAGAUGAUUGCCAACCAGUGGCAAUCAGAGUCGUCUUCAUCUCAGUACGACCCCAACUAUUAUUAUGGAUAUCCGCCAGGCGAACCGUGGCCAUAGACCAACUUAGGCCAAAAGCCUAAGCUUGGGGGAGUACGUAUUUCUCACCGACAUUACAUUUAUGUUUACACACUCACUGCUAGAUGUCAGUGCUCAUACUUUUUCAUUGUAUCAUCCAUGCUAAUUUAUUUUCCUUUUUAUACUCUCUUCUUGUGUGUUUGAUAAACCUUAAGAAAAACCAAAAAAAUUAGUUGUAGCUUUUAAUUAGUUUACUUUCCAUGCUUGUAGUAGUAAUUAAAAAAUCCAAAAAGAUUUCAUGUUCUUCUUUUGCUUGUUGGGAGCUUUCCCGUGUAAAUAGUUUUAUUUUUUUUCUUUGGGGGUCGAUAGGAGAAGACCAUAAUUAAAUUGUUGAAGUAGCUCUUAUAUGCAUUAUUGUUGAUCUGACAAAAUAGCUCAUAUUGCCUUGUCUUCUCCUGUUUAUUGAAUGCUUGCAGAUUCCAGCUUAGUCCAAUGCACGUGCACUAUUAUUAUUAUUCACACUAUUCGGUCGUGUAAGUGAAAGGCAAUUAUGACGAUAUAUGAUGGACUGACUGAGAUGAGAAAAACUGGUAUGAACUCGACCUCUCUUAUUUUUGUAAAUAUGAUUAGUUUAUCGUUUCUGAUUCAGCCUAUUAUGAAUAAAUAUGUUUGCAAUGACAACUAGAGAUCAUAGUUUCUUAUGCCAUGCUUGAUUAGCUAGGAGCUUAUAAUGGUUUAUCUUGCGUGCCAACAUGCUAUUAAAAUGGUUGUGAUGUGGUAUGAUAGGGUGGUAUCCUCCUCUGAAUGAUUUAAGUGACUUGACUUGGCACAUGUUCACGCAUGUAGUUGAAACAAAAUCAACAUAGUCUUCACGAUAUUUAUGUUCAUGGUGGAUUAUAUCCUACUCAUGCUUGCAUUCGGUGUUGAUUAAUUUUAAUGCAUGUUCAAGACUGUUGUCGCUCUCUAGCUGGACGCUUCCCAGUCUUUUGCUAGCCUUCACUUGUACUAAGCGGGAAUACUGCUUGUGCAUCCAACUCCAUAAACCCCAAAGUUAUUCCAUAUGGGUCCACCAUACCUACCUAUAUACGGUAUCUACCUGCCGUUCCAAGUAAAUUUGUAUGUGCCAAACUCUAAACCUUCAAAUAAAUAUCCUGUUUUGUAUGCUCGAAUAGCUCAUGUAUCAACUAGGGUUGUCCGUAUCUUCCAUGUUAGGCGGGUUAUUCUCAAGAGGAGUGGACUCCGCUCCUCACUCACGAGAAAGUGGCUGGUCACCGGGAUGCCUAGUCCCAUGCUUUAUGCAAAUCAAAUCAAAAUAAUUGCAAACAAAACUCCCCCUGGGACUCUUUUUAGUUAGAGGCACUCGUUGUUUCAAGCAAGCCAUGGAUUGAUGCUUGUUGGUGGAGGGGGAGUAUAAAUUUACCAUUCUGUUUGGGAACCGCCUAUAAUGUGUGUAGCAUGGAAGAUAUUGCCAUCUUUUGGUUGUUAUGUUAACAAUGAAAGUAUACCGCUCAAAAUAUUAUUCAUCUCUAUUUCAAAACCGAGCUCUGGCACCUCUACAAAUCCCUGCUUCCCUCUACGAAGGGCCUAUCUAUUUACUUUCAUGUUGAGUCAUCAUCUUCUUAUUAAAAAGCAUCAGUUGGAGAGCACCGCUGUCAUUUGCAUUCAUUACUGUUAGUUUACAUUGAGUAUGACUUGACUGGAUCUCUUUUACCAUGAAUUACAAUGUCUAGUCAGUCCUUGAUCUUUAAAGGUGCUCUAUAUUUAUGUUUUGCGGUCUCAGAAAGGGCUAGCGAGAUACCAUCUUGUUAUAUCAUAUUAUGAUUGUUUUAAGAAAGUGUUGUCAUCCGAGAUUUAUUAUUAUUGCUCGCUAGUUGAUUAUGCCAUUGAUAUGAGUAAACUUGAGACCUAAGCGUUAUUGUGAAUGUGGUUAGUCAUAAUCUUUGUUGGAAACUUGAAUGCUGGCUUUACAUAUUUACAACAACAAGAGCAAACAGAGUUUGUAAAAGUUUUUCUUUAUCACUUUCAGUUUGUCAACUGAAUUGCUUGAGGACAAGCAAAGGUUUAAGCUUGGGGGAGUUGAUACGUCUCCGCCGUAUCUACUUUUCCAAACACUUUUGCCCUUGUUUUGGACUCUAACUUGCAUGAUUUGAAUGGAACUAACCCGGACUGGCGUUGUUUUCAACAGAAUUGCUAUGGUGUUAUUUAUGUGUAGAAACAAAAGUUCUCGGAAUGUCCUGAAACUUCACGGAACAUCUAUUCGGAAAUAAUAAAAAAUCCUUGCAAAAGAUGAAGACCAGGGGGCCCACCACCUGUCCACGAGGGUGGGGGGCGCGCCUACCCCCCUAGGGCGCGCCCCCUACCUCAUGGGCCCCCUGGAGCUCCCCCGACCUCAACUCCAACUCUAUAUAUUUUGUUUCAGAGAGAGAAAAAUCAGAGAGAAGGAUUCAUCGCAUUUUACGAUACGGGGCCGCCGACAAGCCCUAAAACCUCUCGGGAGGGCUGAUCUGGAGUCCGUUCGGGGCUUCGGAGAGGGGAAUCCGUCGCCAUCGUCAUCAUCAACCAUCCUCCAUCACCAAUUUUAUGAUGCUCACCGCCGUGCGUGAGUAAUUCCAUCGUAAGCUUGCUGGACGGUGAUGGGUUGGAUGAGAUCUAUCAUGUAAUUGAGUUAGUUUUGUUAGGGUUUGAUCCCUAGUAUCCACUAUGUUCUGAGAUUGAUGUUGCUAUGACUUUGCUAUGCUUAAUGCUUGUCACUAGGGCCCGAGUGCCAUGAUUUCAGAUCUGAACCUAUUAUGUUUUCAUCAAUAUAUGAGAGUUCUUGAUCCUAUCUUGCAAGUCUAUAGUCACCUACUAUGUGUUAUGAUCCGGCAACCCCGAAGUGACAAUAAUUGGGACCACUCCCGGUGAUGACCGUAAUUCGAGGAGUUCAUGUAUUCACUAUGUGUUAAUGCUUUGGUCCAGUACUCUAUUAAAAGGAGGCAUUAAUAUCCCUUAGUUUCCAUUAGGACCCCGCUGCCACGGGAGGGUAGGACAAAAGAUGUCAUGCAAGUUCUUUUCCAUAAGCACGCAUGACUAUAUUCAGAAUACAUGCCUACAUUACAUUGAUGAAUUGGAGCUAGUUCUGUGUCACCCUAUGUUAUGAUUGUUACAUGAUGAACCGCAUCCGGCAUAAUUCUCCAUCACCGAUCCAUUGCCUACGAGCUUUCCAUAUAUUGUUCUUCGCUUAUUUACUUUUUUUUGUUGCUAUUGCUAUCAUCACUACAAAAUACCAAAAACAUUACUUUUGCCAUCAUUACCUUUUUCUACCGUUACCACUACUAUCAUAUUACUUUGCUACUAAAUACUUUUCUGAAGAUAUUAAGUUUCCAGGUGUGGUUGAAUUGACAACUCAGCUGCUAAUACUUGAGAAUAUUCUUUGGCUCCCCUUGUGCCGAAUCAAUAAAUUUGGGUUGAAUACUCUACCCUCAAAAACUAUUGCGAUCCCCUAUACUUGUGGGUUAUCAAUUAACACUAGUCUUUUCUACGCACUUUGUCCUCACUCGUGCGUACUCGAGACUAACUUCCCGGUCGGUUAUCCAUCCUGGAAUUACUUCAAGCCAAGCAUGCCGUGACGCCCCCGAUUCAAUCGUACACUAAUCAUACAGGCAAAUGUGUACGAUCAAGAUCAGGAACUUACGGGACGAUAUCACAACACAACUCUAGACACAAAUUAAAACCGUACAACUUUAUUACAAGCCAGGGUGCCUCGAGGGCUCGAAUGCAUAAGCUCGAAUACAAAUGAGUCAGCGGAAGUAACAAUAUCUGAGUACAUACAUAAGUUAAACAAGGUUGCCUUAAGAAGGCUAGCACAAAAGUAACAUGAUCGAAAAGGCAAGGCCUCCUGCCUGAGAGCCUCCUAACUACUCCUGGUCGUCGGCGGCCUUCACAUAGUAGUAAGCACCCUCAUGGUAGUAGUAGUCGUCGUCAACGGUGGCGUAUGGUUCCUGGGCUUCACCAUCUGGUUGCGACAUCCGGAAAGAAUGGAAACGGGGGAAAAGAGGGAGCAAAGCAACUGUGACUACUCAUCCAAAGUACUCGCAAACAAGGAUCUACACUACAUAUGCGUCGAUAUCAAUGAAAUGGGUUGUAUUAGUGGACCGAACUGCAGAAUGCCAGAAGAGAAGGGGGGAAGUCUAGCCUAUCGAAGACUAGCAUCUUCAAGCAUCUUGCAACAUUUAGAAGAGUAAAGAAUAUCAUAUUAUAUUUAGCAAGUAUGGUGUAUCAUUAGCGCCCAGAGAUCCUUUCUCGACUCCAUGCGAGAAAGCGAUCCCGGAGCCAUCAUAUCCAUUUCUCAUGCCCCAGCAUUCAGUUCUAGAUGUAUUGAUCGGGAUACAACUCCGAGCAUCUGUUACCGUGGACCCGGCUAUUCGAAUAGAUCAAUCUUUCCUGCAGGGGUGCACAAACUUACCCAACACACUCGAUGAACUCCGGCUGGACAUACCAUCAGGUCAUGACCGGCCUCGGUCGAUCAACACGUCAUAAUCCUACCUAGUCUCAAUAGAGAGGUCACACGUCGGUCUAAAUCCUAAAUGCGAAGCGUUCAUGGGCCAAUCGUCCUUUGCAAUCCUGCGCGUUGCGAGGACGACCAAGAUCAGUCCUGGCUACCUCCUUAUAAAAGGCCGAUGCUUAUGCGGACCACCCGGGCGCGUGUCGCUCAACUGUGGUGUCUGAAGAGCUUUCAGGAGAAACGUGUGACGCAGAGUGCCCAUAUUUAUUCCCGCGUGGUGGUCAGUGUGAAAAAGGCCAGAGGCCUACUCGGAUCAAAUAUUCAAACUGUUAGUGUCUUGGUAGUGCGCGGUAACGAGCAGAGACUCACGAUCAUGUGACCCCGUCGCCCCGUCUCGUGGACUUACGGCAAGGGCUAAGAAUGCCCGGCCGUGCCAUGUAAUUAUCUCUCGGGUACCCUCUAGGUAAACCCGACUUCACAUCACUCACGGGUACCCCUCGGGGCCGACCCGAUGCCAUCAUGGUUCUGUGGUAAGUCAAAGUAACUGUGUGCGUGAAACAGCAAGGGGGAAACCUGAGGAAUCGUCCUCGAUGGAUUCCCACUCGAUGUAACCAUCAAGGUGGACUUGGAGGAAUCAUCCUCGUUGGUCCACACUUGAGGGGUUGCACGACAAAGUCGUUAUCGAGAGUGGUGAAGGAGGAAUUAUCCUCGAUGACCAUGACCAAAUAGCUACACUAAAGAGUUAACAUCAGAAGUGCUGACGAGGUAUCACUCUCGGCACUCGAUAAUAACUCUGCAGAGUCGUACAACUAAGGGGGGUGAGGUGCAGUGUCGGGGCCUGGACGUCGAUCACGUUGAUCGAGUCAUCGAACAUAAAGCCCGACAACUGGAACAAGGUGGGGGUCACUGAUGGAUCUCUAACCAACUUAUACUAAGCAGUUUAGGAUAAAUAGGUAAGGUAUGAAAGCAGGUAAUAAAAACAAACUAUGCAUCAGAGUAUGAUCAUACAAAAAGCAGUAGUAGUUCUAAUGCAAGCAUAAGAAAGAAAGGAAUGAGCGAUAUCGGAAUGAUCAAGGGGAGGUUUGCUUGCGUGGAAGCUCUUCUGAAAAGGAAGAAGUGUCGUCGGUGACGUAGUCGAUCACAGGGGCAUUAUCGAUCUCGGGGUCUACCGGAGAGAAGAGGGAAAGAAACAGUAAAUACAAAGCACACAGAUGCAUCACUAAGCAGGACGAGACGAUAAGCGAUGCUCGGGGUGUUUUAACGCGAUGAACGGGGAAAAUAUCCAGGAAUGUUUUCUCAGUGUUAAGCAUUUUCGGACAGAUGAAAUAAAGAAGGACUGUUGCUUGUUCGCUAUGUUAGAGGCACGUGACGGAUGAACUGAAUGGGUAUUUGAACUCAUCUCGUCUUUCUAAGCAACUUUAGUGUACAAAACACAUUCAUCCGAGCUAAUACGGAUGGUAGGAGUAUCGUCGAUUGUUUGAUAUUCAAAUUCUCGAGUCGUCGGUCUUGCUCUUGCCAGCAGCAAGCAAGCGCUUUCAUGUAAACUUACGCUGGCCGAUCGCUACCACUGCCCUUGACUUGCGUGCAGUCUUGUCUAAUCACAGAGUCGUUUCAAUGUAUGACGUUUUGUCCUCUUGCUUUUUUCCUUUGGAACCAUCUCUGGACUUCGGGAGUCUCUUGGGACUUGCUGGUAGCCUGGUACCGGACGUUGAUGCGACGGGGGUGGUGCGUUGUAAAAGAAAAUCGGACCGCAGACAGCCAGUCAGCUAGCCACCUACUCCGAGGUUUAGUACAUCCUUCAACGAAAAAUCUCGCAUUUACGCGAUGCAACUACUGCACGAAGAUACAGAAAAGAAGCAAAGCAUCAGCGUUGUAGUACUAUCCAUACACUUGCGUCUUGAAUCUUGAUCCAUGCAUCCGAUUGGAUACAAAACACUGCAUUUGGAUCUGGUCAAAAAAAAAAAACGCUCCAACAGCUUCUUCCUCGCGUGGUCAGGCUAGAUCUGCAUCUCUCGCUCGGGGAGCGCGGUGCGGCGCCUCCUGCCCCCUUCGGUGGCCAUCCUCGUCGCCGGGCCCCACCCCUCGCCGGCCUUCCUCAUUGCCGGUCCCCGUCCUCGUCGGCCGUCCUCGUCGCCGGUCCCCACCAUCCCGGCCGUCCUCGUCGUCGCCUCGACCCAUGCAACCACUCUACCUGCAGCUGCAGCUCUCGACGGCGAUGGUUGUAGCUCCGCCGCCGCCCACGCCGUGGAUGCUGGCUGCAGGGGAUUGCAUCGACGACGGCCGCCAGUUAAUCAGCGCCGUUUGAACGGAUGUAGCAAAAAACUUCACCGGUAGUAGCAAAAAACAACUACGGUUGCAGCAGAAAACGUCGUCGCCAUCGUCGCGGGGUCGCAGCGGUUGUAGCAAAAACCUUCGACGAUAGUAACAAAAACCUAUUAUGGUUGCAGCAAAUCGCCAUUGUCGUCAUCGCGAGGUCGCAGCUCCGCCUUGAUCGAUGUAGCAAAAAACUUCGCCGGUAGUAGCAAAAUUUCACUACGGUUGCAACUUUUCCUUGUUAUGCAGUGCCAUUGAAGUUUUUCUGUAUCUAUGGUUGAAGCUUUUUUCAACAGGUGUUGAAGAUAUUCUAGGUAAUGGUUGCAACACUUGUAGCAAAAAUGCGACGCUGGCUGUGUGUUGUAGCAAAACGUGACGUGGUUGUAGCAAAAUGCUAUGCCAGUUGUAGCAAAAUGUUAUGCCGGUUGAAGCAUGUAGCAAAAAACCGCGACGUUAGAUUUGCUAGGACCAGCGCCGCCCCAUCCUCGCCGUCCAGCGUGUGCCCGUGGUUGCAGGCUUGCAGCUCUAGUUGCUGCGCCCUGAUAGUUCCCAUAGCUUCAUCAGCGACGACUCGGAGAUGUAGUGGGGCGGAGGCCAUGGCUGAGAUCCGAAAGUUGCAGACGGCCAUGGCCGUGUGAAGCUAGCCGGGAGCCGGGGAUACGAAUUGGGGAGGAGGAUAGGAGAGGGGCUCGCCGACCAUGAAGGAGAGGCGGCGUUGGGCGUCGUCGCACGCGAGCACUCGCCGCCGGUGAGAGAGUUUCUGGAGGAUGCGCCCAGCGUGCGGCAGGUGUGGAGGGCAGGGCCGUGAUGGGCUGGAGGUAGAAGAAAAGGAGGAAAAGUCGUGUAGGACCCACCAUAUACAUGUGUCUCGCGUGGGGUGGUUUGUUUCCGAGUCACGAGAGCCAACGUGGCGCGCGAGUCCGGCGGAAAGUUCGACCGGUGCACCGGAUCGAAACGUUUCCCUUUCUCUACGGUACUACUCUCCUUCGAUCUGGUCAUGCGCGUGGGACGUAAGACCAUCUACAUCCAAACUCAGUAAACGCCAAGUUCUAUGGCAAGUGUGGGCCAGGCCCAAACACCAUCAUUCCUGACGUCUCCCGUGCAAGCCAAACGCCAGGGAUGUUGGCGUCACCAGAAAAGGUCAGAUUCGAAUUUCUUUUGCAAACCGGGUCAAUUCUUGAUUAAGUUAGGAAAAAAGGUCAAAACAAUAAUUUUGUGCAAGGGUGUACGAGCAUAAGAGUCGGGCUCACAGCGACUUCAACGGGGCGACCCAAACGGACGCACGCUUUGUCCGCUUUUCGUCUAUUUGGGUCGGUCAGGCAGACGUGCGCGCCGGCAUUCUGUAAUGGGUCGGCUUGACCGUCCAACGGGAGACUGACCCAAAUGUGCCGGCGUAAAAGAAAAAACAGCUCGCACAAAAUAAACAUAAUUAAACAUAAGUGGUCGGUCAAACGCCGGCCAAAGUCCACUUAAACCUAAUUAAACAUUAACUAAAACAUAAAAAAAUGUCUGCGCCCGCCUGCUGCCGCCCCGCACGCUGUCCUAGCGUCGUCGGCCUUGCCCUUGGCCUCGACGCCGUCGUCGCCAUCACCGGUGAGGUCUAUGAAGACAGGAGCAGCGCCAGCCCAUCCGGACGCCGCCUGGUACGCUGCUAGGGCAGCCUCCUCCGGCGUCUGCUGGGGCGGCGGCAUUGCGGCUAGCCGCGCACUCUCCUCCUCGAGCCGGAGCGCCUCCACGUCGCGUUGGAGCAUGGCCUCGUAGCGCAUCUACUCCUUGCUGUCGGCCUGCUCCUGACGGAGCCAGUGCGUCUUCCAGCACUCGAGGUGGGCCGCCUCCUGCACCGUCGUCGCGACGAAGUGGACGGGAGGCGCGCUCAUGGUACUGGCCCAUCCAUGAGUAGGCCUCCUCCGGCCAAGUGGGUGGAGGCGGGGAGCGCUUCCGCGUCAGCUUCGGCUCCGGCUUGGGCUGGAUGGGCGGCGAUGGUGGUGGUGGCGGUACGAAUAGCGGGGUGUGGACGGAGUCCCCCAUCGCCGACAGGGCAAGGUCUUGCUCCAGCCUAUCCCAGUGCACAUCCUCCUCGAGGCGGCUAGCCGCCAGCGCGUGAUGCAGGGCCUCCUCGAGGGCGGCUUGGUACUCUGCCUCCACCUCCAUGUCCUCCGGCUCUACCUGCGGGGGCGGCGGUGGGAUGGUGGCGACACCCGAACGUCGUUGCUCCUCGUGUUCGAGGGCGAACCAAGCCUUCCAGUUGGGAGAGUCGGCGGCGUACUCGGGCAGCCGACGCUGCUCCGGCAUGAGCUGCGCGUGGUGCCUGCGUACCUCCUCAUUGUGCGCCCGCUGGCUCCACGGAACCGCCGACACCAGAAUCCGCUGCGGAUCCAGGUGUCAAUGGUGCGGCAGCAUGAUGUCGGGGUACGACAGCGGCUGCCUGUACUCCCAGUGCCACCGCGCUUGGUGCACCGGGAUGUCCAGGCGUCGGUGACCGGGGCGGAAACGCGCCGGCGCCGGAGGAGGAGUGGGAGGGGAGUACGGGAGGACGAGGCGCCGUGGGUGCCCUUUCCCUUACCAUUGCUGCUGCCGAACAGGCCCAUGACACGCUAGGGUUUGAUGUCACCGGCGAGGAAGCAAAGAGAGUGGUGGGGGCCAGAUGUGGACGGGAGAAGUGGAUGAGGCCGGCCCCCGCUGCACGCGUGCUUAAAAAAGGACGCUUCCACUGGCUGACUAGUGGGCCCAUUGUCGGUGGUCAUCAUAAAAAAGACGACGGGUGGCGGUUGGGUGGCCUACAGGUGGUGGCGCGGCGGACGCCAAGGAGACGCGCGGCGCGUCGGUGCUGACGCAUUUCAGGCGUAAUUUUCGGCCGGAAAUGGGUCGGUGCGAACGCCAGGCGGACACGAUUUGCAUUUGGGUCGGCGCGUUGGGCCUCCACUUUUGUCCGCGCCAAUCCAAACGAACGCAGAUGGACGAAAUGGGUCGCCCCGUGGGAGUUGCUCUCAGCAAAUCCAACCCCUCAAUCAGCCGCAGACGUGUCCGCGGGCACUUUCUAUAUCCUCGUCUCCACACCUACAUAUCUCAUAUUCCGUCCCCUAUUUUCAUACUAAACCAUGCAGUGUUGAUAAACACUACGUAGAUCAUGAGCGAACAUACAAAUGCAUAAUCGGUUCAUCAAAAAAUCACAGUCGGAUCAUUGAAAGAUAGCCAAAAUUCACAUAAUAUACAUAAUACGGUGGACGAGUUCAAACUAUAACUAAAAACUUGAAAUAAAGACGGAUCUUCACCACUUCCUCGCCGGCCCAUUACCUUUUCAGUCGCCAGCACAAAUGUAGGAGUUCACAACAAGAGGUGGGUCCAUGUCGAAGCCGUUAGACCCGUCGGAGGAGGAGGAAUCGGAGAUGACGAUGAAGCCUUGCAAGCGCCGGACGACGUGGUCUUGCUGGCGCUUGAGCUUGGCCACCCUUGUUGCCUCCGCCGCCUCCCACUCGGAUUGCUCAAUGGUGAGCUGGAGCUGCUUAUCGUUGAGCCUCCGGAGCCAUCGGGCCUUCAUCUUCGCCUCAGGCAGUGACCGGCGGCACGCCCACUCGAAGAGACGGUCCUCCUCGUCGGGCACCCGGCGUUAGCAGGCGGACUGCGCAGACCCGCCAGCCAUCUCCCUAGCCCUCUGCCUCUUGCGGCGGAUCAGCUCGUGCCUCCGACUCCGGAGUUCGUAUCCACGGCGUCAGCUGAGCGGCCAGAGAUGGAGGAGGCCGUCGGGCGGGAGGAGCAGAUCUGGCAGGCCUCGCACAUCCGCGCGCGAGGCGGGAAGGGUCAGCCCCGGCAUCAGCGCUGGCGUAACGAUCGACAGAGGGCGUCGCACCGGACCUGGAGCUACUGCCCAUAUCGACCCGCAAGUGCUCGAGUGCGAUACGGAGUACCAACUCCUCCUCGUCUUUGGAUCUACCAUCGGAGUGGCUACCGGUGCUGGACAUGCUCGCCGGCGCUAGGGAUUUGGCAGAUUGGGGAAAUGGGAGUGUCAGGAAGGGGAGGGGGAGCAGAGUGAUCUAGGGUUUCUGCCGGACGGGGUUUUCUGUAGGAUCGGGGUGGGCUAGCGGUGGGCCUGGCUGAUGUGCGGUGCUGGUGUAUGAGGGGUGCUGGUCAGCCCGUGCAUUUGAGGCCCGUUUGAGAGUUCCGGUUGGGUCGGUAUUUCGUGACUGGUCAGUGACCCGACGGCCUGCCCGGGCAUAUGAGACGGACAUAGGGCACCCGACUGUAGAUGCUCUAACGCCCUAUUAUGUUUGGGAUCAAGACUGUCCCCAUAGAUUAACAUUAGUCUUUUCUACACACUUAGUCCUCACUCGUGUGUACCUGGGAUCAACUUUCCGAUCGGUCAUCCAUCCUGGAAUUACUCCAAACCAAGCACGCUUAACUUUGGAGUUCUUUUCGAAUGGGCUCCCAGAAAAGAAGGAAUUACUUGUUGAUAUGAGUAGUAUAUCAUCCCUAUUAAGGCGGGCUCUCACAGGGGGUCAGGACGGCGAGGGCAAUUCCUAAACGACGCAUUAGUGCAUCUACAGCUCGGCGCCCCAAACUGGCAUCAAACGUCCGAGCGGUCCGCCGGUCACCGACCGUUCAUGAAAAUGUGACGUAGACGGGUGCCUCAAACGGGUCUUAAACAUCCGGACUAACUGACACCCUUCAUAUCUAGUCCAAAUAUGGGACGGAUAUGGGGCGCGCACCAUGUAGGACUGAUGAUGGGGUCCCACGCGAAAACGCCCAGAAACACGACGGUCCGACGGAUGCCUCCUCUGUGGUUGCGUGAAUGCCGCAUGGUGCCGCUCCGACUCGUGACCCGAGGUUAAAGCCGGUCGACGUCCCCCAACCCUAGCGCAUCCACCCCCUUCCUCUCUGCGCCGCCAUCCGAGCCCGUCCGCCUUCUCUCCCCUACUCUCCCACGCUCUUCGGCAUCGCCAUGGUCCGGGGCCUGAUCACCACGUAUGCUAUGUUCACGCUGGAGAACAGGAGGCAUAUCGCGGAGGAGAUCCAGGCACGCACCGCCCGCAUCGUUGCCGGGAUGCCUCCAGACUCGCCGGAGCUGGAGGAGGAGGAGGAGGGAGAACCGCUGCCGGAGCUGGAGAAGGAGGAGGAGCAGCCGAAGGAGGGGAGAAGGAUGAGGAGGGGGAGGGAGAGCCGCUGUCGGAGCCGAUGGAGGUGGCGGGUCCGGAGGAGGAGGAGGCGAAGCAGGCUGCUCCGGGGGGUUCACCAUGGCGGAGGCAGAGGCGGAGUUCGCCGUCGCCCAAACCGCGGAGAUGGCGGAGCAGCAGGCCAUCCUGGAGUCCAUCCAGGAUGAGGCUUGUGUGAAGGCCAAGCGCUAGUUCCUCUGGCAGGAGCAGGCGGCGUCCGACGCACUCUUCGCCGAACUCGACACAGAGAUAUAGGAGAAGGAGGCUGGAGUGGAGCAGCAAGAGGCGCCGGAGCUGCAUCUGCCGUCCAUGUACCGGGGUCGGACAUGGAGAUUGUCAACAUCUUCGACGAGGAAUAGGUACGUAGUACAUAGGUUUUUAAGUUUGCAUGCUUUUAUAUGGAUUCGAAAAUCUAGUAUGAGAUGUCUGGAUGUUGUUGUAUUGAUUUGAGGAGUGCCAGAUCACUACCCGUGGACGCGCGGCGUUUAGGGGCCAUAUUUGUCAUAUCCGAUUGUAGAUGCUCUUAAGCACUCGUUUCUUUUUUUAAGGCUAAAAUCAAGCUUUAUUGAUUAAAUAUCACAUGAUGUGGGAUACAAAAUGAAUCAUGUGGUUCGACAAAUCAGACAUGUCACGCUUGAUCCAACGAACUAGAAAACUAGACUAACCUAUCAUCAUCAUCAUUAGAAGCUCUGCCUUUAAAAGUACUCUUCUUAAUUUCCGCAACCGGGCGCACAUCCUCUUCUCCACGAUAGGCCGGCCCAUAUUCAAUUUUCUUUUUCUAUUUUAAAGCACAAAAAAUUGCGCGCGAAGACUUGGUUCGAAUAGCGCGAGCUAUGUCUCCCAUUCAGUGAGUAGCGAUCUCUCGCUGAAUCGUUCACUGUGAUCGGGCCAACUCAUUACUAGCAAUAUUCUUUCGAAAAGCUGAGUAAAAAGGGGAGCGCGUGGGGAUGGGAGCUCGAGGUUGCUUCGUUGCAUUAAUAGCCACUGGGACAAAUCCAAUUCCUGUUAACCUACUUGGGGCAACCUAUUAGUCCCUCUGUUUUUAAAUAUAAAUCUUUCUAGAGAUUCUAAUGUAAACAACACAUAAAAUAAAAUGAGUGAAUCUACACUCUAGACUAUGUCUAUAUAUAUAUAUCUGUAUAUAGUCCAUAUUGAAAUCUUUGGAAAGACUUAUAUUUAGAAAUGAAGGGAGUAGAAGGAAAAGAACUGUUUUCUCACUGGUUUUCUACUUUUUUUCUGUUCUUUUCUCCAUUUUCUUCUGUUUUAUUCGUUUUUUUCUUGUUUUUUUUCUUUUUUCAUUUGUUGCUUGGUUUUCAAUGCCUUUUCNNNNNNNNNNNNNNNNNNNNNNNNNNNNNNNNNNNNNNNNNNNNNNNNNNNNNNNNNNNNNNNNNNNNNNNNNNNNNNNNNNNNNNNNNNNNNNNNNNNNNNNNNNNNNNNNNNNNNNNNNNNNNNNNNNNNNNNNNNNNNNNNNNNNNNNNNNNNNNNNNNNNNNNNNNNNNNNNNNNNNNNNNNNNNNNNNNNNNNNNNNNNNNNNNNNNNNNNNNNNUUCUCUUUUCCUCUCCGGUUUUUUGUUUUGCUUUCAUUCUUUUUUUGUUCCUUUUCUAUUUUAUUCUUUGGUUUACCUUGCUUGUUUUUCGGUUUUCAUUUUUUGGUUUUCUUCUGUUUUCAUUCUACAUUUUUGUAUAUGUAAACAACAAUUUUCUAAUAUAUGUUUUAACUUUUUUAUAGUGUUUUACAUUUUUAAUACAUGGUCAACAUUUUUAUAUAAAUAUUUAAAAACAUUAAGUGCUUGAUCAUCAUUUUUCAAAUACAAGAUCAACAAUUUUUCUAUGCACAUUUGAAUAUUUUUUAAAUGCUUGACUAAUUUUGUUUAAAUGCAAUAUUAACUUUUAUUGAACAUAUGGUCAACAUUUUUUCUAUACACAUUUAACAUUUCCUAAAUGCUUGAUUAACAUUUUAUAAAUACUUAUUCAACAUAUUUUUCAAAUGCUUGAUUACCAGUUUUUAUACAACUUAUAUUUUUUUUUAUCAAUUUCUAAAUACAGGGUCAGCAUUUUUUCUAUACAAAAUUACAUUUUUUUCAAUAAUUUUUCAACAAUUUUUCUGAUGCUUGGUCAAAAAUUUUAUAUACAUGAUAAAAACAAUUCCACAUUUUUUAAUACAUUGUCAAAAAAUUCAAUACACAUUUAACAUUUUUUAAAUACUUGAUUAUUUUUUUAUAUAUUUGUUCAAGAUUUAAAAAAUGCUUCAUUAACAUUUUUAUAUACAUGAUCAAAUUGUUGUCAUAAAUUUUUCAAUACAUAGUCAACAGUUUUUCUAUAAACAUUUAACACUUUUCAAAUACUUGUUCAAUAUUUUUUUCAGAUGUUUGAUUAACAUUUUUUAUAUACGUGAUCCAUUUUGUUUUUUCAUUUUUAAAUACGUAGUCAAUAUUUUUCUAUACACAUUUGACAUUUUCCAAAUGCUUUCGCAACAUUUCUUCUGUUUUCUCUUUUUUUUCGUUUAUUUUAUUUCUUCUUCUCUCUUUUGUUUGUCCAAUAUUUUUUCAUAUGUUUCUUGGUUUUCAAUGCUUUUUUUCAGUUUCUUUCCUUUCAUUUUCUCUUUUCUUCUCCGGUUUUUUGUUUUCCUUUCGUUCUUUUUUAAUGUUUCUAUAUUUACUUCUUUGGUUUUACUUUUCGGUUUUUUAUUUGUUUUAUCUUGUUUGUUUUUUGGUUUUCUCUCUUUCUUUCUUUUUCAUUCCACAAUUUUUGUAUAUGUUAACAGCAAUUUUUAAUACGCAUUUAACUUUUCUAAUACAAGUUUAACGUUUUUUAUACAUUUUAAAAAAACGUUAAAUUAUUGAUCAACAUUUUACAAAUACAAGAUUAACAGGUUUUUCUAUGCAAAUUUUAAUAUUUUUAAAACGCUUGAUUAACUUUUUCUAAAUGCAAUAUUAACGAUUGAACACAUUGUCAACAUUUUUUCUAUACACAUUUAAGAUUUCCUAAAUGCUUGAUAAACAUUGUACAAAUAUUUAUUCAACAUAUUUUCAAAUGCUUAACUAUCACUCUUUAUACAGCUUAUAAUAUAUUUUAUCAAUUUUUAAAUACAUGUUCAACAUUUUUCUAUAAAAAAUUAUAUUUUGAAAUGAUUGAUAAACAUUUUUCAAAUAAUUUUUCAACAUCUUUUCUGAUGAUUGGUUAAAAAAUUUAUAUACAUCGUAAAAAAAUUGAUCACUUUUUAAUACAUUGUCAACAUUUUUUUAUACACAUUUAACAUUUUUCAAAUGCUUAAUUAUAUUUUUUUGUAUACUUGUUCAACGUUUUACAAAUGCUUGAUUAACAUUUUUGUAUAUACACGAUCAUAUAUUUUUAAUACAAGGUCAAUAUUUUUCUAUACACAUUUAACAUUUUGAAGCACCUGUUCAACAUUUUUGCAAAUGCUUGAUCAAUAAUUUUUAUAUAAAUGAUCAAAUUUGUUUCAUCAUUUUUAAGUACAUAGUCAACAUUUUUUAUACACAUCUAACAUUUUCCAAAUGCUUGCUCAACAUUUUUCAAACACUUGUUCAACUUUUUUUUUCAAAUCCUUGAUUAACUUUUUUAAAUACAUGAUUAAAUUGUUUCACACACAUUUCUAUUUUUUGUAACACAUUGUUCGUAUACAUGACAAACAUUUUCUCUAUACACAUUUAACAUUUUUCAAAUGCUUGGUCAACAUAUUUCAAAUGUUUAUGAAGAAUGAUUUUGUAAUAUUUUUAUUUAAAAUAUUUGGAACUAUAAACAAACGCGAAAAAAGAAAGGAAAAAACGAAAACCAAAAACGUGGAAAAAAACAAAACAGAAAAAAUAACACCAAGGUACUUCUACUGAAAACGCGAUGAUUCUUCCUCUCUAAUUUUUUUCUUGGGAAUACGGUAAUUAUGGGUCUAGAGGAAGGGAAAAUAGAGCCACGAGGGCCCCACAAGGCAACAAGGUGUGCCCCUGCCUUGUGGGCAGGUGGUGCCCCCCCCUGAGUAGAUCUUCACACCGAAAUCUUCUCCAAGUUCUGUCCAAUUCCGAUAACUUUUUUUUCUGCACAAAAAACAACAACAAGGUAGUUUUGGUGAAAACAGCGUCAGUUCGGGUUAGUUUUAUUCAAAUCAUAUAAAUUAGAGUCCAAAACAAGAAUAUAAGUGUUUGGAAAAAGUACAUACGUUGGAGGCGUAUCACUGAGCCAUUUGCGCUUGCGUGGGAUCACAUGAAAGGAUGUUAUAAGAAAUUGCCCUAACCAUGGAAUGGAGGAAUGGUUAAUCCUUCAUAUGUUUUAUAAUGCUCUAAAUCCUAUGUUGAAACUAUGUUCACUACUGCAGGACGAACUAUUUUGGGUAAACCAAUUGAUGAUGUUAAAAGGUUGCUUGAUGAUAUGGAAGAAAACAUGCCUAAUGGCAAUGUUGAAAGGACUACCACCAAGAAAGUCAAAGCAAUUGAAGAGAAUAAUAUGGACUUGGCCGCUAAUCUUGAUGAACUCAUCUCCAUCGUGAAAGGUAAAGAAAAGGUAAGUGUGAAUACUAUUACUGAUGAAGAAGUUAAUGAUGUGGAUUUCACUGCCCGUAAUAGCUAUAAUUCCAACUGGAAAAUUAAUGGGUAUGCUAUUGAUUACCUUAUCCUAAUAAUAGUGGAGCACCUAACAAUUGCAAUGGAGCCAACAAUAGCAAUAGAAAUACUCUUGAAGAGAUGCUAAAUUAUUUUAUUGCUAGUCAAAGUGAGUAGAAUGACACCUUUAAAAAUAUCUUGAAGAAUCAUGAUAACUUACUUGGUUAGUUGACCAAUAAUAUUGUUGGACUUCAUACAUCUCCAUUGUAUCUACUUUUCCAAACUAUUUUGCCCUGAUUUUGGACUCUAAUUUGCAUGAUUUGAAUGGAACUAACCCGGACUAACGCUGUUUUCAGCAGAAUUACCAUGGUGUUAUUUUUGCACAGAAAUAAAAGUUCUUGGAUUGACCUAAAAAUUUACGAAGAAUUUUUGUGGAAUAUAUAAAAAAUACUGCCGCAAAAAGUUACUAGAGGGGGUCCACCCAGAGGCCACAAGCCUGCGACCCCCCUCGCGCGUGCGCGCGUGCCUAGAGGGCUUGUGGCCCCCUGGACCUCCUCUGACUCUAACUCCAACUCUAUAUGGCCCUAUUCGGGGAGAAAAAAAAUUAAAGAGAAGGACUCAUCGCGUUUUACGAUACGGAGCCACUGCCGCCUCAUGUUCUUCAUUGGGAGGGCUGAUCUGGAGUCCGUUCGGGGCUCUAGAGAGGGGGAUUCGUCGCCAUCAUCAUCACCAACCUUUCUCCAUCACCAAUUCCAUGAUGCUCACUGUCAGGACCCUGAUCCUAAAUCACACCGAUCUAACAUGUAACACAUCGUAUCACUUUGCGGCCUCACACAUACUAUUCCCACGGCUGCAGCCUUACCUAGGCCGGGACCAUUUGCGCAUUUUGACUCACGUAUAUGAUUGUGUCGCUAGCAUCCAUAUGACAGAGAACGCGUGCGGCAUGACUAGUGGUGAACCCAAGGUGGCACAAACUUACAGGGAUAGGCAUACGUAACCCAGCAAUGAACGUGUCGGUCAUCAAUGUAUGAAUUCAAGUCGUAGCAAGCUACAAGAACUUAAAGGAACAACGCGUGGCAUUUCCCCGAAGGGACAUACACAGAAACAAAGAAGGAUACAUGCCGGCCAAACUGAGUGUUCCGGAGCAGUAGCGAACUACCAUGGCUUGGUGGAAGCACCAGGAGACAUUUCCCCAUAAGGAAGGCUACCAAGGAUAAACAACUAGGUGUCGGAUCACACAUAUAGCAAUACACGUUACACGUACGCAAACAUGCAAGUAUGCAUUGUACAACAUGGCAUCACAACAUAACUCAACAACUCAUAUAGACAAAGGCCUAGAAGAGCCAUCAUAGCAUUUAUUACAAGCAGUGGGUCUCAUGACACUUCACACAAAGUCAUACAAGCCAAGCGGAAGCAUAAACAUGUCUGAGUACAGACAUCUGAAAAGAGAGAAGGCUAGGAAGCCUGCCUACCUACAAGACCCUACAAAGGAACCAGACCUCUGUCUAGGAUUUCCAAGCUAAUUGCCGAAGCCCACCUGAAACUACUAGUGAGAACGAGGUCUUUGUGCAAAAACAUAAAUUGAGCAAAUGUGAGUACAAAGGUACUCAGCAAGACUUACAUCAGAACUAACUACUUACUAGUAGAAUGCCCAUGCGUUGCUACGGGCUAUAAUACAUAUAAAUGAAUCAAACAAAUGAUUGGUCGUCUUCAAAGUCGAAGCUCAUUUCUUCCUCGUAUGUUUGGGCAUGUUCGAACAUCAAACGGGCGCCCAGCAGGCUCCCUAAAACUCAAUCAUCGGCAUAGUCCGGACUCCUCCAAAUCCAGCCAUAGAGAAAUGUGGUUUUCCAGACUAUCAGUCAUGUUAUCUCAAACACGCGGUCCAAACACAAAAACCGGCCCCACAACGCACCCUGCCCUUUUCCUGCCAGACCCUCUCCUUCCCGCUUGAUUUUCCGCCACAACAGGGUGUUUCUCACUCGAGCCCUCCCCUUUAAAAUCAGAUGACGCUCAUCUUACCUUCAUCAUGGCGCCCUCAAGGAGGAACCUGCUCACCAAUCACCUCGCUCUCCGCCCUGAUCGCCUCCCCGUGUUCAUGCCGACCCACCACCAACAACAAGGGAGGAGGCGUGCGCCUCCCAUGACACCCCUGAGCCAAGAAGGCGGAUAUUAUGUCUCUUCAGUCAUUACCACAUUGUAACAUACGAUUGAACAUCGUGCAUUACCAUGAAAUAAAAAUAUGAUGUUCGUUGUUAUGCAUGCAACUGAUAUGCUACCGAGUCUGUGACUCUUGAAGCAACGAACCAAUGCAUUUACCCUUCUAUGCUAACCACAAAUGUCUAUUAUUAACUCUUGAAGCAACCAACCAAUGCAUUUACCGUUCUACCUAACCCAAAAAUUAUACAACUUGAUGAAAACAAUAUAUGAACCACUCCCUCAUGCAAUUUGUUGUAAAGCCAUCUCUAAUGAAAUGCAAUUUUCCACAUUAGAUAAUGUGAGAAAUUAUUCCCGAUCAUUCUCAACCUCAUUCUUAUCAUAAAAUCCACUAUCUCGUGUUCUAAGUGAGCCAGUGAUCGACGUCAUCAUGGCAGGCCAACAACAAGGGACAAGGGUGGCAACCGCCUUCUUAUCUUGGUGCUAGUAUCUCCUAGUUUUAUAUUGGACCAACACUUCAUCCAGGCUCUACCAUGACAGCGACAUGUUGAUGUGUUGCCUUAGAAAAAGAAAACUAUGCAUAGAAAUUUUCAUCCCAGACAACUUGCACCUACUCCCACCUCCCAUAAGAUGUAUAUUUUUCACUCUCACCUCUCUAGGCUACAUAGGCAUUUUUGUUAUCCUUUUAUCCCUCUAUAGUCGGUCAACCUCCAACUCUAUUAUGGUCUUCAAUAUAAGCCGACUGUGUAAAGUACUCCCUUUGUACCAAAAUAUGUGACUCAAUUUUGUACUAACUUUAUACUAAACCAACAGGACAUCGUCAGUUGAAGACAAUAAAGGUGGCAAUUUAAAGAUGAAAUGCACAACAAUGACUACAGGUGAUCAAUAGUUUUACACUUACACAUACACAUACACAAACACACUCUAAUACAAAUCAAGGUCAUGAGAUAGUCUGCUUGUUUCAAGCUAUCAAGAUCAUACUUUGGCUGUCGACGGUAAUUUGUCUUACAGUGUUACACAAAAACUAUUCUGUAAGAGAUCUUCGGUUUCUGGCAUUGGAAUUAAAUCUGACCCUCUUCCAUUCACAAAUCAUUUUCUUGCUCUUGAUGUCUUGUAUGCCACCACCUUCUUGCCUUCUUUCCAAGUUGGGUUGCACGGUCUCAAGAGGAACACAGGCCAAAGCCGACACCUCCUUUGCUCCAUCGUUCAACAUUCUCCAAGACAUCCUUUCUAAGCGUGCAUAACCCUUUGCUCAUCUUUAGUCAACUACCUUUUUAGAAGCCUACCCACUUGAUCUGCAAGUUAACAAAUCUGGAAAUAGUACUGUUAUGAAAAAUGCUACCAUUCCUAUUAUAAAAAAUAUGUUUGCAUGCUACUAUUGCAAAAUCUGACCUUCCUAUUUUCAAAAUAAAGUUAGUUCCUACUCCUUCCUAGCAUUUUCAUGAUUGUUCCAUCUAGUAGCCUACAAUUGCAUGUUACUAUUGCAAAUCCGCAAAAGGAAAGACAAAUCUACAACAGAAAAUCUAUUACUUCACUAAUUCAAGAUUUUUUUGCUGGUUUCCGUAAAUCAAAUUUGCUCAUACUUUCUUAUUCAUUCCAUGUUACUGUUGCAAUAGUGAAACGAAUAAAAUAGAUCUAGGGUGGAAACAUCUAGUCUUUUCUUUUCUAUUCUUUUCAAGGGUUUCCAAAUAUAAAAAUAAAUUAAGCAUUAUACUUCCCUAAUUCAAGAAUUUUUUUGCCAGUUUCUGUAAAUCAAAUUUGCUCAUACUCAUUGCUAUUCAUUCCAUGUUACUGUUGCAAUAGUGAAAUGAAUAAAAUAGAUAUAGGAUGGAAACAUCUAAUCAUUUCUUUUCUAUUCUUUUUAAGGGUCUCCAAAUAUAAAAAUAAAUUAAGCACUAUAUAUUGUUAACAUUAUUUUUGACCUGAUCAUAUCCCGAUUGCGCAACCAGAUUUUCUCAGUAUUUGACAUGAUUAUCCCAAUUGCAAAAACAUAUUUUCUCUUAGUUUUUUUACCAUUGUUGUUGCUAUUUUCUUAAUUGCACAUGACUGUUACUAAUCCAAAAACUCAUAUAGAACAUGAUUAUGUAUGCUUGUUUGACAAGCAGAUUUUUUUGCUUACUAUUUAGGCCCUUUACGCAGCCGUUUCCAAUGCUACCCCAGACGUCCUGGCUAUAUGCUGCAUAUUGAUGUUGCCUUGGGAAUACUUGUUGCACUCCAUGGAGCCAUCACCGUUCUCGACGUGGCCCCAACCAUCCACUCGAAGACUACUGACAAACCCUUGCCCGACAUUGCCAAAACCGGCCACAAGUACUUUAACAAGUUGUUAAAGGAACAAAAUCGUAUAGGGUCUAAUAAAAAGGUAUGCACAUCUUGUGUAUGAUUUGAAUAUAUCAGUUACGUUUAGGCUAAACUCCUUAAUGGAGAAAGCUGAAGGGUGAUGGCAAUUAAGUCUGUGUGUUUGUUUGCUCAAGUCAACUCCCCAAAAAUAUGAACUCGCAAACACAUGACACCAUGAACUAUAAAAAGACACCAUCUAAUGCAUGUGACCACCAGCCUAGCUACUGCCCCAAGUGUCCUCUGGAUCGCAACUUACGGAAACAUCAUCAAGGUAGGGAAAAGUAAGAUUACCAAAUCUACAACGCUUUGAUCCGAUAAUGAGGACCUCAGCGAUAUCCCAUUAAUGUUACCCUAGAGUGGUUGAAACGUAGAGACUGACAAAGACUGGGCAAUAUUGGCGGCGGCGUGGUACCGAGCCUUCAAACCUUAGGUGUCAAAUAGGCAGAAUCUCUGUCAAGAUAGCAACGAUACCUAUUAUAAAGAAAAUUAUGUACAAUAACAACUCUCAAUAAUCAUACAUUACCAAUUUGUAUCACUCCAUCAACAACCUGAUAUUACCAUGCAUGUUCGUCGUGAUGCUUCUGUGCACCAUCGUUCACUUGUCCUCUUACAGGUUUGUUGUGAAUUCUGAGUUGGGACCAUGUUAUCUUCUCCAACAGCCCCUCCAUGGUCUCGUAUGUGCCCUGAUGAACAUAAAAUUUUAAGCAAGAUAUACUAAAUUAUCAGCGAUGAUGCUAGAAUGAUUAGGAAGAUUGUUAAGUGUGUGGCACCUAGAAGAGCGAUGAAUGCUUCAGAUCGUCGAGCCAUCUUUGAUUUCCUUUCGUGCAUGUCAGAUGCAAACCUUUAUUUCUUCCGCACUCUCACCUAAUAUCGGUUAGUAAAAGUUAAAGGGAAACUCAAGCCCUUGGCACUGAAAAUUGCAACCAAUAUUUCAAUAUGCCGAAUUUAAUAUAAAUGUUUGGCUACAGAGUUCAAAUACAGCAGGGAUAGCCUUAUCUGCCAUGUGACUUCUCAAGCGCCAGGCUAUAUUCAUAUGACAAAACAAAUGAAACUUUGAUUUCCUUGCAUGAAAACUGCCAGAACUAGUAGGCCUAGAGACAACACCGUACAACAUGAUUAGUUGUUUCAGAGUUCAAUUUCAGUAUGCAUGAGUACAUGCAUGAAUUCCAAAUACCAAUACACACCACGUGCUAGACCGGACAAUAUAUUUCUUACCCUUGGAGACUACAUAUACACAAUGCUAAGAUGUACACAACAUAGGCAGAAAUACCUCGAUAACUUGAGAGCCCUGGGAAUCACCCUGUGAAGGAAACCACGGAUGAAAAAACCUACUUAGUGUGUGUAUGUUAGUCAAGAAGAGCACAUGUGCAAGAAGCGGAGAACUCAUGCAGAAGGAAAAGUUGUAUACAGACGUACCCUAUGACACAGCGGCUGUCGUGGAGCACUGUUCGCUUCUGCACGUGCUCAUCCAUGCAUGUAUCCACCACCGCCUUGCGCCUGGUGUUGUCACUGUAGAACAAGAGCUGCAGCAGGUACAGGAACCUCAACAUCAGCAGGAAAUUGUGAUUUUCCUGUGCAAGUUGAUUCAAUCACACAACUUCUUAUAUGGUCCAGAUGUCAGUUUCAGGAUCGAAAAUGAGAAGAAUACAUACAAAAGAACUCAUUCAAGACAAGAACUAAACUGAAAAAGAAGUGUUUAGUGCUAAUCUCUAAAAACUACAUAAGUGAAAUUUGGAAUACCAAAAAAGUAGUUGCAAACUAAAAAAAGCAGCCAGAAGUUCAGCUGCAGCAUCCUACCAAUAGCCAAUUCACCAUAUGCAUCAUCCCAAUUAACAAAGACGAAAUUAGCAAUACAGAUGCAACAUAACUUGGUAAUAGCUUGUUUGAAAAAUAACACAAAUAACUCAACGAUGGUGAAACUAAUGCAAAUGUUAACCAAUAUGGAGGAGUGUAGGAACCUUCUUUAGGUGUUCAGAUUGCAAUAGGUAGUCAGGUUCAUCGUCAUCAUCCGAGUCCUGCCGUGGGAUCCGCAAGUUGCAUCUUCUGUGUUGGUGACAUCAUCAUCAAAAAGAACUAUCUGAUCCUCACCAUAAGACCAACCAGGAAACAUCUAGUGAUUCGAUCAAAAAAAUUCAAGAACCUGAAAAUACAAGGACGACCGUCCAUAUCAGGGUGUGGCAAUAAUCUACUAAUCCUUGCUAUCAUCAAGCAAAAGAAAAUAAACCUUGAAGUUGCACAAACAACUACAAUCAUUAGGCACAAGAAAAUAAAGCUUGAAGAUACAUGAAUAUUAACUACCUUACAGAGGCAAUUUGGUUCAUUUAAAACCAUCAUUCGUAAAUCAGAACAGUAGUUGGGAGAAAAAAAUAUCCAUGCAAUUCACCACACAAGCGCGCAAGCAAAGUAGUAGGUACUCACAUUCACACAUUGGUAUCUCAACAACAUCAAGCUACCCACCAUAAAGAGCCUAAGACGAGCUUUCCCUACCAUUAAAGAAAAGAGUGAAUUAGAAAGUUGCACCCUCAAAUCAUGUCCAUGAAGGUAAAUCUAUCCCCCAAGAUUCAUUCCCAAUUAUGGGUUUCAUACAUACAAAUCGCAGGGGCACAAAUUAAACUAUACGCUGUCCAAACCAGGAAGAAUACAGGGUAUGAAAUGGAGAGUAGGAAGCUCACCUGAGAUUGAGAAUCUAUAGACAAGAUGACCCAGGUGAAGCUCGGCUGAUGCACUCCUAUGGCCAUCCCCACCUCACCCACAUCCCUUCCCCUUGCGCCCUCUGUAGCUGAGUCGUGAUUCGCCGCUGCCUCGGACGGGGGCGACAACAAGCAAGGGUCAGUGUUCUUGGAUGCAACCAACGACAGAGGUGAGUCUGGUUGGACAUGGGCGGCGGCAGCAACAAGUCCGACGUUGAAGCUCCAAUUUGUCGGCAGCAUGGUCAUUGCUGCAAUGCAUGCUCGGCUGCAUCCGUUCGGUUUUCGGCAGUGUGCGCCUACUGUGUGUUCAUCCGAUUACCGCAGUGCGCGUGUUGCGGCUUUGCCUGCAUGCGUCUGAUUUCCAGUCGUGCUCCAUGCUGCUCUGUGCUGUCAUGCACGUUGUUGCGUGCUAGUUCCUAUAUGUGUGCUCUGCACUAGUUGCUAUGUGUGUGCUCUGCACUUCUCUGUGUGUGCGCUGUGCAAUUCAACACUUCCACCAUCCAAACAAGAUUUGGAAUUGUUGCUCCUCAUGAAUUCCAAGUGUUGAAUGCAUGCACAUCCAAACACUAAAAUUGAUAUUGAACCUCAAUGUCAAUGUCAUGGAUAUUUGGCACUGGAGCCAAUUCAAUGCCAAGCUCUUGAAUGUCUACAUCCAAACGGAGCGUUAGUUUUCAUUAGGACCCCGCUACCACGGGAGGGUAGGACAAAAGAUGUCAUGCAAGUUCUUUUCCGUAAGCACGUAUGACUAUAUACAGAAUACAUGCCUACAUUAUAUUGAUGAAUUGGAGGUAGUUCUGUGUCACCCUAGGUUAUGACUCCUACAUGAUGAAUGUUAUCCAACACAAUUAUCAUUGCCAAUCCAUUGCCUACGAGCUUUUCACAUAUUGACCUUUGCUAAGUUACUUUGCCGUUGUCACUAUUACAAUUAGGGGUGGGCAUUUUAACCGAAGACCAAAUUACCGAACCGAAAAAAUCGGGACCGAAGCCGAAUAGAUGAAACCAAAAAAAAACAGUACUAAAUUCGAUCAGCUACGCUAGACAACCGGAAUUAGCUCGGUUAGUUCGGUUUUAAUCCUUUGUUAACCGAAAGGACCGAUGACACAGAAUAAACUAGUACAGGCCAACUCCAUGCACUAGUCUGUAGCCCACUAGCGACUAGUCACAUGCGUUCAUUUAGGCCUUGGCAAAUUCACCAGACUGCAGACAACACAUCUUAUCCACAGACCGUGCAGGUUGAGGCACCACAAGAUCUAGCAGCCACCAGGCAGCCGCACCGCUCCUGCUUGAUCCCGGCGAUUGGCGUCGGCACCGGCAUCGUGACAUAUACUCCCCUUCUUCUCGUCCACAGCACCCGCGUCCACCUCGAACUGCAACCGACGCUCCGCCUUGGCUAACCAGCAACACGCCUAUGACCCCUACUUUGCGAGCACCGACUAGCUAGCUCAAUCUAUUUUUCCGAGCUGCUCGUACAGCCACAUCUCCUCUUCCAUUCGUCUGUCAUAUGCCUAUUUUUGAAGAUUUUUUGGUUGCUUCUGUCCAUUGACGACCGGUGCCUCUGUUCAUUUGGUGUUCGGUCAGAAAUAGAGCACCGAACCGAAACGUCGGUCCACCGAAUCCUCGGUUCCCAGAUUUUCAGAAGACCGAUCGGUUGUCAUUUAGUGGAAACUGAAUUUCCUUUUUGACCGGAGAACCAAACCGAUCUGUUCGGUUUAACCAAAUGCCCAAUCUUAAUUACAAUUACUACAAAACUGCUACUAUUACUUUUGCCACCAUUACUGUUACUUCCAUACUACUUUGCUACUAAAUACUUUGCUGCAGAUAUUAAGUCUUUCAGGUGUGGUUGAAUUGACAACUCAACUGCUAAUGAUCGUGAAUAUUCUUUGGCUCCCCUCGUGUUGAAUCAAUAAAUUUGGGUUGAAUACUCUACCCUUGAAAACUGUUGCGAUCCCCUAUACUUGUGGGUCCUCACGACUCACUAAUGAUAUGCAGAUUCUUGAUGAAAGAACCAAUAGUAUGGAAGCACAAGUGGCUAAAACUGCAGAGAGCCUAACUUUAAUCCUAGCCAAGUUCGUAGGUAAACUGGAACCUAACCUGAUGGAAGAUGUAAUGAGAAUGAACGAAGAAAAUGCAGAAGAGCUUGAUAAAAGCCAUGUGCCAUAAUAUACUUAUACAGUUGCAGACUUCCUGAAGAUGAUAGCAAUGAAACACCCACCACCUGAGGUAUCAAAUGAUGAUGCAUAUAAUGCACUUAUUGAUCAUGUUAGAGCUAAGGUACGUGAGUUGGAUGAUGAAAGUAAAAAAGCUAUGCAGUAAGUUACCCGCUAAGCAAGAAGAUGCUUUUGAGCCUACUAUUGGGAUUUAGAUUGGUUUUAAUAAAUUCAGUGCUUUAUGUGAUCUAAGUGCUAGUGUUUCGACUACCCUUAAGUCUGUUUAUGAUAGUCUCAAUCUUGGUCCUUAUGCCCCUACUGAGAUUACGUUGAAUAUGGCCAAUUCUAGUUUUACGCAAGUAGUAGGGAUUAAGCAGAAGUACGACGCUCCUAACCCGUUCCUCCGCUCCUAACCCUACCCGCCCCUGUGCGGCGCCGCUGCACCGCACCGAAGCGCCCCCGCCGGCCGUCUCCCAUUCACUCCAGCGCACACCCUCUCCUCGUCGCCGCCGCCGGGGCGUCACAUGCAAAGCCUGUGUGACACAACGACAGUGGUGGCGUUUCUCCUCGGCCAAUGAUUCGGUCAGGUCAGCAGCGGUCCGCGAUGGUUGGAUCUAAAGUAGUGCUGCAGGGAGGCGGCGGCGUUCGACGUCGGGUCCAGCAACGGUGGCUUGGGCACCCGAUCUGGGUUUAGAUGGGCUUCGGGCGGGCUGCACUUGCUGAUGUCGUGUACCAUCCCGUCAACAACAUGCUGCCCCUGGGAUCGACCCGCAUCACGAGGACAUCGGGGGCUCCGAUCCUGGGCGUGGCGGUGGUGGCCGCCUCCUUCGCCGGGAUGGUCAGCCCUUGAGGCUGGGUGGUCGGAUCUCCAGAUCCAUCAUCUAGUCCCAGCUGCGAGUUGGGGAGACAGAGUUGCCGGUGAAAACCGAGCCGAUGGCGGCGUCUUGCGCCGUUACCUUGAUGAAGGCAUCAUCGUGUAACUUCUGUUGACCCACUCAUGCUGCUUCGGGGGGAAACCCUAAGAUCUGGUCAUCCAGAUCGGACAAUGGCGGUCAUGUGGUGUCGUUACUCUCUUGAGAGCAUCGUUUAUGGAGUAGCGCUGGAAGACAAAGCCAGGAGGUGGAGCGGCUAAGUCUUGCACGGAGCUUCGAUGGAGAUGUCAAGUCAUGCCUGGCCGACAGGUGCUACACUGUGACAUGCCUGGUCCGCAGGUGCUACGCACGACAGAUCUUCUAGAGUCUUCGCGUCUGGAUGAAUGCACGUAGGCCGGUGGCGCUGUUGGGCGCCGUGGUGGCGUCGACGGAUGUGUGGACUGGCAAGGAUGAUGCAGAUCUCUAUCCUGAAGAUGGGUCAGCGGUCCAUGGAUGAUGGCGGCUUCUGGCUUCUAAAACGUGUGCAUGUGGUGUGCUUUUUAGGUCUGCUGCACCGGCUUUUGGUCCCGACACGUUAAAUGGAUGGAUCGGCGACGACACCUAUUUUAGAUAUGGGGGGGUGAGAGCACUCCACAUUAUCGAGUUUGUAGGCGUGAGUGGUGGCUUCGGAUGACUUGAUGUAUUUUUUUGUCAGACAUUUGUGGAAUAAUUAAUAAAGAUGGUUGUAUGCAUCGAUUGAUGUAGAGGUCGGGGGUUUAACCUCCUUCUCCAAAAAAAAUUGGGGAUUAAGCACGUUGUUAUUGUUCAAAUAAAUGAUAGCCAUGUCAUGAUUAAUCUUGUUAUAAUUGAUAUGCCUGAAGAUCCCAUUGCUCUUAUAAUCCUCGAUAGACCUUUUAUUAGGACCAUAAAGGUUGUGAUUAAUGUGUUUGAGGAACAUGUAAGAGUUGACCUACCUAAGGAUCCUUUUGUGAGACAUUUCCUCGGGAAACAAAAAAUGAAGAUAUACACCGAAGACGACAUUGUCGUCAAUGCUCGAAGUUAUGAGCUCGGUGUAUUUGUACCCAAGUUAUCAUCACUGCGACCGAGUUAUCCGACCGAAAACAAGCACUUAGUGGGAGGCAACCCACGCCAAUAAGGUAGAAAAGUAACUUUUUGUUUUGGUUUCAAUAAAAGAGUGUGGAUGUUGUUGUCAAGGAAGAUAAUUUGAGAAGAGUUGUUCGAAUGAGGCUUUUGUUUUGUGCAUAAUUAUCAUGUUGUACUGACGUUUGGAUGCUUGGAAAUAUGCCUAUGUAUUAUGUUGGAACUAACACCCCAGAAAUUAGAGAAAAAAGUGAAGUUUCGGAAGAAACAGAAUAAAAGACGGCCUAAGGUGCGACCGUGGACGUCGUAUGGCUGGUCAUAUAAAAUCCUGGCGGCUCCAACAAAAACACACCAGAGGCAACAAAGCGUUCGGCGGUGUUCCAUGCGAGCAUCUGAACUCGUAUGAGUGGUCAUAUGAACUUUCGACACAAACAAAGAAGAAGUCCAAAGCAUUUAACGACAUUUUAUGCGACCUUAUAAGCUCGUGUGAGCGUAUGAACUUUCUAGCAGGCUGAAGCAAAAUGUUUUUGGAAAAGCACAAACAUUUCUUUGAAAGAACGGGAACAUUUUCUUCAAGUUCCAAACAUUUUUCAAUACGGGAACACAAAUUUGAAAUUUUGAAGAUUUUUUCAAAAUUUGAACAAAAAGUUGAAAUGCCAAAAGUUUUUCGAAAUUUGCAAAUUACAAAAAAGGAAAAAUCAAAUCAAAUUUGGAAGGAAAAAAUAAAACAAAAAAGAAGAGAAAGAAACAGAAAAGUAGAAAUACAAACAAAACAAAGAAAAAAAAGGGAAAACAGGUCGGGCCAUUCUUGGGCGCCCUAUGCAAACCUCCAACUAUUUGCCACCACGUGCGGCAAAUAGGGUUUUCCCAGCUGCGUUAUAAAUUUUAAACCACCUCGCCCACUUCGCAGGGCCGCGCUUGCGCGUGACCCGCGUACAAAGUUAUGUACAAAUCGUUUUUCCUUUUGUGGCAGAUGGGCACACAAAAUGUUAAAAUCACCUCAAAUAACAUUUCUGAUAAAAUGGGAACCUUUUUUCAAGUUCCGAAUAUCUUUCAAUACAGGUACACAAAAUUAUAAUUCUGAUAUUUUUCUAACAUUUGGAAAAAUAUCUAAUUCUUUUGAUAAUUUUGAAUUGACAAAAAAAGUGAAGAGAAAAAAGAAAAGGAAAAAAGGAAACAGAAAAAAGGAAAAAGAAAAAAAGAAAAAUGGAAACGAAACAAAGAAAAAUAGGAAAAUAGGCCGGCCCAUUCUUGGACCCCCUGUGCCAAGCUCCAACUAUUUGUCGCGACGUGCGGCAAAUAGGUUUCUCCUAGUUGAGUGGGCAGGAAAAUAAGGGGGCUAGCUUCAUUGGGCCACAACACGCGUGGCCCAUGUAAGGAAUUCUGCACAAUCCGCUUUUUCUUUCUAGCAAGCUGAAUCACAAUGUUUUCGGAAAACAUAAUUUUUUUAUGAGAAUCUUUUUUUUCAAGUUCCGAACAUUUAUAAAUUUGAGAAUAAAAAUUUGGUUUUCUUUACAUUUUUCCAAGAUUUAAACAAACAAUUGAAAUUACAAAAAAACUUCGAAUUUGCAAAAAAGGAAAAUCAUACUUGAAAGAGAAAAUGAAAAAUGAAGAAAAGAGAGAAAGGAACAGAAAAGAAAAAAAUAGAAACAUAACAAAGACAAAAGGGAAACAGAUCGGGCCAUUCUUGGGCGCCCUAUGUGAACCGCAAACAAUUUGUCGCAACAGUCAACAAAUAGGGGUUUCCCAGCUGCGUGCUGAUGAAAAAUAAUGUUGGUGAACGUAGUAAUUUAAAAAAAAAUUCCUACGCACACGCAAGAUCAUGGUGAUGCAUAGCAACGAGAGGGGAGAGUGUCGUCCACGUACCCUCGUAGACCGUUAAGCGGAAGCGUUAUGACAAUGCGGUUGAUGUAGUCGUACGUCUUCACGAUCGACCGAUCCUCAAUACCGAACGUACGACACCUCCGUGUUCAGCACACGUUCAACUCGGUGACGUCCCGCGAACUCACGAUCCAGUAGAGCUCGGGGAAGAGUUUCGUCAGCACGACCGCGUGGUGACGAUGUUGGUGAAGCUACCGUUACAGGGUUUUGUCUAAACACCGCUACAGUAUGACCGAGGUGGACUAUGGUGGAGGGGGGCACUGCACACGACUAGGAGAGAUCAAUGAUCAACUUGUGUGUCUAGAGGUGCCCCCUGCCCCCGUAUAUAAAGGAGCAAGGGGGAGGCCGGCCGGCCCUAGAGGGCGCGCCAGGAGGAGGAAUCCUCUUCCUAGUAGGAGUAGGAUUCCCCUUUUUCCUACUCCUACUAGGAGGGGGAAAGGAAGGGGGAGAAGGAGAAGGAAAGGGGCGCCCCCCCUCUCCUAGUCCAAUUCAGACCAUAGGGGGAGGGGGCACGCGGACUGCCCUGGCCGCCCCUCUCUCUCUCCACUAGGGCCCAACAAGGCCCAUUAACCCCCGGGGGGUUCCGGUAACCCCUCCAGCACUCCAGUAAAAUCCUGAUUUUACCCGGAACUCUUCCGAUGUCCAAAUGUAGGCUUUCAAUAUAUCAAUCCUUAUGUCUCGACCAUUUCGAGACUCCUCGUCAUGUCCGUGAUCAUAUCCGGGACUCCGAACUACCUUCGGUAUAUCAGAACAUAUAAACUCAUAAUACCGACCGCCACAGAACUUUAAGCGUGCGGACCCUACGGGUUCGAGAACUAUGUAGACAUGACCGAGACAUGUCUCCAGUCAAUAACCAAAAUAGCGGAACCUAGAUGCUCAUAUUGGUUCCUACAUAUUCUACGAAGAUCUUUAUCGGUCAAGCCGCAUAACAAUAUACGUUGUUCCCUUUGUCAUCGGUUUGUUACUUGCCCGAGAAUCGAUCGUCGGUAUCCCAAUACCUAGCUCAAUCUCGUUACCGGCAAGUCUCUGUACUCGUUCCGUAAUCCAUCAUCCUAUAACUAACUCAUUAGUCACAUUGCUUUCAAGGCUUAUAGUGAUUUGCAUUACCGAGAGGGCCCAGAGAUACCUCUCCGACAAUCGGAGUGACAAAUCCUAUUCUUGAUCUAUGCCAACUCCACGACACCAUCGGAGACACCUGUAGAGCACCUUUAUAAUCACCCAGUUACGUUGUGACGUUUGGUAGCACACAAAGUGUUCCUCCGGUUUUCGGGAGUUGCAUAAUCUCAUAGGCAUAGGAACAUGUAUAAGUCAUGAAGAAAGCAAUAGCAGUAAACUUAAACGAUCAAGUGCUAAGCUAACGAAAUGGGUCAAGUCAAUCACAUCAUUCUCCUAAUGAUGUGACCCCAUUGAUCAAAUAACAACUCAUGUCUAUGGUUAGGAAACUUAACCAUCUCUGAUUAACGAGCUAGUCAAGUAGAGGCAUACUAGUGACACUAUGUUUGUCUAUGUAUUCACACAUGUAUUAUGUUUCUGGUUAAUACAAUUCUAGCAUGAAUAAUAUACAUUUAUCAUGAAAUAAGGAGAUAAAUAAUAACUUUAUUAUUGCCUCUAGGGCCUAUUUCCUUCAGUCUCCCACUUGCACUAGAGUCAAUAAUCUAGAUUACACAGUAAUGAUUCUAACACCCAUGGAGUCUUGGUGUUGAUCAUGUUUUGCUCGCGGGAGAGGCUUAGUCAGCGGGUCUGCAACAUUCAUAUCCGUAUGUAUCUUGCAUAUCUCUAUGUCUCCCACCUGGACUUGAUCCCGAAUGGAACUGAGGCGUCUCUUGAUGUGCUUGGUUCUCUUGUGAAAUCUGGAUUCCUUUGCCAAGGCAAUUGCACCAGUAUUGUCACAAAAGAUUUUCAUUGGAACCGAUGCACUAGGUAUGACACCUAGAUCGGAUAUGAACUCCUUCAUCUAGACUCCUUCAUUUGCUGCUUCUGAAGCAGCUAUGUACUCCGCUUCACACAUAGAUCCCGCCACAACGCUUUGCUUAGAACUGCUCCAACUGACAACUCCACCGUUCAAUAUAAACAUGUAUCUGGUUUGCGAUUUAGAAUCGUCUGGAUCAGUGUCAAAGCUUGCAUCGACGUAACCAUUUACGAUGAGCUCCUUGUCACCUUCAUAAACGAGAAACAUAUCCUUAGUCCUUUUCAGGUAUUUCAGGAUGUUCUUGACCGCUGUCCAGUGAUUCACUCCUGGAUUACUUUGGUACCUCCCUGCUAAACUAAUAGCAAGGCACACAUCAGGUCUAGUACACAGCAUUGCAUACAUGAUAGAGCCUAUGGUUGAAGCAUAUGGAACACUUUUCAUUUUCUCUCUAUCUUCUGCAGUGGUCGGGCAUUGAGUCUUACUCAACUUCACACCUUGUAACACAGGCAAGAACCCUUUCUUAGCUUGAUCCAUUUUUAACUUCUUCAAAACUUUAUCAAGGUAUGUGCUUUGUGAAAGUCCAAUUAAGCGUCUUGAUCUAUCUCUAUAAAUCUUGAUGCCUAAUAUAUAAGCAACUUCACCGAGGUCUUUCAUUGAAAAACUCUCAUUCAAGUAUCCUUUUAUGCUAUCCAGAAAUUCUAUAUCAUUUCCAAUCAACAAUAUGUCACCUACAUAUAAUAUUAAAACUGCUACAGAGCUCCCACUCACUUUCUUGUAAAUAUAGGCUUCUCCAAAAGUCUGGUAAAACCAUAUGCUUUGAUCACACUAUCAAAACGUUUAUUCCAACUCCGAGAGGCUUGCACCAAUCCAUAAAUGGAUCGCUGGAGCUUGGAGACUUUGUUAGUACCCUUUGGAUCGACAAAACCUUCAGGUUGCAUCAUAUACAACUCUUCUUCCAGAAAACCAUUCAGGAAUGCAGUCUUUACAUCCAUUUGCCAAAUUUCAUAAUCAUAAAAUGUGGCAAUUGCUAACAUGAUUUGGACGGACUUAAGCAUCGCUACGGGUGAGAAGGUCUCAUCGUAGCCAACUCCUUAAACUUGUCGAAAACCUUUCGCAACAAGUCGAGCUUUGUAGACAGUAACAUUACCGUUAGCGUCGUGGAACUGUCACGGCAGAUGUCCUUAGUGUCAGGACUUAGUCGCGAGGCCAACGCAUCUAUGUGGUAGCUUGAGAGGGGUUGAGCGGGACGAGAGACACGAUGUUUUACCCAGGUUCGGCCCCUCACGGUGGAGGUAAAAGCCUACAUCCUGCUUCAUUGAUAUUGAUGAUCAUGAUCACGGUUACAAGAGUGCUCUAUCUCGAGAGCUAUUGUCUAAACCUAAUUUGUCCAACCUGUGGAACUUGUGAAUCUUGUUGGGGAGCCUUGCCCCUCCUUAUAUAAGUUGAAGGGGCCGGCCUACAUGUAGAGUCCUAGUAGGAUUAGGACUAGUCUCUUUUCUAUUACAAGACGGAUAGCAAUCCAGGUCUUAUUCAAACUGUUUAAGUCGGCCUGGUGGGCCACCUCCCAUGAUGGGCCGCGGCCUACCUUCAUGAGGAUACCCGUGUCCCAUAUCCACGACAGUAGCCCCCGAGCUUUCGGGUGACUCGAAGAGUCGGGCGGAAGGUCUUGAUUUUGUUGAUGCUUUUGUCUUCCUUGAACGUGGAGCUUUUUUCCGGGUCAUUGACGUAUGGAUGCCGAAAUGUAGAUGAAGAGAUUGACGGAUCAUGAAGCGUCGAUGUUGAUGUUGCCGGGUUGUCCUCCCAGGCUGGAUUAUGUCUCCAAGCCAGGUCUUUCCAAUUUUUUUCCAACCCCAAUAGCAUGUAUAUCAUCUGUAGCCCCCGAGCGUCCGGUUUUUUUAGGCCUUUAACAACCUGGGGGUCUGUGAACUUGUGUUUUGGUAACGAACAAAGUCCAUUUUUUCAAAAAUUCUAGCUUGAUAGCCCCCGAGGCUUGAGGCGACUCGAGGAGUCGUCUUCAAGCUCUUUGUUCCUGAAAUAAAACACAUGAAUGCAUUACACCGUUCGUGAUAUAUAAAACAAAAUUAAAUAAUAAUUUUGAUGACUUUGUCAACUUGUGUUCAAGUUGUUAAUCGUUCGACUCGACUAAGUAGGCUUUCAUGUGGACUUUUUUCAUGGAAUAUGAUAUGUUCAGGGUCGACAAAGUCCAUGAUAGGCAUCAGAGUCGAUUGACAAUACCGUACCCACUACUUGGUCAGUUACGAGUUGCAUCUGACUUAGUAAAGAACGAACGUAAAAUUAUUUCACUGAUAUGUAGGGCACCCAUGUUUGAACUAUGCAUCGUGGCAAAUAGUCCUCUUUGGUAACCUUACGACUCAACUUUAUGAGAAGAAAUUAUAGCCCCUGAGAUUAACUCAAAGGUGCCGGAUAUAUAUAAUUGACUGGAAAAAAUGAAAUUUAAAUAUCAAAGUAACUUAGCUUGUUUUUAUGAUGUGGCAUAAGCCAGCGGACCGUUGGGGUCGACCGCAGCGAGGCAAUAGACGAUCUUGCGUAGGAGUCACAAAUCGGUAACCCAGCUAACGGUUCGAGCCAGCAGUGGCAGCUGGAAUUUUGGAACACGUGUAGCCGAAAAAACCGCCGAACAGGAGAAUAGAUGGUGCAGUGCAAGCCAGCUUGGUUGAUGUUGAUUAAGCUUUGCUGUCAGGGCGCACUGGGAGCGGCAAUUUGGCCAUUAUUGAACACUAAAUCCUGUUGCACAUUCCUUCAGUUAGCUAGGUGUUCAUUGUUUCUUCAGUUUCGUCAGAAUAAGCGGCAGGCACGGCCAUAGCAGCAGCGGAACUACACUGGCUAUGCGAGGCAGAGACGAGUCAGCACAACGGUUUGAAGUGACAGCGUCUCGCUGGCGGCAACUGAUUUGGCCAUGGCGGUUUGAGAGCAGAAAAUCUAAGGCGAAAACACGGCCGCUGUGACUUGAGGCGAUCCAUAAACAAGGCGGAGGUGAGGGAGGAGAUGGCCUCCAGGAAGGACCGGCUUGAGGCGCGGGCACAGGUGAGGCCAUGGAGGCGGCGGCUCAAGGCCACGGCGGAGGUGACUGUGAGGCAGGUCUGGCUUGAGACGCGGGCACAGGUAGCCCGGGUGCAUCCAUGGCCACUGCGGCGGCGGCCGGGCCAGCCACCGCUGCAUCCUCCUCUGGGUUGUUGACGACUUGACCAAUCCAUGUUCGAUUCCUUCUCCAAAUCAUUACUUUCUUUAUUUGAUCUUUAGUCAUGCUGGCCCCUCCAGGUUCUGGUGGGUGUAACAGCACGGGAUUGAACCCAAAACUGAUUUUGCUUCUCGUGGUCGAAACUCACUAGACAAUCUGAAGUAGAUUAAACGUGUACAGAGUAUUCCUUUGCUUCUGGCCAGCGAGUAGCUGCACUGUAGAUUACCGCACCACUCUGGUGCGGAUCUUGCUCUGAUUGACCUACGAGGUUCGGUAGUAACUUGAUCUGAAGUUUCAUGAUCGUCAUCAUUAGCUUCCUCACUAAUUGGUGUAGGUGUCACAGGAACCGGUUUCUGUGAUGAACUAUUUUCCAAUAAGGGAGCAGGUACAGUUACCUCAUCAAGUUCUACUUUCCUCCCACUCACUUCUUUCGAGAGAAACUCCUUCUCUAGAAAGGAUCCAUUCUUAGCAACGAAUGUCUUGCCUUUGGAUCUGUGAUAGAAGGUAUACCCAACAGUUUCCUUUGGGUAUCCUAUGAAGACACAUUUCUCCGAUUUGGGUUCGAGCUUAUCAGUUUGAAGUUUUUUCACAUAAGCAUCGCAGCCCCAAACUUUAAGAAACGACAACUUUGGUUUCUUGCCAAAUGAUACGUCCAUUUUGCAUCAUACUUUUAUAUCGAUAUUUAUUGCAUUAUGGGCUGUUAUUACACAUUAUGUCACGAUUCUUAUGCUCAUUCUCUCUUAUUUUACAAGGCUUACAUAAAGAGGGAGAAUGCCGGCAGCUGGGAUUCUGGGCUGGAAAAGGAGCAAAUAUUAGAGACCUAUUCUGCAUAGCUCCAAAAGUCCUGAAACUUCACGGAAGCUAUUUCCAGAAUAUAUAAAAAAUACUAAGCGCAAGAAGUUCCAAAGGGGGGCCACACCCUGGCCACGAGGGUGGGGGCGCGCCCCCUGCCUCGUGGGCCCCCUGGUGGCCCUCCGAUGCCCAUCUUCUGCUAUAUGGAGUCUUUCGUCGAGGAAAAAAUCAUAAGCAAGCUUUCAGGACGAGACUCCGCCGCCACGAGGCGGAACCUUGGCAGAACCAAUCUAGGACUCUGGCGUAGCUGUUCUGCCGAGGAAACUUCCCUCCGGGAGGGGGAAAUCAUCACCAACAAUCCUCUCAUCGGGAGGGGGUCAAUCUCCAUCAACAUCUUCACCAGCACCAUCUCAUAUCAAACCCUAGUUCAUCUCAUGUAUCCAAUCUUUGCAUCCAAACCUCAGAUUGGUACAUGUGGGUUGCUAGUAGUGUUGAUUACUCCUUGUAGUUGAUGCUAGUUGGUUUACUUGGUGGAAGAUUAUAUGUUCAGAUCCAUUAUGCAUAUUAAUACCCCUCUGAUUAUGAACAUGAAUAUGCUUUGUGAGUAUUUACGUUUGUUCCUGAUGACAUGUGAGAAGUCUUGCUAUUAGUAGUCAUGUGAAUUUGGUAUUCGUUCGAUAUUUUGAUGAGAUGUAUGUUGUCAUCCCUCUAGUGGUGUCAUGUGAACGUCGACUACAUGACACUUCACCAUUGUUUGGGCCUAAAGGGAGGCAUUGGGAAGUAAUAAGUAGAUGAUGGGUUGCUAGAGUGACAGAAGCUUAAACCCUAGUUUAUGCGUUGCUUCGUAAGGGGCUGAUUUGGAUCCAUAUGUUUCAUGCUAUGGAUAGGUUUACCUUAAUACUUCUGUUGUAGUUGCAGAUGCUUGCAAUAGGGGUUAAUCAUAAGUGGGAUGCUUGUCCAAGUAAGGACAGUACCCAAGCACCGGUCCACCCACAUAUCAAAUUAUCAAAGUACCGAAUGCGAAACAUAUGAUCGUGAUGAAAACUAGCUUGACGAUAAUUACCAUGUGUCCUCGGGAGCGCUUUUCUCUAUAAAAGAGUUUGUCCAGGCUUGUCCUUUGCUACAAAAAGGAUUGGGCCAUCUUGCUGCACCUUAUUUACUUUUAUUACUUGCUACUCGUUACCAAUUAACUUAUCACAAAACUACCUAUUAUCGAUAAUUUCAGUGCUUGCAGAGAAUACCUUGCUGAAAACCGCUUAUCAUUUCCUUCUGCUCCUCGUUGGGUUCGACACUCUUACUUAUCGAAAGGACUACGAUAGAUCCCUAUACUUGUGGGUCAUCAAGACUCUUUUCUGGCGCCGUUGCCGGGGAGUGAAGCGCCUUUGGUAGGUGGAAUUUGGUAAGGAAAAAUUUAUAUAGUGUGCUAAAAUUUACUGUCACUUGUUACUAUGGAAAGUAAUCCUUUGAGGGGCUUGUUCAGGGUAUCUUCACCCCGACCGAUAGACCAAAUAGUUGCUCCUCAACCUACUGGACCUACUGAAAAUGAAAAUGUUUACUUCGAAAUUCCUUCGGGUAUGAUAGAGAAACUGCUAGCUAAUCCUUUUGCAGGAGAUGGAACACUGCAUCCCGACUUACACUUAAUCUAUGUGGAUGAAGUUUGUGGAUUAUUUAAGCUUGCUGGCAUGCCCGAUGAUGUUAUCAAGAAGAAGGUAUUCCCUUUAUCUUUGAAGGGAGAUGCAUUGACAUGGUAUAGGCUAUGUGAUGACAUGGGAUCAUGGGACUAUAAGCGAUUGAAAUUGGAAUUUCAUCAGAAGUUUUAUCCUAUGCAUCUUGUUCAUCGUGAUCGUAAUUAUAUAUAUAAUUUUUGACCUCGCGAAGGAGAAAGCAUCGCUCAAGCUUGGGGGAGGCUUAAGUCAAUGUCAUAUUCAUGCCCCAAUCAUGAGCUCGCAAGAGAAAUAAUUAUUCAAAAAUUUAUGCUCGGCUUUCUGACAACAAUCGCUCCAUGCUCGAUACUUCUUGUACUGGUUCCUUUAUGAUGAAGACUAUUGAAUACAAAUGGAAUUUAUUGGAGAGAAUUAAACGCAACUCUGAAGAUUGGGAUCUCGACGAAGGUAAAGAGUCAGGUAUAACACCUAAGUUUGAUUGUGUUAAAUCUUUUAUGGAUACCGAUGUUUUCUGUAAAUUUAGCACUAAAUAUGGACUUGACUCUGAGAUAGUAGCUUCUUUCUGUGAAUCCUUUGCUACUCAUGUUGAUAUCCCCAAGGAGAAGUGGUUUAAAUAUAAUCCUCCCAUUGAUCUUAUAAUGAUCCUGUUGAAGUUGCACCUAUUAAAGUUGAAGAAAAGACUAUCAUUAUAAUGAUCCUGUUGUUCCCACUGCUUAUGUUGAGAAACCACCUUUCCCUGUUAGAAUAAAGGAUCAUGCUAAAGCUUCAACUGUGGUUCGUAAAAGUAAUAUUAGAACUUAUACACCUCCUGAGUAAGUUAAAGUUGAACCUAAUAUUGCUAUUGUUAAAGAUCUCCUGGCUGAUAAUAUCGAUGGGCAUGUUAUUUAUUUCGGUGAUGAGACUGCUAGAAUUGCUAAACCUGGUGCUAAAGAUAAACAUGGACCUGUGGUAGGCAUGCCUGUUAUUUCUGUUAAAAUAGGAGAUCAUUGUUAUCAUGUCUUGUGUGAUAUGGGUGCUAGUGCCAGUGCAAUACCUAUUUCCUUAUACAAAGAAAUUAUGCAUGAUAUUGCACCAGCUGAGAUAGAAGGUAUUGAUGUUACCAUUAAGAUUGCUAAUAGAGAUACUAUUUCACCAAUUGGGAUUGUUAGAGACGUUGAAGUCUUGUGUGGGAAGGCUAAAUAUCCUGCUGAUUUUCUUGUUCUUGGUUCCUCUCAAGAUAGCUUUUGUCCCAUUAUAUUUGGUAGACCCUUCUUGAGCACUGUUAAUGCUAAGAUAGAUUGCAAGAAGGAUGUUAUUAAUAUUGGUUUGGAUGAUAUGUCUCAUGAGUUUAAUUUUUCUAAAUUUCAUAGACAACCACAUGAUAAAGAAUUUCCUAGUAAAGAUGAAAUUAUUGGUCUUGCUUCUAUUGUCGUGCCUCCUACUGAUCCAUUAGAACAAUAUUUGCUAGACCAUGAGAAUGAUAUGUUUAUGAAUGAAAGAAGGGAAAUAGAUGAAGUAUUCUUUAAACAGGGACCUAUUUUGAAACACAACUUGCCCGUUGAAAUCCUACGGGAUCCUCCUCCACCCAAGGGUGAUCCCGUGUUUGAGCUUAAACCAUUACCUGAUACUCUUAAAUAUGCUUAUCUUGAUGAAAAGAAAAUAUAUCAUGUUAUUAUUAGUGCUAACCUUUCAGAGAAGGAGGAAGAGAAAUUAUUGAAAACUCUGAAGAAGCAUUGUGCUGCUAUUGGAUAUACUCUUGAUGAUCUUAUGGGCAUUAGCCCCACUCUAUGUCAACACAAAAUAAAUUUGGAGGAAGACGCCAAACCAGUUAUUGAUCACCAACGACGGUUGAAUCCUAAGAUGAAAGAAGUGGUUAUAAAAGAAAUAUUAAGGCUCUUUGAGGUAGGUAUAAUUUAUCCCGUUGCUGAUAGUCAGUGGGUAAGUCUUGUUCAUUGUGUCCCUAAGAAGGGAGGUAUUACUGUUGUUCCUAAUGAUAAAGAUGAAUUGAUUCUACAAAGAAUUAUUACAGGUUAUAGGAUGGUAAUUGAUUUCCGCAAAUUAAAUAAGGCUACUAAAAAAGAUCAUUACCCCUUACCUUUUAUUGAUCAAAUGCUAGAAAGAUUAUCCAAACAUACACAUUUUUGUUUUCUAGAUGGUUACUCUCUCUUCUCUCAAAUACCCGUGUGAGCUGAUGAUCAGUCAAAGACCACUUUUGCUUGCCCUUUCGGUACUUUUGCUUAUAGACGUAUGCAUUUUGGUUUAUGUAAUGCACCUGCUACCUUUCAAAGAUGCAUGAUGGCUAUAUUUUCUGACUUUUGUGAAAAGAUAUGUGAGGUUUUCAUGGACGAUUUCUCCAUUUAUGGAUCCUCUUUUGAUGAUUGCUUAAGCAACCUUGAUCGAGUUUUGCAGAGAUGUGAAGAAACUAAUCUUGUUCUGAAUUGGGAGAAAUGCCACUUUAUGGUUAAUGAAGGUAUUGUCUUGGGGCAUAAAAUUUCUGAAAGAGGCAUUGAAGUUGAUAAAGCUAAAGUUGAUGCUAUUGAAAAGAUGCCAUGUCCCAAGGACAUUAAAGGUAUAAGAAGCUUCCUCGGUCAUGUCGUUUUUUAUAGGAGGUUCAUUAAGGACUUCUCAAAAAUUUCUCGGCCUCUGACUAAUCUAUUACAAAAAGAUAUUCCUUUUGUCUUUGAUGAUGAUUGUGUACAAGCAUUUGAAAUACUUAAGAAAGCAUUGAUUUCUGCACCUAUUGUUCAGCCACCUGAUUGGAAUUUACCAUUUGAAAUUAUGUGUGAUGCUAGUGAUUAUGCUGUAGGUGUUGUUCUAGGGCAAAGAGUUGAUAAGAAAUUAAAUGUUAUUCAAUAUGCUAGUAAAACUCUAGACAGUGCCCAAAGAAAUUAUGCUACUAUUGAAAAGGAAUUCUUAGCAGUUGUAUUUGCUUGUGAUAAGUUCAGACCUUAUAUUGUUGAUUCUAAAGUAACUAUUCACACUGAUCAUGCUGCUAUUAAAUACCUUAUGGAAAAUAAAGAUGCUAAACCUAGACUUAUUAGAUGGGUUCUCUUGCUACAAGAAUUUGAUUUGCAUAUCAUUGAUAGAAAGGGAGCUGAGAACCCCGUUGUAGACAACUUGUCUAGGUUAGAAAAUGUUUUUGAUGACCCACUACCUAUUGAUGAUAGCUUUUCUAAUGAACAAUUAAAUGUCAUAAAUGCUUCUUGAACUGCUACAUGGUAUGCUGAUUACGCUAAUUAUAUUGUUGCUAAAUUUAUACCACCUAGUUUCACAUACCAGCAAAAGAAAAAGUUCUUCUAUGAUUUGAGACAUUACUUUUGGGAUGACCCACAUCUUUAUAAAGAAGGAGUAGAUGGUAUUAUUAGACGUUGUGUACCUGAGCAUGAACAGGAACAGAUCCUACGCAAGUGUCACUCCGAGGCUUAUGGAGGACACCAUGCUGGAGAUAGAACCGCACAUAAGGUAUUGCAAUCCGGUUUUUAUUGGCCUACUCUCUUCAAGGAUGCCCGCAAGUUUGUCUUGUCUUGUGAUGAAUGUCAAAGAAUUGGUAAUAUUAGUAUACGUCAAGAAAUGCCUAUGAGUUAUUCACUUGUUAAUGAACAAUUUGAUGUUUGGGGCUUUGAUUAUAUGGGACCUUUUCCUUCCUCUAACGGGUAUAUGAUACGUCUCCAACGUAUCUAUAAUUUUUGAUUGCUCCAUGCCAUAUUAUCUACUGUUUUGGACUAUAUUGGGCUUUAUUUUCCACUUUUAUAUUAUUUUUGGGACUAACCUAUUAACCGGAGGUCCAGCCCAGAAUUGUUGUUUUUUGCCUAUUUCAGUGUUUCGAAGAAACAUAAUAUCAAACGGAGUCCAAACAGAAAAAUGCUUUUUGGAACGUGAUUUUCUUCUCGGAUAAGACCCAGGAGACUUGGACCCUACUCCAAGAAGUACCGGAGGCGGUCACGAGGGUAGGGGCGCCCCCCCUACAGGGUGCACCCCCUGCCUCGUGGGCCCCUCGGUGCUCCACCGACGUACUCCUUCCUCCUAUAUAUACCCACGUACCCCCAAAUGAUCAGAACAGGAGCCAAAAACUAAAUUCCACCGCCGCAACUUUCUGUAUCCACGAGAUCCCAUCUUGGGGCCUGUUCCGGAGCUCCGCCGGAGAGGGCUGAAGGAAAUAUGCCCUAGAGGCAGUAAUAAAGUUAUUAUUUAUUUCCUUAUAUCAUGAUAAAAGUUUAUUAUUCAUGCUAGAAUUGUAUUAUCCGGAAACAUAAUACUUGUGUGAAUACAUAGACAAACUAAACAUCACUAGUGUGCCUCUACUUGACUAGCUCGUUAAUCGAAGAUGGUUAUGUUUCCUAACCAUAGACAUGUGUUGUCAUUCGAUUAAUGGGAUCACGUCAUUAGGAGAAUGAUGUGAUUGACAUGACCCAUUCCAUUAGCUUAGCACCUGAUCAUUUAGUAUGUUGCUAUUGCUUUCUUCAUGACUUAUACAUGUUCCUAUGACUAUGAGAUUAUGCAACUCCCGUUUGCCGGAGGAACACUUUGUGUGCUACCAAACGUCACAACGUAACUAGGUGAUUAUAAAGGAGCUCUACAGGUGUCUCCAAAGGUACAUGUUGGGUUGGCGUAUUUCGAGAUUAGGAUUUGUCACUCCGAUUGUCGGAGAGGUAUCUCUGGGCCCUCUCAGUAAUGCACAUCACAUAAGACUUGCAAGCAUUGCAACUAAUGAGUUAGUUGCGAGAUGAUGUAUUACGAAACAAGUAAAGAGACUUGUCGGUAACAAGAUUGAACUAGGUAUUGAGAUACCGACGAUCGAAUCUCAGGCAAGUAACAUACCGAUGACAAAGGGAACAAAGUAUGUUGUUAUGCGGUCUGACUGAUAAAGAUCUUCGAAGAAUAUGUGGGAGCCAAUAUGAGCAUCCAGGUUCCGCUAUUGGUUAUGAACCAGAGACAUGUUUCGUUCAUGUCUACAUUGUUCUCAAACCCGUAGGGUCCGCAUGCUUAACGUUACGAUGAUAGUUUCAUUAUGAGUUUAUAUAUUUUGAUGUACCGAAGUUUGUUUGGAGUCCCGGAUGUGAUCACAGACAUGACGAGGAGUCUCGAAAUAGUCGAGACAUAAAGAUUGAUAUAUUGGACGGCUAUAUUCGAACACCGGAAGUGUUCCGGGUGAUUUUGGAGAAAGCCGGAGUGCCGGAGGGUUACCGGAACCCCCCCGGGAGAAGUAAUGGGCCUUAUGGGCCCUAGUGGAGAGAGAGAGGGGCAGCCAGGGUGGGCCGCGUGCCCCCUCCCCCUCUGGUCCGAAUUGGACUAGGAGAGGGGGGGCGGCGCCCCCCUUUCCUUCUCCCUCUCCCCCUUCCUUGCCCCCUCCUAGUAGGAGUAGGAAAGAGGGGAGUCCUACUCCUACCAGGAGGAGGAGGACUCCUCCUUGGCGCGCCCAAGGGCCGGCCGACCUCCCCCCUUGCUCCUUUAUAUACGGGGGCAGGGGGGCAUCUCUACACACACAAGUUGAUCCUCAUGAUCGUUUUCUUAGCCGUGUGCGGUGCCCCCUUCCACCAUACUCCUCGAUAAUAUUGUAGCGGUGCUUAGGCGAAGCCCUGCGACGGUAGAACAUCAAGAUCGUCACCACGCCGUCGUGCUGACGGAACUCUUCCCCAACACUUUGGUGGAUCGGAGUCCAGGGAUCGUCAUCGAGCUGAGCGUGUGCUAAAACUCGGAGGUGCCGUAGUUUCGGUGCUUGAUCGGUUGGGCCGUGAAGACGUACGACUACAUCAACCGCGUUGUCAUAACUCUUCCGCUAUCGAUCUAUGAGGGUACGUAGACAACACUCUCCCCUCUCGUUGCUAUGCAUCACCAUGAUCUUGCGUGUGCGUAGGAAUUUUUUUGAAAUUACUACGUUCCCCAACAGUGGCAUCCGAGCAUGGUUUUAUGCGUUGCUGUUGUGCACGAGUAGAACACAAGUGAGUUGUGGGCGAUAUAAGUCAUACUGCUUACCAGCAUGUCAUACUUUGGUUCGGCGGUAUUGUUUGAUGAAGCGGCCUGGACCGACAUUAUGCGUACGCUUACGCGAGACUGGUUCUACUGACGUGCUUUGCACACAGGUGGCUGGCGGGUGUCAGUUUCUCCAACUCUAGUUGAACCGAGUGUGGCUACGCCCGGUCCUUGCGAAGGUUAAAACAGCACCAACUUGACAAACUAUCGUUGUGGUUUUUGAUGCGUAGGUAAGAUUGGUUCUUGCUUAAGCCCAUAGCAGCCACGUAAAACUUGCAACAACAAAGUAGAGGACGUCUAACUUGUUUUUGCAGGGCAUGUUGUGAUGUGAUAUGGUCAAGACAUGAUGCUAAAUUUUAUUGUAUGAGAUGAUCAUGUUUUGUAACCGAGUUAUCGGCAACUGGCAGGAGCCAUAUGGUUGUCGCUUUAUUGUAUGCAAUGCAAUCGCCCUGUAAUGCUUUACUUUAUGACUAAGCGGUAGCAAUAGUCGUAGAAGCAUAAGAUUGGCGAGACGACAACGAUGCUAUGAUGGAGAUCAAGGUGUCGUGCCCGUGACGAUGGUGAUCAUGACGGUGCUCCGAAGAUGGAGAUCGCAAGCACAAGAUGAUGAUGGCCAUAUCAUAUCACUUAUAUUGAUUACAUGUGAUGUUUAUCUUUUAUGCAUCUUAUCCUGCUUUGAUUGACGGUAGCAUUUUAAGAUGAUCUCUCACUAAUUAUCAAGAAGUGUUCUCCCUGAGUAUGCACCGUUGCAAAAGUUCUUCGUGCUGAGACACCACGUGAUGAUCGGGUGUGAUAGGCUCUACGUUCAAAUACAACGGGUGCAAAAUAGUUGCACACGCAGAAUACUCACGUUAUACUUGACGAGCCAAGCAUAUACAGAUAUGGCCUCGGAACACGGAGACCGAAAGGCCGAGCGUGAAUCAUAUAGUAGAUAUGAUCAACAUAGUGGUGUUCACCAAUGAAACUACUCCAUCUCACGUGCUGAUCGGACAUGGUUUAGUUGAUUUGGAUCACGUGAUCACUUAGAGGAUUAGAGGGAUGUCUAUCUAAGUGGGAGUUCUUUAGUAAUAUGAUUAAUUGAACUUAAAGUUAUCAUGAACUUAGUACCUGAUAGUAUCUUGCUUGUUUAUGUUUGAUUGUAGAUAGAUGGCCCGUGU
rnacentral:lncRNA from 1 species